CUUUUUUUAAUCUAAAAAAUACUGGUUUUGUAAAAAAAAAUCCUCAUCUUUUUUCUUAUAAAAAUAAUCAGUUAUUUUAAAACACACUCAUAAAUAAUAGAAGUGUUGAAGGGUACUUAUAUCAAAAUUGGGUUACACUUCAAUUUCAAAAUGAGAAAUAUUAAUUUUACAAAUUUAAAAUCUUUUCAUUCUUUUAAUGGAUUAAUCCUUUAUUAAAUUAAUAGAAUUUUUAAGUUUCCUUUUACGCACGUGUUUUUAAAGUUCACGACUUCACGACUUUUGAGUUUAAAAUAUCAGCGUCGUUUUUACGCACGUGUUUUUAAAGUUCACGACUUUUGUGUCUAAAAUAUAAAAUCUCAACAAGCGACACGUCAGGUUUUGGUAAACAUCGUUUUCAAAGGAAUAAAAAAAUGCAAAUAAAAGGCAAUACUACAGAGUACAGAGCACGCAGCUGAGCAAAGAGAAAGUGGCAUCGACAGGAGACCAAAAAAAAAAAAAAUGGUGGGUGGAGAGAUUAGCAGAGAGUUGGGAGGUUCAGUUCUAGUGGCAAAUGUCCAAGCCCUUGCUUCCAGCUACUCCGGUGAUGUGCCACUCCGAUAUCUCAGGCCGGAGCUCCACGCAGAAGAAGUUCUGGUGGAUGAGUCUCUUCCAAUUCCCACCAUAGAUAUGAGGAAGCUCUUGGUUGAUGAUGAUGAAAUGGGUAAACUUCACUUGGCCUGUAAAGAAUGGGGUUUCUUUCAGGUAUAAUUAUUUUUAUAUGUUUGAACCGGGUUUAUUAUCUCUUGGGAUUUUUAUCAAGUUCCUCUUUUGGGCUGCUUCUAUGCUUUUUUUUUUCUUUGAAUUUCUCUUUGUUCAAUGAAUAAUUUCAUUUUCAACAGCUAUUGUAUAUAGAUUCUUGUAAACAAUUCUUUUCUGGGUUUUUAAGAAGGCAGGGAUUGGGUUAGAAUACAUAUGCAUAUGCAGGGAUUUUGUUUUGGAUUAUAGAUUUGUUUUGAGGACUGAAGGUUUGGGUUGGGGUUUUGUACGGAACCCCAAAGGUAGAACAGAUAGAGACUGUUACAAUCUAAGAAUUUUCUACCAUUUAUCCAUGAUAUGGUAUCUCCAAAAUGAUAUUUUCUAAAGUAAAGAUUGGGAGGUUUUGAUUAAUUCUCUUCUAUUCAAAUGCCUCACAAAUGAUCAUACAUCUGAUAUAUGAGCAUCACCCUCUAAAGUGAUGCUUCUUUAUUAUUCUCUGUAAUUGUUGAAAUUUUAGAAGUCAUUUAAGUCACAGGUGUAGCUGAACUUGAAGCUGAGUUUGUUGGAUGGUUUUACCUUAUAACUUAGUGGGUUACUGUCUUAUUCUAAAUUGAGCAUAUUGUCAUCAAACAGUUAAUAAACCAUGAGGUAGCAGAAGUAAUUGAGAAAAUGAAGGCAGAUGUUCAAGAAUUCUUUAAAUUGCCACAAAAGAAGAAGAACGAAUAUGCGAAACUACCAAGUGGUGUUGACGGUUAUGGCCAAAACUUUGUUGUUUCCGAAGACCAGAAGCUUGAUUGGGCUGAUAUGCUCUUUCUUCAAUGCCUUCCAGCCUCUGAAAGAAAUAUGAGGUUCUGGCCUGAUGAACCCACUUCUUUCAGGUAAAUGGGUUAACUACUCUGAUUAAAUGACUUCUUGUUGAUGACUGUUGUCCUUGAGUAACGAUUAUACUUCAUAUAAUUUUUCAAAAUGUGAAAGAAUAUUGAGCACAAAAAUAGAACUUAAUAGUGAAGAAAAUAUACCCACUUGUUGGCACUUUGCUUAAGUUUCCUCUUGUAUGUCAGGGAAACUUUGGUCAAAUACUCAUCGGAGCUUGUAAAAGUUUCAAACUGCCUUCUGAAGUUGAUGGCCAAGAACCUUGAGAUAAAUCCUGAGCAGUUCACAAAUAUGUUUGAGGAUGGAAGACAAUCAGUGAGAAUGAAUUACUAUCCACCUUGUGUGCAUGCAAGCAAGGUAAUAGGUUUCACUCCCCACUCAGAUCCCGGAGGACUUACCCUACUUGUUCAACUCAAUGAAGUGCAAGGCUUGCAAAUUAAGAAAAAUGGUAAAUGGAUACCAAUUAGUCCUGUCCCUGGUGCAUUUAUCGUCAACAUUGGUGACGUUAUUGAGGUAACUAACCUUAAAUCCUCUUAAAUGGCAUUAUAUUGUUAAAACAAACAGGCAUAUCUUGUAUUGUUGUUUAUUGGCAGACUGAAAAUUGACAAAUGAGAUUCUUGUAUGCUUAAUUUCAUUUGUGAGCAGAUAAUGAGCAAUGGGGAAUAUAAGAGCAUAGAGCAUAGAGCAGUGGUGGACCCAGAAAAGGAACGGCUCUCCAUUGCAAUAUUCUGUUCUCCGGGUGCUGGUGCAAUCAUUGGUCCUUUACCAGAGCUUACAAAGGAGAAAGGUGCAAUCUAUAAAUCUGUAAGCAGGGAGGAGUAUAUAAAAUUUGUACUAAGUAGGAAACCUGUUCGCAAAAGUGCAAUAAAUCUUAUGAAGUUGGAGAACUGAAAGGAUAACCAUGUAUUGUCAAAAGAAUCGAGUUGAAUAAAUUACGUGAUCCAGGGUAAUUUAAGAAAUUUCAAUUUGCUACUAUAGUUAAUUGGGACUAAGCAAACUCAUUGCUACUAAGUGACUCUUUGGAGAGACUCCAAAGAGAAUCCAUAAAGACCAUGAAACUCGAAUGUUUUGUGGUUCUAGAAGUCCCUGACGAGUAGGUCCGGGAGGAUUGGGCAUUUUGUGCAAAAUAAAUGUCUUGUACCAUUUUUCUAUUCCUUAAUAGGAUAUUCAACUUUAUAUUGCUUACCUUUAGCUAUUGUCUCCUGUUUUCUUAGUUUCUCUUAAUUUCAUUGCUUGUAUGGAUAGGCAUGGUUUGUGAUUCAAUUAGUUCUCGUAUGAAUCUAUUUAUUCAGAUUGUUAAUUAGAUAUAUAUAUAUAUAUAUAUUAAGUGAAGUUGAAUGGCACUAAAUAGAUGAAUCGUUCUAAAAAUAUCAUUGUUAUGAUGUUAAGAGAGUGUUGUCUAUAAAUUUUGUGUCAUUCAUGAUUUGAAUCUUAAGAACAAUUAGUUGUGAAAAAAAUUGAUACAAUUUAUCAACACUAUUCGAAUUUGGCACAUUUUUUGAAGGCUUAGGUUGAAUAUAAUGAGGGCCUUAAAAAAAAUUGACACUAAGAGGAUUUGAACCCUUCAAUUACUUGAAAAAAUUGAAAACAACUCAUUCAUUACCAUUAUAUUAUUUGAUUAAAUUCCUAUUGAUCAACAUAACUCGUUUAAUAAACUUUUUUUUUUUUUUUUUUGUCAAUCUGCAUGCCAUGAAUUUGACCCAAAUUAAUAUAUCUAAUAAUUGUGUUAAUUAACCUAAUUAUAAUCAUAACUUAUUUAACUUAUAGUUGACUCAUUUAAAAUUUGAUUUCGAAUAAAUAGGUCAAUUGGUUAAUAAGCAUGUUAGGUUGAGAUGUUAAUUGUAUUAGUUGAAACAAGAUCUAACUCAACUUGAUUAUUAAAUAUUACUUAACUAUUAAAUGAGUUAUAUGACAUAUUACCUGUUCAAUAAUUAAUGUGUUUGGUUUAUAUUUUAAUCUGAUAAUUAUUUGAUUUGUGCUUAAGUUGACCUAUUUAGGCAAGUGCAUGAGUUUUGACACAGCACAAACAUGAUUCACUAACAUGAAUUGUUGUCACCCUUAAAAACAACAAGGGAUUGAUGUAAAUUGAUGCAUCUCUAGCCAAAAGUUUUAAAUUGCACAUAUUCAUCCUCUUGCUAGGUAUCCUGCUUGGUAUUGAAAAUCUCUUUUUAACAAGUAUUAGAAUAAGAAAAUUAUGAAAUUUUUGUGUCAAAAACUCUUUAUAUCAUCAAGACACAUCAAGAGGGUAUUGGAAAAAAAAAAAAUUACCUUAAUUACUACAUUAACUUUACCUUGGUAAAACCAAGUUUCUUACCAUAAGAUUCAUGAAUUCAUACAUGCAUGUUUGUGGUUUACAUUCAUGUAUUUUUAUGGCAUUACUUAGAUUCAUCCUAGAAUAAAUAACUUAAAAGGUCAAAUUCCAAAAUUUAUUACGAAGAAUAAGAUCUGAAGAACCUAAAUUUUGGUUCAUGGUGAGAAGAACCAUAAAGCACACUAUAUCGAGGCUCUUGGUGCUUUUCUUGACUCACAAUUUUUUAAAGCACUUUUCAUUCCCAUCAUUAAGGAUUGCAUAAAAAAAGAGUGAGGGAGCGAAGAUCAAGAUCAUUCAUUGUGGAAAGAACCAUAAAGCACUAUACAUCCAGGCUCUUAGUCCUUUUCUUGACUCACAAUUUUUUAAAGUACUUUCCAUCCCCAUCACUAAGAAUUGCAUACAAAAUGAACAAAUGAGUGAAGAUCAAGAGUGAAUAUCAAGAGGGUUACUUGGGGAUUUUUAAACCAUAUUAAAGUCAACAUUAUAUAUCAAGAUAUGUUUUCUUCUACAUAUGCUAAAUGUCAUUUUUAAGUCUGAUAUUAAACAUCAAAAUGAAAAUUUUUAACAUUUGGUAUCAAGAAUCAAGUUAAUCACUUGUGUUUUUAAUUAUUUAAAAUUUUGAAGUAAAUUGAUUUUUUUUUCUCAUGAUACUUGCUCAUAGUGAUCUUGAGGAACAUAAAUUCUACCUAAUCUAAUUUCUUGACAACCACAAUUGCUCUACUUCAUCAUUCAAAAGAAUCAAAUUUAUUGUUACAUAGCAAUUAAUCAACAAUAGAAAUUUAAUUUAGCAAAGUCUAACUAAUAUUUUGAAGCAAUCUAUUUUUUUUUCUUUUUUUCUUUUUUUUGCACAACAAAUCUUUAUGAUGGUUUUGAGAAAAUUUACCACUACCCAAUACAAAUUCUUUGCAAUUAGAAUUGUUCCACUUCAUCAUUCAAAAGAAUCAAAUUUAUUUUUGUAUCGAAAUUGACUACUAGUAGAAAUUUAAUGUUGCAUAGUUAGGUUAGUUUGGAAACUUACAUUUUUUGUACCAUACUUCUUUAUGAUGAUUUUGAGAAACAUAACUACUACCCAAUAAAAAAAUUUUACAAUCAAAUUUGUUCCACCAAAUGAUUCGAAAAAAAUCAAAUUUAUCGUUAUAUCAAAAUUGACCAUUGAUAGAUAUUUAAUGUUGAAACUGAUUUUGUUUUUUCACACCACACUUCUUUAUGAAGAUUUUUAGGAACAUAAUUACUACCAAAUAAAAUUUCUUUACAAUCAUAAUUGCUUCUAAAAAAUGAAUGUGGUAUAAAUUGAGGGUGGUUUUUCAAGUGCAUAUAGUGGCAGUGACUUGCGCAAGUAAAGUGGGAAGGAGAUUUGCAAUUCCUUAGAAUCAAAAUUUUGUCACAACCAGACCACAGUUCCUUUGUUGCCAAUAUUUAGGAGAAUGAGAACCCCAUACUCCUAUUAGGAUGUGAAGGAGAUACACAUAGCUUUGAAAAAUAAAUCUAAGACUUGAUUGAGUUUUGCAUAUGAAGCUCUUCUCAUUAACUUUGAAAAAUAAAUCCAAGACUUGAUUGAAUAGUCUAAGGCCCUGCAACAUCAAAACUUGCAAUAAAUUAUAGCUUGUUUUCUUAUAAAAGUUCUUUCCACCUCACAAGAUCAAUGCACUAAAGAAGGAAAUUUCAAACUAUAGAGCAUGAAGAACGAGAAAUUUUUGUCCAAUGGGAGAUAUUCAAGGAGAUAGUCAUAGCCUACCCUCACCAUAGCUUUGAUGACUAGAUGUUAGUGUCCUACCUUUACAAGGGUAUGUCUCUUCCGAUGAAGCAACUCCUUGAAUGAUGCAUGGUAGGGAUUUCAUGAAUUAGAGUCUUGAAAAAGGAUUCCAAUUUCUCUAUAAUUAUGUUGCAAAAGUAUCCAGAAGUUAAGACGACUUGAUCAUCUAAGAACAAUUAAGGGACAAAGGGGUGAACAAGCCAAGAGCCAUUAGAGUGUAAACACUCUCAAAUGGUUUAGAUUUCCGAGCAAAAAUUGCUACUAUUGUAAAGAGGUUAGAUGAUUUAGAAAGUAAAGGAUUUUGAGAGGUACAAAGGAUCACUCAACCAUGUAUGAUUUACAAGUUUGUGGAAUAGAGGUCUCCUUCUUACUCUACUUUUAGUAUAUGAUAUGCUUCCAAAGCAUGCAAAUGUCAUUGGAAGCUAUGCACUACUCAUGAACAACUCAUUUUUCUCAUGUACUAUUUAUCUAAAUUGGAGAACAUGCAAAUUUUUCAUGGAGUAGAAACAACAAUGGCACGUUUUAGUAGUAAGGAAAUCAAUUCCAAGCCAAUCAAAGUGGUGGUCUACUAAGAAAUUUCUAUAGCAAUCUUUAUCUUUAUCAUUAACCCAAGGUUGGAGAACUUAAUAAGGCAAUUCAUGCAACAAUAAAGCAAGUUUAAUGAAAAUCGGCUAAAAAUAAAUGCUUAAACAUCGUAGGUUACUUCAAACAUUUGGAAUGUCUUAAGUCAAAUCACUUUAAGCUUACCACAGGACAAAAACAAGUUCUCUACUCGGGCACAUCAAAAUCCAAAGGGAACAUGUAAUGCUUUUGAUAUUAAGAAUGAAGCAAGACAUUAGUCACACUUUGAAAUUGUAAGGCCCUAGUUAUAGAUCUAACUUUUAUUUUAAAAUUAAUCAUGGCUUUAAGGGAGGAAAAUAAUAGUAAAUACAAGGUUCAUUUUCAACCAAGGAAGAGGAAAAAGCCAAUUAUGUAUAAAUAAAAUACUACUUUAGAUUUGUGAAGCAUGAAUAGAUCCAAGAAAAGACAAAAUAAGCAAGUCAUGGGCAUGAAAUACGGGAAAUUAAUAUUAUAACAUGAGGUAGAGGGCAAACAACUAAGAGUGAGGAGGUUUGAAGCAAGUGUAACAAGUUUAAAAUGAAAUUUGAAACUCAAACUAAAGGCAACAACAUAAUACAUGAAUUUGAGCUAAAUUUUGGAGUACUUUUAGAUUGUCUUUUAAAGCCAACUACCUAUGGUUUUAAAGCUUAAGAAGUCAAAAAUCCAAUGUUGGGUUGGAGCUUUUAAAAACAAGACAUGAAGCAACAAAGUAGAAUAUGAGCUUCCACAUUUCUAUCCAUCAUUUGCACUAAUAUUGAUUUGAGUAUUCAGACCUAUAUCAUUUGCAUUGUACAUGACUUUGGUGUAUUAAGAGUUUCAUAGAAGAUACAAGUUAUGGACUCCUUGCAAGAUAAUAAGUAGUUCAUAAUCGGUUUAUGGAUUUGAGUAAUCCAAUAGAGGAGAUAGUACAUUGAUAAGUAGCUUACAGUCAGUUCAUGGAUUUAGACAAUGUAGUAAAGGUUGUAGUGCACUAUCUCCUAAUUGGAGGAUAACUUGUCUUGGUUGUCGGGAUGAAUUUCUCAUGUUGAGUGUACUAGUGUGAAUGGUUACACAUUGGAUAUAACCUACAUUAAAUUAUGACGUAAAACUAUUAGAUUAUUAUGAUUCACUAGGCCACUGUAUUACAUGAACCCUCAACCUUGAGAAGAUAUUGAACCUAUGGUGAAAUCAAAAUGAGGUCUUAACCUAUGAAUGAGAUCCUAAUGUGAUGAUAUACCCCUAUAGAUUGAGUCAUUAUUGAUAGAAGAUGGUAAUGAUAGAUAUUCUCAAUAGAGGCACCAUAAUAUCUCAUGGGAUUAAGACAAUUUUCUCCCAUGAGUGAUCUAAAGGACAUGUGUUCAUAAAAUUUGUAGUCAUAGUAAUUCCUUAAGGGGGUGUUUGGUACACGGGAAUAGGGAGUGAGAAUAGACAUCUCAUUCAUUUUCUCCCUUAUUCCUAUGUUUGGAUAAAUGUUAAGAAGGUGAAAAUGAAAUAAAAAAUUAUUUCGGCAGAAAUCAAAUCCAACUUAUGAGUCGGAUUUGCAUUCAUUAAAAGUAGGUGGUAUUCUGAUUCAUUAAACCUAUUUGAUAAUAUAAAAUAACUUAAAUUACUAUUUUACCCUCUUAUCUUGUUCUUUAAACCCGAUGUUUAUCUUCUUUGCAAAGGUAGAGAUCCAUUCAUCAUCCACUUCUUAUCUUCUUUGCAAAGCUAGAGACCCAUUCAUCAUCCAAUUCUCUGCAACAAGUGAUUCUUCCAAAUUGAAUCAAUUAAACCUUCCACGAUAUUUAAAAAAAAAAAAUCAAUUUAUAAUUUAUAGGGUUUUGGAUGUACAUUUUGAUUGUUGGAUCUAGGAUUCGUCAUUGUUUGCUACAACUAGGUUCUGAAAACCCCCUUCUACAUCUUCGAUCAGGUUUACCUUAUUUUCUCUUUCUUCUUCUACUUCUUUAUAUGUGUUUCUUCUUCUCUAUAAAUCGAUUAUUUUUUUUUUUUUAUAAAUUUAUGUUUGGAAUCUUUGAUGUUUCUUUAUCUUGUAUUAAUGGAAUCUGGAGAGAAAAAUUAAAAUGGUUGGAAAAAGAUUUUUCGAUUUCACGUGUUUACAAUAUUGAAAAUUUUUAAUGGUUAGGAAAAAAAUAAAAAGAAAAAAACAAACAAAAACAAAACUUUUGGUUUUUUUUUCCCCUUUGUUUAUUAUUAUCGGCGUCUUCCUUUCCUAGUUAAAGCUAUGGAUUCUGCCGUCUCGCAAAAAAUCUGCUGCGUUUCCGGCUCAUUUUGGAACUUUAGCAUGGGCCACAGUGAAGAUCUCUUCAUAUCAUUACUAUUUAACAAUAAACAAACCAUUAAGCACCGAGAAACCAACAUUGAUUAAUUUUUUUAUUCCAGCUGCUAUUGAUCUAUAUGGGCCCAACUUUAUGGUUAAUUUUUUAUUUAUUGAGUAUAUUUAUAUGUUUUUAGUCUUAUUAUUUAAUAACAAAAAACCUCUCAAAUUUUAUUUUUUUAAAAUACAAGUAAAAAUAAAAAAAUAUUUUAAAUUAUAUGUAAGGAUAUUAUUAUAAAUUUAUUUCUUUUUCAUUUUCAUUCCUAUUAUUAUCAAACAUUGGAAUGGAAACAAAUAAUCAUUCCAAUCUUGCAUUCCUAAGUUCAUCCAAAUGCUAGAAAUGGGAUCAUCAAAUUCAUUCCAUUUCAUUAAGAAAUAGGAAAGGAAACAAAAUAUUAUUUCUAUUCCCUAUUCCGACGUACCAAACACCCCUGAAGUGGAAUUUGACAUAUGUUUUUUAUGAGUUAAAAUAUUCAAUUGAUCACAUAAUAGGAGGAUUUGUAACUUAAAGAUUGAAAAAGUAAUCUUGAUGGGUUAAUAACACUAACCUAUUAGAUUAUGGGCAUUAGUUCAUGAGGAGUCCACAUGCAAUGAACUAAUGGAUUUUGACUAAAAAACCUGUAAGUGUCAAAUGGAUUUAUUAGAUAAAGUAUAAACUUGAUGGUAAAGCUAAUCGAUUUAAAGCAGCAAAAGGUUAUAAAUAGAUCUAACUCAUAAAAGGUGAAAAUUUUACCAAAUGGAUGUGAAGUUAGCUUUAUAAUUACUAAAAAGGUUUUUGUUGAACAACCACCAUGAUAUAAAGGGAAAAAAAACAAGUUUACAAACUCAAAAUGGCAUUGUAUGGGUUACAGUAGACCACAUGCUUAGUACACAUGAAUUGAUGCUUAUUUAUUAUGAAAAAAAAAAAAAUUGUAUGUAUCAUUUUAUUAAAAGGAUAAUCUAUUAAAAGAGGUGGAAUCAUUUCCACUUUAUAAAACUAACCCUUCAUUUAUUUUUAAUUUAAAAAAUAAUCGAUUUAGAAAAAAAAAUGUCUUUAUUUUUUUCUUGUAAAAUAAUUAUUUUUUUUUAAAAAAAACACACUUAUAAAUAAUAGAAGUGUUAAAGGGUAUUUAUGUCAAAAUUAGAUUACUCUUCAAGUUCAAAACGGGAUAUAUUAGUUUUACAAAUUUAAAAUUUUUUCAUCCUUUUAAUGGAUUAAUCCUUUAUUAAAUUAAUAGAAUUUUUAAGUUUCGUUUUUACGCACGUGUUUUUAAAGUUCACGACAUUUGUGUCUAAAAUAUAAAAUGUCAACAAGCGACACGUCAGUUUUUGGUAAACAUCGUUCUCAAAAGGAAAAGAAAAAAUGCAAAUAAAAGGCCACAGAGUACAGAGCAAGAAGCUGAGCAAAGAGAAAGUGGCACCAAGAGAAGACAAAAAAUGGUGGGUUCGCUUCCAGUUGCAAAUGUCCAAGCUCUUGCUUCCAGCUACUCCGGUGAUGUGCCACUCCGGUACCUACGGCCGGAACUCCUCUCAGAAGAAGUUUUGGUGGAUGAGUCUCUUCAAAUUCCCACCGUAGAUAUGAGGAAGCUCCUGGUUGAUGAUGAUGAAAUGAGUAAACUUCACUUGGCCUGUAAAGAAUGGGGUUUCUUUCAGGUAUAAUUAUUUUUAUAUGUUUGAACCGGGUUUAUUAUCUCUUGGGAUUUUUAUCAAGUUCCUCUUUUGGGCUGCUUCUAUGCUUUUUUUUUUUUUCUUGGAAUUUCUCUUGGUUUAAUGAAUAAUUUCAUUUUCAACAGCUAUUGUAUAUAGAUUCUUGUAAACAAUUCUUUUCUGGGUUUUUAAGAAGGGAGGGAUUGGGUAAGAAUACAUAUGCAUAUGCAGGGAUUUUGUUUUGGAUUAUAGAUUUGUUUUGAGGACUGAAGGUUUUGGUUAGGGUUUUGUAUGGAACCCCAAAGGUAGAACAGAUAGAGACUAUUACAAUCUAGGAAUUUUCUACCAUUUAUCCAUGAUAUGGUAUGUACAAAAUGAUAAUUUCUAAAGUAAAGAUUGGGAGGUUAUGAUUAAUUCUCUUCAAUUCAAAGGCCUAAAAAAUGAUCAUACAUCUGAUAUAUGAUCAUCACCCUCUAAAGUGAUUCUUCUGUAUUAUUCUCAGUUAUUGUUGAAAUUUUAAGUCAUUUAAGUCACAGAUGUAGCUGAACUUGAAGCUGAGUUUGUUGGAUGGUUUUACCUUAUACCUCAAUGGGUUACUGUCUUAUUCUAAAUUGAGCAUAUUAUCAUCAAACAGUUAAUAAAUCAUGGGGCAGCCGAAGAAGUAAUUGAGAAAAUGAAGGCAGAUGUUCAAGAAUUCUUUAAAUUGCCACUAAAGGAGAAGAAUGCAUAUGCGAAACUACCAAAUGGGGUUGAAGGUUAUGGCCAAAACUUUGUUGUUUCCGAAGACCAGAAGCUUGAUUGGGCUGAUAUGCACUUUCUUCAAUCCCUGCCAGCCUCUGAAAGAAAUAUGAGGUUCUGGCCUGAAGAACCCACUUCUUUCAGGUAAAUAGGUUAACUACUCUGAUUGAAUGAAUUCUUGUUGAUGACUGUUGUCCUUGAAAAACUAUUACGCUUCAUAUAAUUUUUUAAAAUGUGAAAGAACAUUGAGCACAAAAAUGAGCUUAAUAGUGAAAAAAUAUACCCACUCGUUGGCACUUUGCUUAAGUUUCCUUUUGUAUGUCAGGGGAACUUUGGAAAAGUACUCAUUGGAGCUUGUAAAAGUUUCAAACUGCCUUCUGAAGUUGAUGGCUAAGAACCUUUUGAUAAAUCCUGAGCAGCUCACAAAUAUGUUUGACGUUGGAAGACAAGCAGUGAGAAUGAAUUACUAUCCGCCUUGUGUGCAUGCAAGCAAGGUAAUAGGUCUCACUCCCCACUCAGAUUUCGGAGGACUUACCCUACUUGUUCAAGUCAAUGAAGUGCAAGGCUUGCAAAUUAAGAGAAAUGGUAAAUGGAUACCAAUUAGGCCUGUCCCUGGUGCGUUUAUCGUCAACAUUGGUGACGCUAUUGAGGUAACUAAUCCUAAAUUCUCUUAAAUAACAUUAUAUUGUUAAACCAAACAGGCAAAUCUCGUAUUGUUGUUUAUUGGCAGACUGAAAGUUGACAAAUGAAAUUCUUGAAUGGUUAAUUUCAUUUGUGAGCAGAUAAUGAGCAAUGGGGAAUAUAAGAGCAUAGAGCAUAGAGCAGUGGUGGACCCAGAAAAGGAACGACUCUCCAUUGCAACAUUCUGUUCUCCGAAUGCUGGGGCAAUCAUUGGUCCUUUGCCAGAGCUUACAAAGGAGAAAGGUGCAAUCUAUAAAUCUGUAAGCAGGGAGGAGUACAUAAAAUUUGUACUUGGUAGAAAACUUGAUGGCAAAAGUACAAUAAAUCAUAUGAAGUUGGAGAACUGAAAGGCCAUGAUAACCAUGUAUUAUCGAAGGAAUUGAGUUGAAUAAAUUAUGUGAUCCAUAAUUUAAGAAAAUUUCAAUUUGCUACUAUAGUUAAUUGGGACUAAGCAAACUCAUUGCUACUAAGCAACUCUUUGGAGAGACUCCAAAGAGAAUCCAUAAAGAGCAUGAAACUCGAAUGUUUUGCGGUUCUAGAAGUCCGUGAAUCAUUCUCAAAAUAUCAUUGUUAUGAUGUUAAGAGAGUGUUAUUGAUAAAUUUUGUGUGUCAUUCUUGUGUUGAAUCUUGAGAAAAAUUAGCGGUGAUAAAAUUUAAAACAAUUUAUCAAUACUAUUCGAAUUUGACACAUUUUUUGUAAAUUUAGAUUGAUUAUAAUAUUAUUUGAUUAAAUUCGUGUUGACCUAUAUAACUUAUUUAAUAAAUAGAUUAUUUUUUUUAUUAACCUAUAUGACAUGAAUUUGACCCAAAAUGACCUAUUUAAUAACCGUGUUGAUUAAUCAAAUUAUAAUCAUAACCAAUUUAACUUAUAUUUGAUUGAUUUAAAAUUUGAUUUUGAAUAAAUAGGUCAAUCGACUAAUAAACAUGUUAGGUUGAGAUGUUAAUUAUAUUGGUUGAAACAAAGAUCUAGUCCGACUUGAUUAUUAAAUGGGACUUAACUAUUAAAUGAGUUAUAUAAUAUAUUACAUGUUUAGUAAUUAGCGUGUUUGGUUUAUAUUUUAAUUUGAUUAUUAUUUGAUUUGUGCUUAAGUUGACCUAUUUAGUCCAAUGCAUGAGUUUUGACACAUCACAAACACAAUUCACCAACAUGAAUUGUCACCCCUAAAACAAUAAGAGAUUUAUGUAAAUUGAUACAUUUCUAGUAGGGAUGACAACGGGAUGGUUUCAUGAUAGGUCAUCAUCCCAAUCCUGCCCUAUUUAUUCAAAAUAUUUUUCAUCCAUGUCUCAUUAAAAGAAUUAAAUGGAGCGGGGGAGGGGCGGCGUGAGUAUGCAAAUUUCUCAUACUCAUCCCAUACCGCUUCAUUUAACCUUUUUUUUUAAAAAAAAAAAAAUUUCAAAAUAUUUAACUAUAUUAAAAUAAAUGUCUUUUAUAAAUGAUUAAAAUAUUAUAGUUUUUUAUAACUUAUUUGAUCGAAAGAUAUUUUUAUUUAUUAUUAUUAUUAUUAAAAAUAAGAAAAUAAAAAUUAAUUUAAUUUAAAAAUCAACCAAACCAACUUUAUUUACACUCUUAUUUGUUUUUUACAAAACGAUAAAUUAAAAACUACGAAAAAUAAAUUUAUAUUAUUGAAAAUCUUUAGAUUACCUUUUGAAAAAUUCAAAAUCGAGUAAAAAAUUGUUUCAUCAUUUAAUUAUUUCGAGAACCAUUUCAUUUCUAACUCAAAAUUCAACGAACUUUUCUUCAUAAGUUCUUUUUAUCUUUCUUUUCAAAAAAAAAAAAGAGUUUAAAGAGUUUAAGAGAAAGAAUUUUUUUGAUUUAUAUAUUUAAUGGGGUGAUUUUUGAGCAAUUUCUAGUAGUUCCAAUUCUCAGAACCCCUUCCCCUAGAUCUUUGAUUUGUUGGGUUGGGUUAGGUCGGGUUAAACCACUUCAUCACCCAAACCCAACUCCAACAUAAACUAUGGUAUGGUAAAAAUUUAAUUAUUUUUAAACAAAAGAAAAUAUCUAUUUUAAAGGAUAGGAUAAGAUGGGAUCUCUGAUAACAAAGAGACAAUAAUAAUUCUAUCCAUUGAACCUGAUAUCAUGAAUUUUAUAAUGUGGUAUUUUGUUAGAAGUGGGUCCCUAUCACUUAUGCCUCCCCCAAGUUAGCCUCCACCCACCUGCCCUUCUUUAUCUACAUCACCCUAUCUUCAAUAAAAAAAGUCACAUCAUUUUCAAUAAUUUAUAGCUGUGGAUUUUCUUAGGUCUUGCGUAUUCCUUAUUUUGAAUUUUCAAUGUGCUUCUAGAAGACACAAAAAAUAUAUUAUAACGUUAACGGGGGACUUGUGAAGUUUCCCAGGGACUUUCCCGGAAAGGAAAAUUGUGGGGGAAUAAAAGAAUUCGUGAAAUGGUUACUGGGAAACUUUGGUUUGACGUUUUCUUCAUAUCCCCCCUUCUGCAAUCUGAAAAAAAGAAAGUUGACGACAUGAAUCUACUCAAGAAAAUUAAUAUUGUUUGGAAGGAUGGCAUCACAUUUGACGAAAAUCUCUUUGACGGGUUUUGAAUUUUUGAAAAAUCAAGACGGAUUCGGAUCUUGUCUUGCCAUAUAAAAUUUAGUUUAAAAAAUUAAUUUUAAUUUCUUUAUUUAAAAUGAAAAUGAAAUCAUCCGUUACCAGGAAAGACUGUAAGAAAUGAAAUUGUUGGUCCGUGGGUAACAUGCGGACCCUAUAGUUUCCAGUCUCGACUGUAAGUACAUAAUUAGAUCAGGUGUUUACCAAAAACACCUGUCUUGUUUUAGAUCAGGUGUUUGCUUUUGCAUGUGCUCAAACCAUGAAAAUCUACUUCCAGUGUGGCAGUGUCAUUGAAUGAUUUGUGAACUUGUUCUAUGCCUUGUAAUUCUUGCAACUUUUUAUGAGUUCUACAUUUGUUUUAGCUGGCUGAUAAGAUGUUUCUUACUUUGCUUUGAUCUGCCUUUAGGCCCUUGCAGCUGAGAUGGGCCCAGACACUCGUGUAAAUUGUGCUGCGCCUGGUUUUGUACCAACACACUUUGCCGAAUUCCUCACGAAAAAUGCUGAGAUUGUAAGUGCAUUUCUGGCCUGGUACUCAGGUGUCUAGCUUUCAAUACUGGAGUUUGUCAAGGACUAGCUAUGGGUUUGGAUAUUUCAAUUUAUUUUAUUCUUUCAUGCAGAAGAAGGGCAUUGAGGAUAAAACUCUACUAAACAGGCUUGGAACCACCAAGGAUAUGGCUGCAGCCACGGCCUUCCUGGCUUCCGACGAUGCUUCUUAUAUCACUGGAGAGACGCUGGUAGUGGCUGGUGGAAUACCUUCUAGACUCUAGUCCUUUUUUCUCUGAUUUGUACUAGUCUUGCAGUAAGGCAUGGUAUUCAAGUACACAAAUAAUAAAGAUUUGAGGAAGAUCUUCAGCGCAGUUCUCAAUGCAAUAAUAAACAUGUUCUCUUCUUUCAAAGUAGGAAUUAGCAGCUUUACCGUAGAAGAAUAUGAUGAAGAUGAGAGUUGAUCAGAAUCAAAUAGUUGCAAAGAAAUACAUACCAAAUAUUACUGCCCCGAAGAAGAAAGAACAAACAUAAAUAUUUGAUUAUUCUUCUACCCUCCAUGCUAGAAUUGAAUGUGUCUGAAGAAAAGCAACAUUGGCAUAUGCAAACGGGAACCCCUUUUUAGAGAACCCCAUGCAGCUUAUGUACAUAGAAUCAGCUAGAAUCAAAACGUGUAGCAUCAUCACAAUACAUCAUUUUUUCCUAUCUGCUUGGAGAAGGAAAACUUUUCCCCCCAUUGGAUUCCCCCAUUAGAACCCCAAAGCACAUAAAAUAAAAGCCUGACUAGAUAACCUUAUCCUCGCUUAUUAUGCAUCUUCUUCGGGUCUUCCUGCUCUGCAUCUACUAAGCCUACUUUACAUAUGCUUAAAAAAAACCUGGAAAGGGAAGAAGAGUGGUCUUGGUGCCUUUUUUCUUUUUUCUUUUUUUUCAAAACCUUUCAAUAUUUACUCGUGAUAUCCUUUAGCAAAAGAAAGUUGAGGCGUGGCAUGGCAUGGCAUAUCUACACGGGAACCACAUCUUUAUUAUAAAUCUGUAAAUCUAUAAAUCUGUAAGCAGGGAGGAGUAUAUAAAAUUUGUACUAAGUACAAAACUUGAUGGCAAAAGUACAAUAAAUCUUAUGAAGUUGGAGAACUGAAAGGAUAACCAUGUAUUGUCAAAAGAAUCGAGUUGAAUAAAUUACGUGAUCCAGGGUAAUUUAAGAAAUUUCAAUUUGCUACUAUAGUUAAUUGGGACUAAGCAAACGCAUUGCUACUAAGCAACUCUUUGGAGAGACUCCAAAGAGAAUCCAUAAAGAGCAUGAAACUCGAAUGUUUUGCGGUUCUAGAAGUCCGUGAAUCAUUCUCAAAAUAUCAUUGUUAUGAUGUUAAGAGAGUGUUACUGAUAAAUUUUGCGUGUCAUUCUUGUGUUGAAUCUUGAGAAAAAUUAGUGGUGAUAAAAUUUGAUACAAUUUAUCAAUAUUAUUCGAAUUUGACACAUUUUUUGUAAAUUUAGAUUGAUUAUAAUAUUAUUUAAUUAAAUUCGUGUCGACCUAUAUAACUUAUUUAAUAAAUAGAUUAUUUUCUUUAUCAACCUAUAUGACAUGAAUUUGACCCAAAAUGACCUAUUUAAUAACCGUGUUGAUUAAUCAAAUUAUAAUCAUAACCAAUUUAGCUUAUAUUUGAUUGAUUUAAAAUUUGAUUUUGAAUAAAUAGGUCAAUCGGCUAAUAAACAUGUUAGGUUGAGAUGUUAAUCAUAUUGGCUGAAACAAAGAUCUAGUUCGACUUGAUUAUUAAAUGAGACUUAACUAUUAAAUGAGUUAUAUAAUAUAUUACCUGUUUAGUAAUUAGCAUGUUUGGUUUAUAUUUUAAUUUGAUUAUUAUUUGAUUUGUGCUUAAGUUGACCUAUUUAGUCCAAUGCAUGAGUUUUGACAUAUCACAAACACAAUUCACCAACAUGAAUUGUCACCCCUAAAACAAUAAGAGAUUUAUGUAAAUUGAUACAUUUCUAGUAGGGAUGGCAACGGGACGGUUUCAUGAUAGGUCAUCAUCCCAAUCCUGCCUUGUUUAUUCAAAAUAUUUUUCAUCCAUGUCUCAUUAAAAGAAUUAAAUGGAGCUGGGAGGGGCGGCGUGAGUAUGCAAAUUUCUCAUACUCAUUCCGUACCGCUUCAUUUAACCUUUUAAAUAUAUAUAUAUAUAUAUUUCAAAAUAUUUAACUAUAUUAAAAUAUUAUAGUUUUUUAUAACUUAUUUGAUUGAAAGGUAUUUUUUAUUAUUAUUAUUAUUAAAAAUAAGAAAAUAAAAAUUAAUUUAAUUUAAUUUUAAAAAUCAUUUUUAUAUAUAAUCAGGGUGAGGUAAGACAAGACAAUAUCCGAACUUGCCUUGAAUCCAUCAUAGAUUUAAAAAAAAAAAAAUCAAAUCCACCUUUAACCCUUUUAUUUAAAUUUCAAACUUGCCCCAUAAAGACAAGGCGAGGUAGGUACCGCCUCAAUGUCAUCAUUAAUCUCUAACCAAGAGUUUUAAAUUACACAUAUUCAUUCUCUUGCUAGGUAUCCUACAAAGUAUUAAAAAUCUCUUUUUAACGAGUAUUGGCAUAAGAAAUAAAGAAAUUUUUUUGUCAAAAACUCUUUAUACCAUCAAGACACAUCAAGAGGGUAUUGGAAAAAAAAAAUUGUCUUAAUGACUACAUUAACUUUACCUUGAUCAAACCAAGUGUCUUAACCAUAAGAUUCAUGAAUUCAUACAUGCAUGUUUGUGGUUCACAUUAAUGUAUUUUUAUGAUAUUAAUUGGAUUGAUCCUAAAAUAAAUAACUCAAAGGUCAAGUUCCAAAAUUUAUUAUUAAGAAUAAGAUAUGAAGAAUUGUCUAUUAUUGCACUGAUAAAAAAUUUGAUGUUUCAUAGUAGAAAUAAACAUAUAAGUAUCAAAUUCAUUAUAUUAAGGAACUCGUAAAAAAUUAUGAGAUUGAAUUUGGGCUUUGUAGAUCAAAAGAUCAAGUUGCAAAUAUUUUUAUAAAACUAUUAAAAAUUGAUGUGUUCAAGAAGUUGAAAAUGAUGUUUAGUGUGAUUGACCUUACAACUUAGUUUAAAGGAGAAUGUUGAAAUUAUAAUCUAACUUAAAGUCAAAUUAUAAGAAUUUUAGGAAUUUGAGAAACAUUAUAAAUUGUUUAUUUAGGUUUCUUACAUUAAUUAGGAUUUCUAUACUAAUAUGAAUUGGAAUCGUACACAAGUAUGAUUAAUAUAUUAUAAAUAAGUUUGUUAUUAUGUAAAAUAUAUAUAUAUAUAUAUAUAAUAAGAUAUUAUUUUAGCAAAAAUAUUAUCAAUACCCAAUCACGUGGCUUUAAGCAAGGAAUUGGGUCAUUGAGCUCACCACUCCUAUCUACACUACAAAACAAGAAGAUUAGCAAAGAGAGAACUUGUACCCACAGGUACAUGGGACUCUGAUUAAUCAUAGCUUUGAUAUAUAAGAAUCAAAAUGGUUUAGUUCUAGAAAUGGCUUUAUUUGAAUGCACGUUUUUUUUUUUUUUUUUUUUAAUGUUUUGAAAAAAUUAGAAGGUUUUAUAUAGAAAGUAAAAAAAUUUAUUCAAUAGAUAUAGAUUCACCUUAUAUCCUCAAAAAAAUUUUAAAAAUUGAAGUAAAAAACUUUCCAUAUCUCAAAUUUUUUAAGUAGUUUUUAAAAAUUAUUACAUUUUCAAUAGAAGCCCAUAAAGGUUUAAAUUACUUAUAUUUUCUAUUUUUAAUAAUUUAAGAAGAAGAAUUAUUUUAUUAAAAUAGAUGAAAUAAUCUUGAAUCAACAAAAUUAGCCUCUUCCAUAUUUAAACUUAAAAAAUAAUAUAUUUCAACAUAAAUACCCUUCAUUAUUAGGAUUAUUUUCAUAUAAAUUUUAGAAGAAAAUUUUACUUUUAUUGGAAAACAUGAAGAGUAUGUCUUUAAAAAAUUGAUCAAUUUUUUAGACUUUAUAUUUACAAAUUUGAAAUUAUUUUAUCUUUUUUUUAUCAAAUAACCCAAGAAAAAAAUAUAUAUAUAUGCAAAGGAACACCUAAAUUAUUAUUCUUCAACAACAAUUAGAAAAAGUUAAAGAUAUUCAAACAAAAGGUGAUAUACAUGUUUCGUGAAUCUAAAAUGACGAACUGAGAUGAUGUUUAUUUUUUUUACUUGCUUUUAAAUGAAAAUAAAAAUUAAAUAGUACUUAAUAGUGUUAAGUAUUAAAUUAUUUGUUUUCAUAAUAUUUUAUUUUUAUUAAGUAUUAAAAAGUAAAAAAAAAAAUCAACAUUUUAUUUUUUUUAUUUUUAAAAAAAAGUUAAAUAUUUUAAUUUUUUUGUUAAACCAAAAAUUUAAAAUAAAUUAUGAAAAAAAAAAACAAACAAACAACUUAAAAUUUGAAAACAAAUUACUGUCAACAAAAAACUAAAAAAAUAAAUACUUUUAAUUCCUAUUGUAAAACUUUAUUUGUGAGUAACCCUUAUAUUAAAUCAUUACCAUAUGUAAAUUUCAUUCUAAGGCACAAGAUUUAGAGUUGACAAAAUUAGUGUCUAAAAUAGUAAAAUGUCAACGAGUGACACGUCAGCUUUAGGCGACACAUCAUUUAAAAAAAAAUAGGAAAAAAAGGAACGAACAAACGAAAAGGAAACAAUGCAAGAAGCUAGCGAAGAGGUAGUCACAUCAAGAGUAGACGAAGAUGGUGGGUGAAGUGAUGAGCAGAGAGCUGGGAGCUAGGUUCACUUCCAGUGGAAAAUGUCCAAGCUCUUGCUUCGAGCAACUCCGAUGAUAUGCCACUCUGGUACCUCCGAUCGGAGCUCCAGUCAGAAGAAGUUUUGGUGGAUGAGUCUCUCCAAAUUCCUACCAUAGAUAUGAGGAAGCUCAUGGUUGAAGAUGAUGAAAUGGGAAAAGUUCAGUCGGCCUGUAAAGAAUGGGGUUUCUUUCAGGUAUAAUUAUUUUUAUAUAUUUGGUCGAUCCUUGGGAUUUUUGGCAAAUUCAUGUCUUGGGCUGCUUUUAUUUCUUUUAAUAUGUCUCUUGGCUCAAUGAGUACUUCAUUUUAACUGAUAUUGCAUAUAGAGUCCUGUAAACAAUUCUUUUUUGGGUUUUUAAGAAGGGAGGGAUUGGGUUAGAAUGCAUAUUCAUAUGCAGGGCUGAAAGAAAACAAAGUAGAACAAAGUAUUUUGGAAGUUUGGAAAUUUGUUGUGUAUUCAAUCUAUCAAUUAAGGGAAGAAGAUGCAUAUAUACAAAGCAUUGGUUAGCCUAUUCUAGGAAUCUAUGUGCAAACGUAUCAGUUACAAUCAAUAAAAAAUAAUCUUCUAUAUACAAUCAAAUCUCAUCCUCAAAUUAUGGGAUCCUUGAUUCUUUUCCCAUAAUACUCCCCCUCAAGUUGGAGCGUGUAUGUCAAGAACGCCAAACUUGUUGAGAAGGGAAUGAAAAAUUGAUGAACUGAGUGGCUUAGUGAACAAAUCAACAAGCUGGCAAGACAAUGGAACAUGAGCAAUUAUUAUGGCACCUGAUUGAAUUUAUUCUCGAACAACAUGGCAAUCGAUUUCUAUAUGCUUGGUACGUUCAUGGUAAAUUGGAUUAGCAGUAAUAUGGAGUGCUGUUUUUCUAUCACAGAAUAGUUUGGUUGCUUGCGAGUGUUCUACCUGCAAGUCAUCCAACAAAUACUUGAGCCAUGUAAGUUCACACGUAAUGGAAGUCAUUGCUCGAUAUUCUGAUUCAGCUAAUGACCUUGACACUGUUGUCUGUUUCUUGGUUUUCCAUGAAAUAAGAGUUUCUCUAAGAAAAAUGCAAUAUCCAAUCACAGAUCGUCUUGUGAUCGAACAUUGAGCCAAAUCUGCAUCGCAAAAUCCUCUUAGUAGCAAAUUUCCUUUGGCAGGAAAAUAUAAUCCUUGUUUAGGUGCACCUUUAUGAUACCGCAGAAGAUGAUGAACAACAUCCAAAUGAGGCUUUCUUGGUUCUUGCAUAAACUGACUUAAAAUGUGAACUGAAUAACUUAUCUCUGGCCUUGUAAUGGUAAGAUAAAUGAGUUGUCCGACCAAUCUUCUGUAAGUGGAUGGAUUCUUCAAUAAAUCUCCUACCGUGGGCAGGAGUUUAUUAUUUUCUUCCAUAGGUGUCGACAAUGGUUUGGCCCCAAGCAAGCCUGCUUCAUCUAAGAUAUCAAGAGUGUAUUUUCGUUGGGAUAUCGAAAUACCAUCAUUAGAACAAGCAACUUCAAUAUCAAGGAAAUAUCAUAAUUGACCGAGGUCCUUGAUGCGAAAUUUGGUGUGGAGAGACUCCUUAAGAGCUGCAAUUACAUUCUCAUCAUUGUCGGUGAUGAUCAUGUCGUCUACAUAGAUGAGCACAACUAUGAAAGAAUUACCAGAGAUCUUUGUGAAAAGUGAAUAAUCAGCCUUUGAUUGAUGGAAACCAUCUUGUUGAAUGGUGGUAGAAAAUUUCUGAAACCAACUACGGGAGGCUUUUUUAAGCCCAUAUAAUGACUUGUUGAGUCGACAUACCAUAAGUGUCUCUCCCUGUCGACAAAAAUCGGGCGGUAAUUGCAUAUAGACUUCUUCAAGAAAAUCACCAUGGAGAAAGGCAUUUUGAACAUCCAUUUGGUGAAGUGACCAGUGUCGGACAACAGCUAUAGCAAGUAAACAUCGAACUGUAGUUAACUUAGCCAUAGAAGAAAAGGUCUCCUUAUAGUCAAUCCCUUCGCGUUAAGUGAAGCCUUUCACCACCAACCGAGCUUUGUAUCGCUUAACUGUGCCAUCAGAGUUAUAUUUGAUCUUAUACACCCAUUUGCACUCAAUUGGACGAUGACUGGAAGGGAGAGGUGUGAGUGUCCAAGUGUGAUUUUGUUCAAGAGCAUGGAGUUCUACAACCAUAGCUUCCUGCCAUUUUGGAUCCAAUACUGUUUGUUCAUAAGUUGUAGGUUCCACAAGAGUGGUGAUGGCACAAACAAAAUUCUAAUAUUUUGGUGAGAGUUGUGCAUAGGAAAUAUACCGAGUCAAAGGGUGACGUGUACUUGACAAGGAAGAAGAUUGGCUGGAAGCAACCUUGGUUGUGUGGUAAAGAUGAAAAUUCCAGAGUUGGACAUUUGGUUGCUUGAUACGGUUAGAACGAUGAGUAACAGGAGGUGGAGGUGACACAAUGGUGUCAAGAUCAAGUGUACGUUCAUUAGAGGUAGACUCAGGAGAUGAAAGUAAGGGUGGUGGAGACAAAGAUUGAUCAUCGGCUUGGGGUUUGGUUGUCUUUGUGGUUAUGGGUUCAUAUGAGGUUUGUGGUAAAGGAAGAAUGACCAUAUCAUAUUGUUCUUCUUGUGGAUUAUUGUGGAAUGGAAAUAUAUGUUCAUGAAAGACAACAUCUCGGGAAGAAAAUAAUUUAUUAGUUUCAAGAUCAUAAACCCGAUAACCCUUUUGACCAAGAGGAUAACCAACAAAUGUGCAACGACAAGCUCUUUAAUCAAAUUUAUGUGUGGGUAAGAGAUUGGUGGCAUAACAAAGACAUCCAAAAGUUCAUAGAUGAUGAUAUGAAGAUAGCUUGUUAUAGAGAAGUUGGUAUGGCGAUUUGUGAGAAAGAAGGGGUAUAAGUAAGCGAUUGAUUAAAUAGCAAGCCAUUUGAACAGUUUCCCCAAAAAAUUUUAACAGCAAGUUUGCUUGAAAACGAAGAGCUCUUCCCACAUUUAAAAGGUGACGAUGUUUCCUCUCAACCACUCCAUUUUUUUGGGGGGUGUAAGCACAUGAAUGAUGGUAAUUGAUCCCCUUAGUAUCCAAAUACUGCUUCAUAGAGGAAAUUUUAGUCGCAUUAUCGGUUCAAAGAGUUUUAAUGCAACGAUUAAAUUGUGUUUCCACCCAAGAAAUGAAUGAUUACAAUAUUCCUUGUGUUUCAUAUUUAAAACUCAUGAGAUGUAUUCAAGUAUAGCGGCGGGUAUGAUCAUCAACAAUUGUUAGGAAAUAACGAGCCUUGGAAUGAGAAUUUAUUCGAUGUGGUCCCCAAAUAUCACAAUGUAUCAAAUCAAAAGGUGCGUGAGAAGAAAUGAAACUAGAUGAAAAGAACAAACGAGUUUGUUUGGCUAAAGGGCAAAUUUCAUAAACAUGCUUGGAAUCAAAAUAAAUUUCAGGAUUAAUUUUAGCAAGAACUUGAAGAGGACCGGAUGAUGGGUGCCCAAGACGUUGAUGCCAAAGAUCAGAAUGUUUGUGAAUGGUGUAAGCCAAGGCUGGAUUUUGGUCGUGUGCAAGGUAGUAGAGGCCAUUAUGUUGCUUACCCAGGCCAAUCGUCUUCCUCGUAGUAACGUCUUGCACAACACAAAAAUCAAAACUAUACAUUGUAAUGCCCGCGUUAGUUUACUAACUGAUAGUAAAUUAACUUGAAAUUGUGGAACUUUGAGUACAUCAUCAAGUUUAAUGUGAGGGGUAACAUGCAAUGAACCAAUUGACUCAAUAUGUGCUUGACCACCAUCUGGCAAACUAAUGGUAGUGGUCCUGAGCAAAUUUUUCGGAUCUAAUAAUUCAAUUGAGUAAGUUGCAUGAUCCGUGGCUCCACUAUCAAUAAUCCAACACAUAUUUGAGUGUGGCAAUCUGGAGUAAUUUUGGAUGAUGGCAUAUUUAUACUUGUGGCAUUUGCAAAAUGUUGUGAAUUACCACCAUUGUUUUUACGAAUCAUAACCAUUAAUUGGUUAUAUUCCUCAACUGUGAGCCUUGAUCCAUCACUUGUUGGAAGAAAUUUUGUUUCUAUCUCCACAGCCUUAUUUGUUUCCACUUUCACAUUGUUUGCAUUUGAGUGACGUUGAUUGGGAGGCUUCAGGUUCUUCCCAUGAAGCUUGUGGCCAAUUGGAAAGCCAUGUAGGUAGUAACACUUCUCAAUGCUGUGAUAAUCACGGUCACAAUAAAAGCAGUGCAGUGGAGUAUUUUGCUUUUGAACUUGGUGUGCUAAAGUUGCCUUAUUGUCCCGAUCUGCAAGCAUGGCAUAACGAUUCUUGUUCCCAUGACUGAGAGAAACUUCAACCUGUUUUUCUUGUUGAAGGACAAGUGAGUAAACUCGACGUGUAUCAGGUAGAGGUUGCAUCAAUAAGAUUUGUCUACGAAUGACAGCAUAACUAUCAUUCAAUCCCAUGAGAAACUGCAUAACUCUUUUUUUUCAUCCAUUUCCUUAAGUUUCUCUAAUCCUCCAUAAGAGCAGAAUAACACUUCAUGAUAGGAUGAAAGUUUAUCCCAAAAAGCUUUAAGCUUUGUGUAAUAAACCGAAAUUGAUUGCUGCCCCUGCUUAUGUUCCACAAUGUCUCGCUUGAUCUAAUAAAUUCUUGAAUCUUUUCCUUGUGAAAAACGUUCUUGUAGAUCUGCCCAUAUUUAUGUUGCAGUUUCGGCAUAAAUCACACUGUUGGCUAUGUUUGGAUGAAUGGAAUUCAAUAACCAUGAGAUCACCAUAUCAUUGCAACGUUGCCAGGAAGGAAAACUAUCAUCAGUCGAAGAGGGUGGCUUAAUGGAACCUGUGACAAAUCCAAUUUUGUCUUUAGCACUCAAACUGAUUCUCAUAGCCCGACUCCAUGUGCUAUAGUUAUCUCCUUCAAGUACCUUGGAGACAAGUACCAUACCCAGGUGGUUUGAGUGGUGUAGAGAGAAGGGGUCUAAAGCUUUUGUGAUAGCCUUCGAUGAUGUCAAUCCUGUUUUGUUGAUGUCCAUGGCAGUAGCUGUAACGAAGAAAUAGGUUGCGGAAGCGCUUGGAAGAAUUCAGAGUCACCAGGUUUGGUGCUCUGAUACCAUGAAAGAAAACAGAGUAGAACAGAGUAUUUUGGAAGUUUGGAAAUCUGUUGUGUAUUCAAUCUAUCAACUUAAGGGAAGAAGAUGCAUAUAUACAAAGCAUUGGUUAGCCUAUUCUAGGAAUCUAUGUGCAAACGUAUCAAUUACAAUCAAUCAAAAAUAAUCUUCUAUAUACAAUCAAAUCUCAUCCUCAAAUUAUGGGAUCCUUGAUUCUUUUCCCAUAAUAAGGGCUCAUGGUUUUGGUUAAGACUUUUGUAUGGAACCCCAAAGGUAGAACAUAUAGAGACUACCAAGAUGUAGGAAUUUUCUACCAUACAUCCAUGAUAUGGUGAACUUGAAGCUGAGUUCGUUGGAUGGUUUUACUUUAUCCCUUAAUGGGUUGCUGUCUUAUUCUAAAUUGAGCAUAUAUUGUCAUCAAACAGUUAAUAAAUCAUGGGGUAGCAGAAGAAGUAAUUGAGAAAAUGAAGGCAGUUGUUCAAGAGUUCUUUAAAUUGCCACUAAAGGAGAAGAAUGCAUAUGCAAAACUACCAAAUGGGGUUGAAGGUUAUGGCCAACACUUUGUUGUUUCCCAAGACCAGAAGCUGGAUUGGGCUGAUAUACUUUUUCUUCAAUGCCUGCCAGCCUCCGAAAGAAAAAUGAGGUUCUGGCCUCAAGAACCCAUUUCUUUCAGUUAAAUAGAUUAACUCCUCUGAUUACAUGAAUUCUUUUUAUUAAUUUUUUCUACAGACUUUACCGUAUGCUUGGCACAUUGCUUAAGUUUCCACCUUGUAAACCAGGGCAACCUUAGACAAGUAUUCAUCAGAGCUCCAAAAAGUUUCAAUCUGCCUUUUGGAGUUGAUGGCUAAGAACCUUAUGAUUGAUCCUGGGCAGCUCAUGAAUAUGUUUCAAAAGGGAAGACAACAGAUAAGAAUGAAUUAUUAUCCCCCUUGUGUGCAUGCAAGCAAGGUUAUAUAUUUGUGGACUUACCCUUCUUGUUCAAGUCGAUGAAGUACAAGGCUUGCAAAUAAAGAGAAAUGGUAAAUGGAUACCGAUAAGGCCUGUCCCUGGUGCAUUCAUCGUCAACAUUGGCGACAUUCUUGAGGUAUUAAUAUGGUCAUUGGCAACCUGAAAGUUGGACGAGUAAAAUAAUUUAUGGUUUCAUUGAUUGUGAGCAGAUAAUGAGCAAUGGGGAAUACAAGAGCAUAGAGCAUAGAGCGGUGAUGAACCCAGAGACGGAACGCCUCUCCAUUGCAACAUUCUGUUCUCCGAGUGUUGAGACAAUCAUUGGUCCUUUACCAGAGCUUACAAAGGAGAAUAAUGGUGCAAUCUAUAAAUCUGUAGACUGGGAUGAGUAUUUAAAGUUUGCACUAAGUAGGGAACUUGAUGGUAAAAGUGCAAUCAAUCAUAUGAAGUUGGAGAACUGAAAGACCAAUGAUAACUUCCAUUGCCUGAGAACUUUGUUUGGUGAUUCAUGGACUUUUAUGGGCCAAGGCUAUUUUGGCCUUUAAACUGUGUUGUUUUACAUUAUUAAUGCUUAAUGCCUUCACUUGAUUGAUAAAGCUUGAAGAAAUUAACAAAAUAUCCUCAUCACUUUAAAAUAUUUAACACCGGGAAUUUUUCUACAAUAUGACAUAUCACAAUCACUCCCCAUAUAGAUAGGAAUGACAACGGGGCAGGUUCGGGAUGGGUCGCCCCCCUCCCAACCCUGCCCUGUUUAUUAAAAAAAAUUCUCAUCCCCAUCUCCUUCCCAUACCCGUCCCGCCCUACCCCGUUUAGCUUUUUUUUAAAAAAAUUACUUUUAAAUUUUUUAAUUACAUUAAAAUAAAUAUAUUUUAAAAUUUUAUAUGUAAACGGGGUGGGAUGGGGCAAUACCCGAACCCGCCCCGGGUUUAAAAAAAAAAUCUCAUACCUGUUCCAAACUCGUUUAUUAAAUUUAAACUCCGUCCCAUUAGGGGCGAAGCAGGGCAAGGCGGGGCGAGUAUCCGAAAAAACCCGUCCCGUUGUCAUCCCUACAUAUAGAGACAAUAUCCUUGUUGUGUCACACAAAAGGGUUGAGGAUUAGUUCUAAUUAUACCAUUAUAAUGGCCGAACCUCUCCCGAUAAUGUAAAUAUUAUCCACUUUGGAUCCAAAGGGUCCUCACAACAUUUAAAUGUAUUUAUAAGAUUAAAAGAAAUUCAAACAUAUAUAUGACACUAAAACCUUUUUUUCAUAUCCGAUGUAAGAUAUCACAAUUUAUAACCAUAGAUAUGUACAAUCAAAAUCAAACAUGAUACAUAAAAAGUAUUAAAACUUUCCACAAAAGAUCUUACUCUGUAUUGAAAUAAAAUUAUAGAACUUCACUAUAGUUUACUUCAAUCCUCACUUUCUAGACAAUGGUAACAUUGUUUUUCCACAAUUCUCUUAUAUUAGUGGUACAAGCAUCCAUCCAUUUUUAAAUAAAAUAUACAUAGAAUUAAAAAUAUAUAUUUUUAGUGUACUUUUUUUGUACUUAUUAAAAAACACCACCAAUAAAGUGGUACUAUGCAUCCAACUCGACUCUCAUUGCCUUGUACUUGAGUUUUAUUCCUUUGUACGAUAAUUAAAGUCUCAUUGUUUUGUAUCUCAAUUAUAUUUAUUUAUAUUUUGACCUUAUUCUUUAUUAUUUUAGGUUCAUUUAUUUGUAUUUUAAUUUUAUUUAUUUGUACUUUUAUUUAAUGAUCCAAAUUUUAUUAUAUACUUUUAAUGUCAUGAUUCAAAGUUUAGUACCUUCAAAAUUUUCAACAAAUAUAAUACUUUGGCACAAUCAAAAUGACAACUAAUUUUGAGUGAGCCUUUUUCCAAUGACAGGAAGGUCCUUAUGGCUUUCAAUCUAAAUUUUUCAUUCCAAAAUCAUUGUGAAUAUGUUGACAAGCAUAUUUUGAAAAUAAAGCAAAACAAAUUUAAAACAUAAUUAGGUCAUUGAACUCAUCAACCAUAUCUCCAUCGCAAAAUCAAAAGAUUAGCGAAGAAAAAGAAUCUCUAUUUACACUAUAAAGCAUAAAGAUUAGUAAAAAGGUAACUUGUACUCAAGAUUGCGCAAGAACUUUGAUUAAUCAUUGCUUUGAUAGGUAAGAAUCAAAAUUAGGAUGAAUGAUAUGGGGUUUUUUUUUUUUUUUUUUUGUAUUAUUACAUUUGUUUUCAAAAGAAAAUUUUGAAAAUUUGAAAAUUAUGAGAAAUAUAACACUACUCAUGUCAAAAUUAUCUCUAUAUAAAUUUAUAAAUUGUCUCUAUAUUAAAAUCUCAUUUUCAAAAAGACAAGUUACCUUAUAACUAUUCAUCUUAAAAGACAAUUUUAAUACAAAUUUAAAUUGUGCUCAUGAUAAAAUCUCAUUUUGAAAAAUCGGUUUUUGCAUGUAAAAUUAUAAUUUUAAAGGAUGAUUUUAGAAGCAUGAUGAUAUUUUUCUAAAUAUUUUAUGAACACUAUUUUUUUAAAAUAUGUCUUAUUAAAUAAAUUUUAAAUAUUAAAAAAUUGAAAAAAAAAAAAAAAAAAAAACCCUGGUCCCAAAGCCUCAACAACAGUUCUUUAACAUAAUAUUAAAAGAUUUUCGACUGCAAAUUUGAAAAUUAAAUUCAAAGUUUUUUUCAGCAACUUUGAAUGAAGGCUCUUCAAUCUAAAGUCAAGGUCUUAAAUGAGCCUUGGUUUUUAGGUGCACGAAUCUUUAGAUUUUUUCUGUAUCUCGCAAGCAAAACAUCAGCUUUAGGUAACGCGUCGUUUUCAAAGAAAAUAAAGCAAAACAUGUGUAUGAUGUAUAAUAUACAAUAAUGAGAAACCCUGUGGAGACAACAAAUGGUGGGUGAAGAAAUGAGCACAGAGUCGGGAUUCUUUCUUCCAGUUGAAAAUGUCCAAGCUCUCGCUUCCAACAACUCAGGUGAAAUACCAAGCCGGUACCUCCGGCCGGAACUCCAGUCAGAAGAAGUUUUGGCGGACGAGUCUAUCCAGAUUCCCACCAUAGAUAUGAGGAAGCUCAUGGUUGCUGAAGAUGAGAUGGGUAAACUUCACUAUGCCUGUAAAGAAUGGGGCUUCUUCCAGGUACAAUCCUUAUCCUUAUCUCUUGGGAUUCUUAUAGAGUUCCUGUUUUGAGCUGCAUCCCUAGUUUUAUCCCUUGGAAUUUGUGUUUUGGCUGCAAAAGAUCCACAUGAAAUUAAUUUAUGAUAUUUUGUUCUAAUCUAUCUUGAACAAUAAGUGCUGAAAAUUUCUCAUUUCAAUUUCUCUUAGAUAGAGACUUUAUUACUAUUUAGAUCAUGUCAACAUAAUUAGAUCUAAACCACCUUGGUGAAAAAUAAAAAAUCUUUAUUAUUCUGGGUAAUUAUUGAAAGUGUAAAUUAAAAUCAUUGAAGUCAGCUAUAGCCGAGUCUGUUGGAUAGUUUUAUCUUAUACCUUAAUGGGCUACUGUCUUAUGUUAAAUUGAGCAUAUUGUCAUCAAACAGUUGAUAAAUCAUGGGGUAGCAGAAGAAGUAAUUGAGAAAAUGAAGGCAGACCUUCAAGAGUUCUUUAAAUUGCCACUAAAGGAGAAGAAUGCAUAUGCAAAACUACCAAAUGGGGUUGAAGGUUAUGGCCAACACUUUGUUGUUUCCCAAGACCAGAAGCUUGAUUGGGCUGAUAUACUUUUUCUUCAAUGCCGGCCAGCCUCUGAAAGAAAUAUGAGGUUCUGGCCUCAAGAACCCACUUCUUUCAGGUAAAUAGAUCUACUCCUUUUAUUACAGUAUGCUUGGCACACAUUGCUUAAGCUUCCACCUUGUAAACCAGGGCAACCUUCGACAAGUAUUCAUCAGAGCUCCAAAAAGUUUCAAUCUGCCUUUUGGAGUUGAUGGCUAAGAACCUUAAGGUCGAUCCUGGGCAGCUCAUGAAUAUGUUUCAAAAGGGAAGACAACAGAUAAGAAUGAAUUAUUAUCCCCCUUGUGUGCAUGCAAGCAAGGUUAUAGGUCUCACUCCCCACUCAGAUAUUUGUGGACUUACCCUUCUUGCUCAAGUCAAUGAAGUACAAGGCUUGCAAAUAAAGAAAAAUGGUAAAUGGAUACCGAUAAGGCCUGUCCCCGGUGCAUUCAUCGUCAACAUUGGCGACAUUCUUGAGGUAAUUAACCCUAAAUGUCCUAAGUAACAUUACCUUGUAUUAAUAUGGUCAUUGGAAACCUGAAAGUUGGAGGAGUAAGAUAAUUUAUGGUUUCAUUGAUUGUGAGCAGAUAAUGAGCAAUGGGGAAUACAAGAGCAUAGAGCAUAGAGCGGUGGUGAACCCAGAGACGGAACGCCUCUCCAUCGCAGCAUUCCAUUCUCCUAGUGUUGAGACAAUCAUUGGUCCUUUACCAGAGCUUGUAAAGGAGAAUGGUGCAAUCUAUAAAUCUGUAAGUAGGGAGGAGUAUUAUAAAUUUGCAUUUAGCAGGAAACUUGAUGGUAAAAGUAUAAUCAGUCAUAUGAAGUUGGAGAACUGAAAGACCAUGAUAACCAUGUAUUGUUGAAAGAAUUGAGUUGAAUAAUCAUGUGAUCAAUGGUGAUUUAAGACAAUUGCAAUUUGCUACUAUAGGUAAUUGGGACGAAGCUAACUCAUUGCUUUUUCCAAAGUUCGUCUUAUUCCUUUGCAGGUAAAGAUAAUUUAGACAAAUGCAUUCAAAAUUUGUGAUUAGCUACAUUUAAGAGUGUGAUUUGAGUGAACCCAUCCCAAUCCGAAUCCAAGUAACAAAUUUUCAAUACUUGGAUUGAAUUUGAAUUAGAUUUUUUCAACUCAAAAUCAAUACGAGUCAGACUUGAGCAACUCCAACAUAAUUUUUUUGGUUAUUUUUAAGUUUUAUCUAAUUUAUUAUUUAAAUUUUGAUACAAACAUGGAGAAAAAUUAAAAAAAAACACAAUGAAUUUUGAAUUAUGUAAUUCAACCAACUCCAACCAAUCUAAAUAACUCAAAUUUUAAAAAGUGAGGUUAAAAUGAACUUGGAUGAAGGCACUUUCAAAGGUAGGAUUAGGAGUUAAUUAUGUAUUAAUUUAGAUCAGACUUCAAUUACUCAUCAUCCUAACCAAACCACUAAUGUUGGAGUAUUGAAGUGCACCUGAGAUUGAUUCUAAAAAAACAUUUUUAACAUUAUUAACAUUUGAAUGAUUAAAAAUUUCAAGUGUUAAAAAAAUUAAAAACAUUUUUUAAAAUUAACAUCUUAUUUUAAUGAACUCAAACAAGCAAGUUAAAAUUAACCCAUUUGUAUUAUUUCUACAUCCGAUGACAUCAAGAUUCAAUGGUAAAUGGUUUUUUUAUUAAAUAAAAAAAAUUAAAUAUUUAAAUUUUUUUACUUAAAUAAAAAUAACCUAUUAAUUUUAAUAAAUAUAAUUAAAUUAAAAUAAUAAAUUUACUUUAACUAUAUUAAUUGAUAUAAUAAAUUAUUUUUAACUGAAUAAAAAAAAUUAAAAUAAAAAAUUAAAUAUUUUAAUUUUUUUUAUUCAGUCCAAAUGAUGAUGAGGCAUUUGUUCUUCCAUCAUCUCAAUGACACAAAAUAUUAACAUUCAAAAUGAUCGUGGAAGUUAUUCAACGUAAAAAAGAAAACAAAAUUUUCUUUGUCAGUGGUCGGUCCUAAGGGCCUGAACCAAGGUGUCAUAGUUUCCCUGGAAGGGAUUGUAGUUGCCUAGUGCCUACUACUUGCGUUGUUCUUGCGAUUUUAUUUGCAUAUACUAAAUAUUUUCAUUAUUUAGACGAGUAUUUGUACCAAACCCAAAUAUUAGAAUGAUAAAAUUAUAAAAUUAAUGAUAAUUCAAAUAAAAAAUAAUAAAAUUUCAUUUCUUUCCUUUAUGAUAUAUAUUCUUAAUAAUUAAAUAUUAUAAUUUUACUAUUUAAUAAAAAAAAACAUAUUAGUAUAAAUUAAUUUUAACAAUAACAAAAAGAAAAAGGAAAAAAAAAGGGGGCAUCAGUUCUCCAAGGUGAAAUAGCAUCAAUGGAAAAAUUCAGACGCAAAUUACCCAUUACUUCAUGAGAUUCAUCACUUGCCCCUGCCAAACUCAAUCGCCAAUACUCAAAGAAAUAACAAAAACACUUUCCCUUUCAUCAAUUUCACGAAAAAACCUUCAACAUUCAUCAGAAAAAAUCAGAAAAAACAAGGUAAAAAAUCAUGAGAGUAUAUGUGAAAGAAAGAAAUAAUAAUGAGAUGUGGAUGUGUGGGAUGUAGAAGGCGAUCAGAACCUGUCGGGAUUCAUUGUUUAACAUCAUCUGAUGUUGAUAUCAGUGGAUUGACAGACCAAUGAAUUCUAUCGUCACCUCGCUUUUUCCAAUCUCAAACCACACACAACAUUCCCAAAAUCAACGAAUGAGUUUUCGAAAAAACAGAUCUAAAAUCAAAACUCCAGCAUAUACGAAAACAUGUAAAGAAAAGAAAAAAAGAAGCUCAGAACUUCUUAGAGGGUUGUGUUACCAUCACAGACCAACUCCGAAGAGAGUCUUUGGUACACAAGACUAGAUUUUCAUCAUUGCAAUAGCUACCAGAACUAGCAUUCGAAGAAGAAGGCAGAAACUAGCAUUUGAAGAAGAAGGCAGAAACUGGCCUAUGAAGAAGGCAGAGAGGGGAAAGAGAAGCAAGGAAAGGAGGCUGGUGUGGUGAGUGGUAGACGAGAGGAAGUGCAGGGAGAAAGGGCCUUUUUAUAGGACAAACCCUAACCCUAAUUUCAUGUCUUGAGAUUAAUGAAGGGAAAUUGUCCCAAAUGGAAUUUAUUUUGGGUUUUCUGUAUACAAAAUUAAACGGUGACAGAAUUAGCUUACUAAAAUUCAUUUUCUGACAUUUGGAAAAUACUUUGCAACAAUUUGGGGAUGAAUAUUUUAUUUUCAUCCCUACUCCCGAAUUUGGUCAUUUCUAGGUAGGAAUGUAAGAUUGAAAUUAUAAUUUGUUUUCAUUUUAAUAUUAAGUAAAAAUAAAAAUAAAAAUAACAAAUAUAUAUAUAUAUGUCAAUAAUAUCUAUGAUUUAAAAUAAUUUUUUUUAUUUAUUUUUAAAAAUAUCUUAGUAUAUAAUUUGAAAAUUUUUCUUUAUUUUUAUUUAAAAAAACACUUUAAAGUUUUUUUUUGUUAAAUAAUAAAAAUUUAUUUGGACGUGUGAUUUAAAAACAAAUUAUUUUUAAAAAAUUAUGUCACUAUUUGAUUGUUGUUUUUAAAAAAUAAUUUUUAAAAAUAAAGUAAAAUAAAGAAUUGAAUUUAUUAAUGAGUUUAAUAAUUUAAAUAAAUAAAUAAAACUCAAAAAAAUAUUUAUAAUGACUAUAAAAAUAAUAAACAUAAUUAAUAUUUUAAUUUUUUUUAAUAAAUCUUGUAAGUUUUAAGUAUAAUUUGAAAUUAAAAAAAAUGAUUAAUUAAUUUUAAAUUAAAUAAAAUAAUUCAGAAUGUCUUAUUCGUGAUUAAGUUGGCUCAUUUAUACCUUAAAAAAUUAAAUUUUAUUUAUUUUUAUAUUCAUUUAAAAUAGAAUAGUAUUUGCAAUUAUUAAAUUUUGAAUAGUUAUUCUUUAUUUUUAACAAAAUAAAUUAAUUAUGUUUUAUAAGAUGUUAUUAUUCAUAUUUUUAUAAUAUUUGUAAAAUAAUAUAAAUAGUAUUAGAAAUUAUUAAUUUUUAACUAUUAUUAUUUAUUUUAACAAAAUAGAUCAAUUAAUGUUAAUAUCUAUAGUUUUAUAAUAUUUAUAAAAAUAUAAUUUAUGAUUUUAUUAUAUUAUUAAUAUCCAUAUUUUAUUAAAACCUAUUUAUUUUUAAUUUAUUUGUAAUUAUUUUUUUUUUAAUAAGAUGUGAAUUAAACUUAGUUUACAUUAUACAAAUUGAAUUUACAAUUUCGUUUUUGACAAAAUCAAAAUAAAAAAACAGUUUUUAUAAAACAAUUUAUCUAAAAAGUCUUUAAUUUUUUAUUUUUGAAAAAUAUUUUUAAAAAUAACUUAUACUAAGGAAUCAAAAAUACCUCAUAGGAUAAAUUUCAUUUCCAAUUGAAUCAUUUUUUAUUCCACUCUCAUCAUCUUCAAGUCAUCCAAACUUGGGAAUAAAAGAAGAAAAUGAAUAAAUUGUCAAUUCUUACUCCUCAUUUCUGCACAUCAAACACAACCUAAAAGGAUUGUUGAGCAAAUUUCUAAAUUACUCUUGAGAACGUAGACACAUUUUAUGAGUAAAAAAUGUUCAAUGUUGUUUUAAAAAAAAAAUAUAUAUGUAGAUAGCUAAGGUGGCAAUUAUUUCAUAGGAAGGAGAUCAAAAUAUGUCAAACUUUCAAAUAUGGUUUAUAAUUUGAAAACCCAAAAUUCCUAAAAUCUCAAAAUAUUUGUCAUUACCUUAAAUUUUAAAUUUUUUAUUUUUACUACUAUAGAUUUUAAAAUUUUUAAAUAUUUUAUUUUUUAAAGUAGAGAAUAAUGCUAAUUUUUCUAACUUAAGAAAUAAAGAUUCUCAUAUAAAAAAUAUAGACUUGGAUUACAAGGAAAAGUAAGAUUUGACUCAGUAAUAUGAAAAUAUAUGAAAAAAAAGAAUCUCAAAUUUUUUAAAUUAUCUUCAUCUAUAUAAAAAUAAUUUGAAAUACAUGCAUUUUUUAAUGAGUCAUCUAAUUAUUCCAAAAAAAUACCCCUUUACUUGUCAUAUCAUCUAAAUCAAUUGACAACUAGACUAUUCAUAUAGAUGUUUUCUUUCCUUUUCUUUUAAAUAUUUUAUUGUUAUUAUUUUUUUAUUUGAAUUUUUUUUUCUUUAGAAACAUUAUAAAGUAAGAAUUUGAAAAAAAAGAAAGUUUAUUCUAGUAUUAAUAAGUUAAAAAUAAAUUCAUAUUCUUGAUAAUAAAUAAACCAAUAAUAAAUUUGUAUUUGUUAUAUAAUAUUAAUAAUUGUAUGAUAUAAUAGAGAAUAAAAUUUGUUGUAAGAGUUUUUUAGAUAUAAAAUAUUUUACAAUAUAAUUGUACUUUGAUAUAUAGUAUAAAAUAAAUAAAUAAAUAAUUAUUUUAUAUUAAAUAAAUUAAUUAUAAUUAAAAUAUUUAUAUUUUAUUAAAUUUAUUGUUUAUUAUUUAAUAAAUAAUAUUAUUAUUUUUUUGAAUUGGUAAUUAUGAUUAAAUAAGAUUUGUUUGACAAUAUUUCCUCUUAAAAUUUUAGGAAAUAAAAAAAAAUUAAUUCUUAUUUAAAUAGGACUUUUUUUUUUGCACAAUAUUUCUUAAACUUUUAGGAAACUAAAAUAAGAAUCCUAUGAGAUGUUUGUUUCCAAAGAAAAAAAAAAUCUCAAAUAAUAAAAUAAUAAUAAUAAUAUAUUUUUAAAAAAAAAUUUAUAUGAAGGAGUGUAGUUGUGAAUUGAUUUGAAUGACAUGACAAACAAAAGAAUAUUUUUAAAAUAAUUGAAUGAUUCAUUAAAAAAUGCAUGUAAUUCAAAUUAUUUUUAAAUGUACAAAGAUAAUACUAAUUUAAAAUUUUCAGAGUUCUUUUUUUCAUAUAUUGUUAUAUUAGUGAAUUAAACCCUACUUUUCCUUGGAUUAUAUCUUUAAAAAUUACUUUAAAAAAUUUUUAACAUCCAUUUUAAAUUUUAUUUGAAAAAUAACAAUUUAAUUUUAUAUUAUUGGAUUUUUUAAAUUUUGAAAACAAAUUAUCGAUGAAAUGAUCUUGGGCGAUUUUGGUCGAACUUGCUGGGUUGAGAUAAUGGAAACUUGGAUUUCAAAAGAAUCGAAGUAAGAGAUAGUUUUCCAUUGAAUAAAAUGAAAGAGAGAUGCAAAAAGGAAAACAUGGGUUGACUAAACACUUCCACCACAUCUCAUAUCCUUAUACGCAAUUAUGUAAAAUACGUGAUCUUUAAGACUAACAUCAAAUUCACCUUCCCCUAAAACAUAAUUGCAAUUAUAUAUAUCGAAAAUAAUUUUAAAUUAGAUUAAACUUUUUAUUAUUUUUAAUUUUUUAAAAAAUACAUAAAAAAGGUUAUUUUCAGAUGGCUGUUGAAACCUUUCUUCAAAGUACAUGCCUUGUGAUAUGAAUCACAUGAUUUUAAAAAAUUAAGAGUAAUUCUAUCUUCUCUUUAUUUAAAAAUAAAAAAAAUAAAAAUAUUGCUUAAAAUUUGGGCAAUCAUAUGUAACAUAGCAAAAUUUGUUUUUCAUUGUUUUUAGGUGACUAGAAUUUCAAAUUAUGCAAAAUCAAAAGGUCUUACUUGCGCAGUCACCCAUGUUUUUUUAAAAGGAACUCAACAAGUGUACAUAUUUUUCAUACAUAGAAAUUUUAAUAUUUUAAUUAAAUUAUCCAUUAAUAAUAUUUUAUUUGUAUCUCAAAAAUUUUACUUUAUUAUUAUUUUUUUGUUUAUAAUUUCCUCUUCAUUUGUAUAAUUUUUUUUAAGCCUCGAUUUUUCAAAAGAGAAAAACAAAUGCAAAUCAGGUCUUUGUGAUAUAUAAUUCAGCAUUUCUCAAAAGAAAUAAUAGAAUUAAAUACUUUAAUUCUAGGCGAGUAAGACCAAUGCGGCAGAGGAGAUAAAAAUAAAUUCAAAGAUUACCGCUUAAGCUAAAAAAAAUUUUAGUUACUCCUGGUACCUGAGAUACGAAGCAGAUGAUUGUCCAGUUUAAAUAUCAUACAUGCAGAGUCGGCGGUGGGCUGGGCUGGGCUCCAACCUUGAAUUUCAAUUUCUUGUUCUCAUACUGCAAACCGAACUUCUUAUUCGGUUACUUUUCCUAUUUUUCUGGAAACAAAUUUAAAUGAAAAAACAGCAAAGACAAAAAAAAAUCGGAUUUGGGAUUGGAUCUAACCAGGGGCAAACACUCAGAUGAAUCACAAAGCCCGACAACAAAGAAUCCACAAAAGAAUAGGGACUUCCAGUUGUGAAUUUGAAUCAGAAUAUCAAGCAGGCACUUUAUAUGAAAACUUACAUCAACUAUUAACGCAACUACAAAACUCCAAUGGAAAGUUAGAAUGAAGUUAAAGAGGUACACAAAAUGGUCAUGAGAAAAAGGAACCAAAGACUAAAGCAUUGAAGUUUUUGUAUGUUACAAAAAUAAACAAACAAACAAACAAACAAACAAAACCUCUCCAUCUGGACUAGAAUUGAGUUAGAAAAAUUGAGAAACCUACUCCUGUAACCUAUUCUCUACAUUCUCAUGCCACUAUGGUUAUGAAAGGAAUAAAACUGCAAAACUAUAUCAAUGAUUUUAUACAGCUUUAAACAUAUUUACAGUGCCAAGAGUCCAAGGCUAUGCCGGGAGCAGUAGAGAUUCGUAUCUCUUGAUCCUGUUGACACCAAGAGGACUCUAAAAUGUGUACAGUUCCCUUCUCAAAUAGUUGAUUCUUUUAUGUCAUAAACUAGACUCAUGGGCCCAGAAAGUGUCUGGAUCAGGACUGAACAAAGAAAAAUCUUGGAUUUCUAGAUUUGCUAUGUGCCAAUCAACAAAACGAGCUUGUAUUGACUUGAAGAGCAGAAGGAUGGUUGACAAAAGCCACCAUUUAUCGUCUUCCCUGUGGACAUAACAGUUCAAAAGCUCUAAAGAGAUUUGCAAAAGUUUAAAAUGCAUAAAUUAAUAAAUAAACAAAUAAAUUUAGGCAAAGAAUAGGAUCAAGAAUUCCAAAACUUAGAUAAGAUUUUAUAAUGUUCAAAAAACAAAAAAGGACUAUAUUUAUAUCAAUUGAAUGGUAACUUUUGAUCCAAUUUGGGUGAUCAUCUUUAUGGAUCUCCCUCAUUGAAACUAACAGAGCGGAGCACAACGCUCAUCUCCCUGCAUAGGAGCAAUGUGCAAAGAAGAUGACUAAAAGCUUCCCCAUCUUUAUAAAUUGCUCUAGAAUUUAUUGUAUCAUGGAUGUUGCAAGCUAGCUAAUCUUCCUAUAGAUUUAAAGAGUAACACUUCUCAAUCAUACAUAUUGCCCUAGGAUUGAUUUUAUGGUGGACACUGCAACCUAACUAAUCAUUUCUAUGCAUUUGCAGAUUGGAACUCUUUUUGUAUAAUAAUGAGAUAAAAAGGUGCUUAACUUCAGCUUAGAUUCAUGAAUUUCAUAAAUAUAACUUGUUCUCUUUCACCAACUAGGCUAACCAUGGCUAAUACCGAGUACCAUAGAAAUGAUUAGUCCAAAACCCAAAAUAAAGCAAACCAUAAGUUUGUAACUUGGUAAAGCUCAAGUUUUUGUUGUGUGCUCAAGGCUGUGCACACACUUGUUUGCAAGUUCCUGUUGUAUUAUAAUUGAAAAAGCAACUCUUAUUGUAUUCCAAGAAUGCCAUUAUCUUAUUUUUAGAUAGGAUUGUCUAAGUUGAAGGUCUUACCUCCUUGAAUGCCAUGUAUUUGCUUUUUCAGAUGGUUGAAAAAAGGAAAGUCCAUAGUGACAAAUGCCGCAGAUGAAAGCCACAGCCUGCAAAUAUCCAAAUUAAUCAACUUGAAAUGAACAUAUGAAUUCAAUGGCAUGAAUAGUGGCAAGGGAUUGGAUGGAGAUGGGAGGUUCCAUUCCAUGAAGCCAAGAAAAUAAAAUAAAAUAAAAUAAAAUUAUAUUAGCCUCCUUACCAUUUUAAAAAGAAGCACAUCUAACUUCAAUAUCCUAACCUUAGAACCAGUAACUCAAGUAAUGAGGCGCCAUAUUUCUGAAUAUGAGGCAUGAUGAGGUUUGUGGAAAUCUUACUUUUUUUCUAUGUUGCAUACCAUUUGAAAUUAAUAAAUAAUUAAAAAUAAAAAAGGCAUAAAUUCCAAGAAGAAAGUGGAUGUGGUGGAAAAUAACGACUUCGAUACAGCAUAGUGGUUUAAAAUUUUUUAUAUUUCUUUCGGUAUGAAUCAAGUCAUGGAUUCAUAUGGGGGAUUUCAACAGAUCCUUAAAUUCUUAAUUAAACUAAUAGUCAUUCAACUUCUAAGGAAAAACUUACAAUGUUUGAUAAAGAUGUAGCAUUCCACAAUGCAUAUAUGCGAGCUAGCGAAGAUCUUCUAGGUCCUUGACUGAAUAAGGCAUUCAAGCCUGCAGGGAAGGGAGAGAGCAAGGAUAGAGGAAGAAUAAGCAAGACAGCAAGAAAAGCCCCAAGAGAAAUCCAAUAGAACUGGAGCAAUGUAAGGAGGGUGACUGAAAGAUCUGCCAGAAGAACUAUAGAUAUCAGCAGCUGCAGGGACUCCUGAAACACAAAAUAUCCAAAUAUGAGAUGUUGAAUAAUAAUCCAAUAAUUAUCUUACUCUCUCUUCCCUGUUUUCCUUUCCCUUAUUUAUUUUUUGGUGGGAGGAGAGUUGUAAGAAUCAUAAUCUUGCUUAAGAGGCACCACAUGUAAGUAGAAAACAUCAUCUAAGUACCUGACGUCCAACAGGUCCUGUAUUGUGCAAUAAGAGAGAAAAUGGAAAGAGAAAGUCCCUUCUAAAAUCCAAAGAUUUCAAAGUAGCAUCAUUUAUUAGACCUCCAUUGAUUCCACCAGUAAUCCUUUUUCGAGAUAAUGCAUGACUUGUAUGUGGCUGACUCUUCUGCAGCUGUUUAAGGCUUUUUCUUGCAACUGCUGUAUCUUUUCUGGAAUAUAAAUGCAAAAAAAAAAACAAAAUUACCUUCUCAUACCCAAAUAGGCCAAUACCAGUCCAGGUGCACUAACAUAACUACAGGACUCAAUAUUAUCAUUUAAGACCAGUGAAACUUGGGGAAAAGUACACUCACCUCCCUUGAGGUUUUGAGUAAUUUCAGUGACAUCUUCUGAUGUUUUCAAAAUGGAAUUGAACUCCCAUAUAGCUAUUAGAGGGCAACAUAGGGGCAUGUGUGGAGACAACUUGUGCCCACAUACCUCAAGGCAUGUUGGUGGUGGCAUGUCUAAACUCAAACAAGGCAGUGUGACUAGGUAAUCAUAUUCAUGGUGGAGAGUGGGGCUUCUAAUGAUGUGCAUUGGUGGGAACUAGGCUAAGGCAACCUUGAAGGAUCAAAGUGGCUAAGUGGCACAUGUGUGGUGAGCAGCUGGCAGUGCUGCAAGUGCUCACCACAAUGCCAGCACACAUUGCAUGUCUCAUAAGGACGGUGUGUGGCAAUGGCACCACGUGAUGACACAUUCAUGUAGGCUCGACACAACUAGUGUUGAGUGUUAACACUUUGACAGGUUCCCUAAGUUGUUGGAGGUCUAAGAAGAAUUUUCCCAGUGCUGAGGUAUUUUUCCUACUUGUUUUAUAAUUAUUUUUCCAAGUGAUGAGGUCUCCUCCUAAAAAACCUGAGAAUGACAAAAUACUCUUUAAUAGGUAUGUGUGUGUGCGAGUAUGUGUGGAUGGGGGAUAACCCAAGGGUGUGAGCAUACCUGAGCACAACAAGACUGUCCAUGAACAAGUGCAAGACACCAUUAGAGCUUGCACACACCCAAGUGCACAAUGGCUUGGGCAAGGCAUGGGGGUGUAGACACUAGGCCAUGAGCGAAGCAUGGCACAUAACAGGUGUGGGCUAUGUGGCUGAGACAAGGCAGGAUGUUGGCAACUUGGUGCAUGGGUUGCAGAUGGGAAAUGCUAUAUGCAUGAACCUUGGCACAGCCAAGGUCCCAAGACCCUACAACACGAGGAAAGGUUCUCCUGCUAAACAAGGCCUGGCUUGGGACAGCAUGCAUGCAAACCCAAGGAAGGGGAGCAAGCAAGGCACAUGUCUAGGAGGCCACUCAUCAGGGGCUGGUUGGCUGAAGCAUAAAAUAUGGGCCUGUGGCUGACUCGUGGCAGAUACGAAGGCAAUUGAUGCAUGGAGAGGUGGCUCAGUAUUCAUCAGUAGAUGGGGUUGUGCUGCAGAUGCAUGGGCCAUUUGGCAAUACUUGAAGCAAGGCCAAAGUAUGUGGGACACCCACGGAGAAGCUGGGGACCUUAAGAAAUUGCCAAGACAAGUGGUAGAACAUGGGCUAGCUCUCAAAACAUGGACAAAACAUGGGAAGUUAUUUGGAGUAACUGAUGGCCCUUGAUUGCCUAUAAAUACCCUAUUGUGCAUGUGAAAAGGAGAGAGUCUAUGCAUAGUCAUAGUGCAAUUUUGUAAGCCUUGGUUUCUUGCAUUGUGAGGGAAUAAUACAAGUUGGGAAAGUUAUUUCCUGUAAGUUGCAUGUGUUGUUUGUGUGGCUGUGUGGGUUGCAUCUGCAUGAGUUGGCUAAAUGACGGGUCUAAGUGUCAUCACAAAAAAAGAAAAAAUUAUCAUGGCAGUGAAUUUUGUGACAUUUUCCAUCAAACAAUUGUGCUUUAAAGUAAGGCAAUACUAAUUCUUCAAGCUAAAUUUUAAUAAUGUCAACAUUUUCUCACUAUAUUUGACAGCAAAGUAGCAACAGGUGCUCCAUGACCAUAUUGGCAAAUCACAGGAGAUGUCAAUUCUAUUUUUAAAACAUUAGGGAAAGUUUUCCAGAAAUCUCAAGGCAGGUAAGAUGUUCACCCAGAAACAUAUCAUGGCACAUAUGUGAAAGAAAAAAAAAUUAAUAUGCUAUAGUAGUAGCCUCAACUAUCAUGAUGAGAAAUGAACUUAAUCAUUGGAAGGAAACAAGAAGGAAAGGAAAAUAAAAUAGAAACCCAUGGAUAAGAGGUCUCUUGAUAACAAAUUAAAGAACAAAUCUAGUAGAAAGUAUUUUUGUUUUUAUAGGGAUUGAGAAUAAGAAAAUUAACAAAAUGAAACCAAGCCAACAACUCGAGGUACUAAUUUCCAAUGCACAUCAUUGUAUUAUUAUUAAUCAACAGUGACUUAUCUCAACAAUUUGGGGCAACCAAUAAAAAUCCUGAACCACCUAUUAAAUGCAAAGUCAAUACAACUUCUCCAAUGAUCAGAAAAAACAUGCUACAGUAUCCAAAUCAGUUCAUGCAAACAGAUGUUAUGAGAAGUUCUCUCUGGAAGAAGCUAAAGUAACUGUUUAGCAUUUUUUUAUGUACACAACAGGUGAUUUUACAGACUGGGUUUCUUUCAUAUGGUGCAAUAUUUUUGCACCUGUUCUCCCAUAAAGAGUGAAAGGUCUUCAUCUAAAGGUUUUCUCACCAGUGCACUGGACAACACAGUUUCAGAGGUAGGGAUAUGUCACUGGUAUGGAGAACAUAAAGAAACUACAACCAAUUCACCAAAAUUUAUCACAGUUGAUUGCAACAUGUGUCAGAGCUAGUAUUAGACACUUUAUCAGUAAAUGGAUAAACCAUGUUUUAUAGAUCUUAAAAUGUGCAGGAAAUGGUGAAGCAGAAUUUGUGUGAACCAUAUACAGAUGCUUCUCAUGUGUACAAUCACAUAAAGUUACCUUGGACAUUCAUCACUACUUCUGUCCAAUAGAUCAGACUGAUUCAUGUUAUGGAGCGAGUAAUCGCCAACAACUACCAAAAUACCCAGUUGAUAAUAACCAGAAGCAGUGGCCUGGAACCAUCCAAGCUCAAUUUUAACCCCAUGGAACUCAAGUUGGGGGUUUCCAUGACUACUGAUCCAACGAAUAAUAGGAAUUAAUGCAGAACGGAUGGAUCCAUGUCUCACUGUCCUUAAUUGAGCAUUCAAACCAGCCACCAAACGAUUCCAGACAGUAGCAGGGACAUGCUGGGUAUACAAAAACAUAGUGAAAAUGUUGAAAUGAACAAUUGUUAUAGCUAUUCAAAAGAACAGAAAUAAAAGAGGCUGCUAAUAAACCUGGCCAAGAAGAUUUGUCAAUAAUGUGUCACUGUAAAGAUUAUAAGGGGACAUAUAGCUUCCAUCACCACCGAAAAUGAUGCACAUGGGGAAUCUCUUCUGUAUAAUAGACACUAUGUCUAUGCGCUUUUCAUCACCACCAAGGAAGAAAUCAAUAUAUGCAACCAUCAAAUCAGGUGUUGCUCCAACCUGCAUUAAUUGCCACUCAUAUAAAGGCAUGAUAAGUAGAAAAUUAGUCUUCCAAUAUUCAAAGGAAAUGUUUCCUUGAGAAGACUAUUUUACCAUUAUUUUCUUCUUCGUGAACUGGGGAGGAUGAUAUACAUGUCUAUCCCAGUUGUUCUCUUUCCAGGACACAGAGUUUGUUAUGAUUAGAUAAAUGAAUAUGCUUAAUGAUUAUUUUCAUCUCAGGGAGAAUAAAAUGAGGAGAGCUAACAAGUAUUUGAUGCUCAGAAGCUGCUACAGAUACAUCAUACCAUGACAAGUGGAAAAUCAAGAACCUCCCAACUAGAGCUAAAGCCUAAAAAACUCUAUUUCCCUAAAUUUUUGUUAUUAGCCAUCUUUAGCCUUUUUAUUUGGAAGAAAAAAUUGAAAUUUCCUCUUUAUCUUUUUAUAUAACAAUUUUUUAGUCUAGUACUAAAAUUUCGUAAUGUUGCUUAAUACUAAUAUGCAAUCUAAUUAAUCUUCUUAAUGAAAUUAUUGAAUUGCUUAAUACUAAUAUGCAAUCAAAUAAAGAUUAAAUACAUUAACAAGGAGAUUAUUUAAAUAUAUAAUCUAGAUUCUUGUUUUUUUUUUAAAUAUGAAAUAUUUUGUUGCAUUUGUUUUCUAGCUUUUUAUAUAAUAAUAUUUUAUUUUACUACUAAAACUUCUUCAUGAAAUUAUUGAAUUUCUUAAUACUAAUAUGCAAGCAACUUAAAUCAAUUACAUUGCUAAUGAAAUUAUUUAAAUAUAAAAAUGUUUUGGAUAAUAAGGGCAAAUUUAUUGAAUAGAAGCAUCGUAGAUUACAUUUAUGUUUUUAUUUUUUUUUAAUAAUUUAAUUUUCCUUUUAUGUUGCUAUUAUUCGAAGACUGCUCUGUGUGAACCAAAUGCCGAACUUUGCCACUGCAUAAUCAGGCUCUUCAGCUGUACAUCUAGGGAAUAUCUAAAUAUAGAUAUUCAGACUUUCUAAGCAUAUAGGGUCAUGUGCAUGUGCCUGUCAAACCAGCCAUCAAGUGGUUGCAAUUAAGAAAUCUCUGAGGCAAAAUUGAGAUGAUUUGGAUGAUUCAAAAUUUUGACAUAUUUACUCUGUAAACCCAUUGAUUCUUCUAGGUGGGGCCCAUCCAGAGGCAGAUGUAGCACCUAAUUUAACUGCCAUGUACCAAGUUCUAGUAAGUUUACCAAUCCUCAAUUUUAUUUUUUUUCUUCUAAAAUUUUUUGCCAUUUUUACUUAUCAUAUUUUUUUCAUGAUGGGAAACCUAGAAUUUCAUAAGAAUGCAAAAUGAGUAAAUACAGUAAGGAUAAGAGAUAACUCAUAUUAAACAUAAGAAAAGAAAAAGGGAGAAAGGAAAAAAGUACAAGGACGACAGGGAAAACCAAGCAAAAGAAGAUCUCAGGAAAAACCCAAUCCAGUCUCAGGAAUCUCUUAAGAGGAAGAAAAUUUCCUAUCAACAGAAGGGGAUACUCCUUGAAUAGAAUGUUUACCUCCCAAAAUCAGCCAACCUAGGCUUCCACAUGAAGGAGGGAACCAUGUCCCUCAAUACUCUCAGGGGUCUCUUGUAGCCAAGGAUGAAUAUGAGGAGAUAGUGACCAAAUAGUCCUCUUCCACCCUGUGAUUUCUAGUCACCAAUGGGAGACCUGUUUUAGACCUUUGAAGUUUGAACAAAGGUAAGAUCUCUACCUCAUGGUCAAUGACUGUCCUCUAAGUAGCUAAGCAACCGUUGUAAUUCUAGAUAUAAGACUGUUAAGAGUGGUAAUAUACAUUUGAUGAUAAAAUCCAAAAGAACUAACAAAGAAUUCUCUCACAUUCCAACAAUCUGUUUACUCAUCCUCAAAGAUCCAGGACCUCUCUCAAGUUUUGAAACCUGUGCAUGGCUAACAAAACACAAUGACACAACGUGUUGUUCCUAGCUUUCUUCUGAAAAUCCUGAAAAGAAAAAACCAACAUAUCUGGGAUAGCUUUCAAAUAUAACAACACUGACCGAUGAAGAGAAAGAUAGCUGACUGCCCAUUCAUCCCAAAUACACCUGUCACUGCUGAUUGCUUUGACUUUCAGGGGAACUAACUUCCAAAUUAAACUUGCCAUCUGAAAGAUGACCAGGUUUUGCUUUUGGAUAAGAAAAGUGAAAAGGAUUCUAAUGAAAAGAGGUCAUCAAACUAAGAUUUUCUAGAAAGACAAGAUUCUCCAUGAAGGAGAAUUGAGAAGGGUAGAAAUAGUAGGAAGGAGUAACAUCCCCCUACUAGAAGAAAGUAAAGUAAAAAAUAUCAGAAACAAAAUUGUUGGUUCUCUCUAAACUUCAGCAAUAAGUUCAUAAAUUAGAUGGUUUAUAUAUAUUAUGAUUAGAAAUACUAUAUAUAAUUACAUUUAAUUGAUUAAAUUAAUUAAAUAAUAAGACCAUAUAAUUGUAUUAUGAUUAGGUUUCAACUUUUAAGCUUUAUCUCUUUAGCCUAUGUUAAAAUCUUGAAAAUAAUUUUCACUCUAAUCUUUGAUAAAUGAGAAUAUUGACAGUUUGACUAAAUUUGAAUAUCUAUUCCAAUAGAUACCAAACAAUACAAAUAGAAAUAAUUUUGUAUUUGCAUUCUUGACUUCUCCAAACAUUGAAAUGGGAUUUUCUAGAAUGAGUAGCCCAAGGUAUUCUAUUCCCAUUCUGUACAACAACAAGGCUUUCAGUACAUCUUCCUUCAUGAAGAUGGUAGUAGUGAUAGAGUUAGCAUCAUGAUAAUCACUUUACUAGAGCGAAGCUCCUUAUAAACUUUUUAUCCUUCCCCUCUAAGGGUUUUUUCCCAACAGUCUUGGAAAUAACCCAAAUUAAACCUACUAGGGCUCAAGGAAUUCUUCAUAUCCAUCUAAAAGAUAGCUUCACUAAAUUCUUCAUCUUGAAAAGGCAUGUCUAACGUCCAAACAUGCAUCAAUCUCUUAUAGAGUCAAGGAUAAUACCUCAAGAUCUUUCCCAAAACUUAAAUUAUGGCUUUCCAAGAUCAUACCAUCCUCUUUUUUGAUAGGCAAGUAAAGAUUGUAUUAAAAAAAAGUGUCAAAAAAAGCACAUCAAAGUACACAGGACAUAUACAAUGGUGGCCAAAAGACGCUAAAAAAGGAAAACAAAAAACUACUCCCUCCCUUGAUGAGAACUCAACCAAUCAAUGAAGUCACAUAAGGACAUUGGGCCUUUAGCUAUGUACAACUUGGUUGAAGACAAUAAGUUACAAAGAAACAAGCUUUUCGGUCUAUGGUCAAAGAGCUCCUCGUUUUCAAACAAUCUUCUUUUUCUCUCCUUCUAAAUUGUUCAGAAGAGACACAAAGAAGUUGUUGCCCACACUUUUUUCGUUCCUUUCAACAAAGAACCCAUGUCACUGUAAUAGGGGCUCUCUUAUAGAGGAAGAUAACACCUAAAUACACUGAAAAGAGAGAACAAAAGCUACCACAAAACUCUCACCUUACCAUAAUGUGGCAGGAUGUGGUCAAUCGUCUCCUAAAUAUGACAAAUGAAGCAUUUGUUAGCCAACAACCACCCUCUCCUCUGAAGAUGAUCUAAAGUCAGGGCUUUACCCCACGACAUGUCCCAAGCAAAAAAGUUCGCCUUAGGUGGAACCCACAAGUUCCAAACAAUACCUUCUAAGAAAAGGGCUAAACUACCAAACUCUAGGAAAGCAUAAAGGGACUUCACAUAAAAAGAACUGGUCUUUGUCUCCAACUAGAUCACCUUAUCUUCUCCUCCCCCAUGGACCACCUUUUCUUGAAGCUUCGAGAGGAAACACUUCAUAAUCUCAAUCUCCCAAUCUUUUAAAUGCCUAGAGAAGCUAGGAGUCCAACAACCUCUAACAUUAGAUUGAUUCCACAAAACCGUCACAUACGCCUCCUUUGAACUAGCUAAGACAAAUAAAGAAGGAAAGGAACACACGAAGGCUCAUUACCACACCACUUAUCCUUCCAAAACUUUACCCUCUUCUCACUACCCACAAAAAAAGGAGACUCUACUAUUAACAAUCUCCCCACAAUUUCCUUAUGGUUUUCCAUAACCUAACCCCAUACUUGUCAUGCACUACACCACCCCCCUUCAACUUCUCCAUAUUCACCAUUUCUAAUAUGCUUCCAAAAGGCCUCCCUUUCCGUUGCAAACCACAAAAUCUACUUGCAAAGAAAAGCUUAUUGAGCGAAGAAAGACACCUAACUCAUAAGCCCCCAUUUCUUUUAUUUGAACAAGCAAUAGCCCACUUUAUUAAAUAAGGCUUUUCCUCUAAAUCCCCGCCAUCCCAUAGGAAAUCCUUCAAAUCUAUUCCAACCUCAAAUUCAUUUUCCUCGACAUCUGGAAUAACGACAUAAAGUAGAUAGGCAAACUAAAUAAAGUGCUCUGAAUUAAAGUGAGUCUUCCCCCUUUGGAAAUAUACUAUAUUUUCCAUAUUGUCUAUCUUUUUAAAAAACUCUCUUUCACCUCAUCCCAAAUUGCCAAAAAAUUAGAAGGAGCACUUAGAGGAAGACCCAAGUGGUCGAAAAAUCUCCCACUUUACAACUUAAUUCAAAAGCCAAAUCUUCUAAGUUUUCUACCCUCCCAAUUAAAAUGAACUCACUCUUGCUUAAAUUUAUUUUCAAGCCCAUAUGGCGUCAAACCACAAAAAUAACCAACUUAAAUAGGUCAUUUGAGCUUGGGUGGCCUCACAAAAUACCAAAGUAUCAUUGACAAAUAACAAAUGAGAAGUCUCCAUUCCCUCUCCAUCUCAACUAUUCACCUUGAAACCAAACAAAUAACUACCCUUUUUAGCCCUCUUAAGAAGGCAACUAAGCAUCUCCAUGUCUAGCACGAACGAAUACAACGAUAGUAGGUCCCCUUGCCUUAGGCCCCUAGAGCUUUGAAAAAAGCUAGGAGUGUCCUUCACUAGAGCCAAGAAACUUGUUGGUAUGCACCAUCGACAUCCAAUCCAAUUGAUCCACUUUUGCCCAAACCCCAUCUUGCCUAAAAGCAAGAAAUCCCAAUUAACAUGAUCAUAAGACUUCUCGAUGUCAAGCUUACAUAGCACCCCACAAUUCUUGCUUUUCAACAUAGAGUCAAUUUCCUCAUUGGCAAUAAGCACGACAUCUAGAAUUUGCCUUCUCUCCACAAAGGCAUUUUGGAAGCUAGAGACCACUUUACUCACCAUCUUUUUAAGCCUAUUAGCCAAUACUUUAGCCAAUAACUUAUAAAGACUACGCACCAAACUUAUAGGCCUAAAAUCUUUAGGCUCUUCUACCCCCUUUUCUUUGGAACCAACACUAGAAAAGUCGCAUUGAGACAUUUCACAAAUUUGCCCUACUCAUGAAAGUCAUUGAAAAAACCUAUCAACUCUUCCUUAACAAAGUCCCAACUAAACUAUCAAAAGGCCAUUAAGAAACCAUCUAGCCCUGGGGCUUUGUCCCCAUUUAGAUCUAAUAGGGCAUUAAGCACCUCUUCCUUUAAAAUCAUCUACUCCAACUUUACAACAUCUUGAACAUUUAAAGUGUCAAAAUUCAUAUCCCUGAUGCAAUGCCACUCCCUUGGCUCCAAUAAGAUAUUAUGAAAAGCCUAGACAAUCUCCUCCUUAAUCUCAAUCUCCACAAUUAAACAAACCUCAUUAAUUUUGAACUUAGCAAAAAGUUCCUUCUUUUGUUUGCAUUUGCCAUUUUGUGAAAGAAAUUAGUAUUUCUAUCACCUUCUUCUAACCAUACCUCCCUUAAUUUUUGUCUCCAGUUAAUUUCUUCCGUAAGUGCUCAUCUACAAAGCUUCACCCUUGCUACCACCUCCUCUAGAGAUAAAGCCCCCAACCUUUCUUUAGAAUCCCAAAAACCUAGGAAAUAACCAAAUUCUUUCUAACUACCACAUUAACAAAAGCCUCUUUGUUCCAACUCUUCAAUUUAGCCUUCAAAAUUUUUAAUUUCUCGACCAAGAUGAAGCUGCAAAAACCCCUAAAAUUGAACCCCACCCACCAUCUCUUCAGCAUAUCUUUGAAUUCUUCAUCCUUUAGCCACAUAUUUUCAAAUCUAAAAGGAGAAGGGUCUCUCCUCAAACCACCCCCAUCCAACAAAAUCAGUAAAUGAUCUGACAGAGGUCUAGGUAAGAUACAUUGCACUACCCCACUGAAAGGGCCUUCCCACCCCUCAAAAACCAAAAAACGAUAUAACCUCAACCAUGGUUGAUUAUUCAAGCCCCCAUUCCAAGUAAAGGACCCCCCAAGCAAAGGAAGAUCUCAAAACUAAAGGCCCUCAAUGAUUUCCAAAAAUUUUCUCAUGGCCAUAAGUGCCCCUUCUUGGGAAGAUCAUACCAUCUUCUUCAUAUUGGAUAGAUUUAACAAACUUUUUAUUUCUACUAUCAGUCACCCCCAAUAACAAGGGAAGAUAAUAACAUCACUUAAAUGCAAGGGAAGGUCAGUUUUGGCCACAAAAGCAUUAAGUGAGGUUUCUGUAAUUGUCCCAAUAUUAAGCAUGCAAAAGAUUAAAAUGUCAUUUAGCAAACUGGCAAGUGCAAAAAAAUGGCUUAUGAUAACAAACGCAUAAUAAACCAGACCUUCAUGCCUUUGUAUAGAGCCCUUGACCUACAUGAGCGGAGACAUGAAUGAUCAUAUUCAGAUUUGACAAAUUCCUGAAGGCGAUGAAUCUUAUUCCUCCUACGCCACUGUUUCCAUGACCAUGCACAAGGAUAUGCAAGCACUGAAAGUAUGCUGUGUACUGACCCUUCCCACCAAUCAUAUGCAGCAACUGAAUUAAUCUCAUCAAUGAAUCUGUUAAAAGCAUCUUCAUACCUGUAGAUCAAAAUAGUCAGAAUAUUAGAAAACAUUUUUUUGAAUCAUGAGAUGGCACAACCUGAUGCUAAUAUGUUCUUCCAAUACAAUAGGCUUCUAAGCAUACACAUCUACUUGAUCAGUAAGCUUCAUUAAGGAGCAUAUCCUGGAUCAAAAAUCCAACCUAAUUGGACAUUGCUAAUAAUUCAGAUCACUUUCUUCUGUUGAAUGAACAGAAAACACUAGUGAAAGAAAAAGGUUAAAUUAUCCAGCAAACACCAAUAUUUCCCAUGAUUGAAAUCCAGCCAUAUUGUAAACCCAUAAUAUCAUAACAUAAACCUAGCAUCCAAUUGUGCCAUCAGUCAAAGUACCCUUUAAGUUAAAUUGCUAUCUUACACAAUCUCUAUGAUUGCAUUGGGAGGAGAGUAAGGAAGAUGCCAGGGUUCUCUGAAAGUAUUGGGACCCAUAAAGUACAUCCUGUAAACAUGGCUCUGAGUUUCUUCAGCUCUGGUCCCCCGCACCUUGAAAUUCAGAAACAUAAAAUGCAGAAAAUUGUCUAGGGAUAACCACAUGUGGCUAUUGAUCAUAUUUGAAAAGGAAAAGAAGGAAUACUUGCUAUCAAUCAUGUACCUCUGACAACGAAAGAAGGUAUGGAAAAUGGUUAUGACUUUGUGUUUCAAUUGAAUUUGUACUAUGAUAAGAACAACCUGAUCCCACCAAUUUGAUUCUCAAGGUACUUAAUAAUAUAGCUAGAAGAACCAAAAUGCACGACAACAAAAGCGAGAAAGGCCAAGGCCCUCCAAAUGUAUACAUCAGCUCCUCAAGAGGUGUAUAGCAAUUUGGCAUUCUAUACUUGUCAGAUAUACAUUUAUAGGGACAGGAUUGCUGAGUAACUCCUCCUGCAGUGUGGGCACCCUCUUGUAAGAUGAGGGACAAAAGAACCAAAAAGUUAAAGAAAGAGACCAGAAAUACUACCACAUAUAUUAAAGCGCAACCGUCAGAAUUACCUCGCACAUAUAUAAAAUCUGCCCGGUUGGGAAGAAGGUCAAGAGAGCAAGGAGCGCAAAGAUGUACAUCAGAGCCAUCAACAUCUUUGUAAGUGCCAACAGGGCAUUCCUGUAAACAAACACAAUAUUCAAAAUCAUCCAGAAAUUAUUACAUCAAGUUUGCAAUGCUCAAAUAACAUAUUUUAGUAAUAAUUGAAACUUCAAAACCUAAAAGACAUUUUAGGGCAUUAACAAUUUUGAAGUGGAUUCAGCCUUUGUUCCCUCUUGGGUGUCUCAGGUCAAGAGAAGGCCCUGAAAACUGAAUGUGUGAAUUUGCAAAACUAUAGAACUUUGAAGGUGUGUAUGGCUUGCUCUCUCACUUGGAUCCCAAGAUUGGCCAACUCAGUAGUGGGACCAAUUCACUAAGCAUGAAGCCAAGAGUUUAUUAGGGAUUUCAUGCCACCCUGAAGUGUUAUUUCUCCUAGGAUCACUCAUCGGGUUUUCUGAUCUUGAUUUAUGGUUGUAACAUCUCUGUCUCCCAAUUGCAUAGUUCUGAAAGGAGCAAGGUGCAUUUCAGGCACAAGACACAAUUGAGCAAAGUGAGGCAUAACCUAGGUAUAUAUGCAACUUUGUAAAAUCCUGUAUAUUUGAACAUGCAGACAUUUGUCAUAUGCUCAUAUUACCAAAUAUGUUCAGUUUAAAAAGGAAAGGGCAAAACGAUCUUGUUUUACCAGGAACUUAAAAAGAAAAGAAUAAAUAAAUAAAUAAAUUGACAACAUGCGCCUCUUCAGCAAGUGUAUGCAACAGCUGGGGAGUCAUUGCACCUUGGGCCUAGGACCAUCUUUAACAUCCAUGCCCAUCUGUACUCUAUAUUUGCUGUGACGUGAAGGAUAGCUCAUCUUCCAUGUAGCUUUCCUCACUACUAAUUAAUUAUUUGUUUCCUAUAAAAAAAAAUAUAUCUAAAGACAAAGAAAGUACUUGAAAGGUAAUAUAUCAAUUGUAAACUAAAAGGCCAAAAGAAUAGACAAAAAUAAUUUUCUUGAUCAACUUACAAAGGUGAAUAAACACUAGAACACUUCUACAUGUACACACAUAGACAAGCAUACUUAACACAUAGAUGCAUACAUCUACACAUUUGAUGUGGAUGAGAAAAAAAAGGAUGGCUUAACAUAAAAUUUACUCCAUUCAAUCUAGUAGGCAAAGUUUAACCAUAUAUUUGUUCCAUGCAACCUCAAAUUCCUUUUACUCCUGUUCACCAGUGUUCACAAGCCCUACACCUAGUUCUAGUCCCACUAUUGAGGGUCAUAUGCCUUAAAAAGAUGCACAAUUUUCGGUCAAGGCAAAAACAACCUUAUCAAGAGAUGACAUACAUAAAUUUCUACAUUAUCAGGUAAAGUUUUGUGUUCUUUAGUUUAACCAGCAGUCAAAUGACCUCCCUAUGGCUGUUUGUUACAUUGGAUGCUCAAGCUAGGGUAAUUUGAAAGAAGUUUGAGCUGUGAUGAAAAGUCCCUCCCUAAUUCAGAUCCACCAAUCAUGAAAAGUAUUUAUAGUAUAAGCACACAAAUUAGAUGUUCAAUGUCUCAUUAAUGUACACAAAAGCAGAGAAACAGAGAUGGAAUUGGAAAAACAGUAGAACACAUAAGAAAUUACUUUUCUUAAUGACAGAAAUCUCAUUGGUCUAAUAGGCAAUAAUUGGUUAAAAGUGCUUUAGUUCAUGCUUGCAAAAUGUGACAUCUUUCUGUAGGCAAUAAUUGGUUCAUAGUGCUUUAGUUCAUGCUUCCAAAAUGUGACAUGUUUCUUAAGGAUAUAGAAAAACUACAAGGUUUUCCUAUCGCAUGGAAUUAUAUAUGAUUUUAACAAUCUAAACAAGUAUCAAAUGAAAGCAAGACAUACAUUGCAGAAUGUACCAUAAAGGCCCUUAGGGCAUUUCUUUCCUGUAACUGUGCCCUCUUCUCCAUGAAAACCACCAUUGUUUCCAGCACCUCCACUGUUAAACAUUAUAAGGCAAGUAAUAUGUUGUUAUGCAGCAGAUUUUCAUUGGUCAACAGAUCCUAAAUCUAUUGUUUUAAUAGCCUAUCAAAAUGGUUACAGAAAGUUCUUAAAGUAACAAGGUUUUAGGUAUCUUGCAAUCAAUAAGAAACUUAUUCACAAGAUUUGUACAGGUCCAUGCUCAAACACUGGAUAAACAUUUAUAUGUGUGUUGUGAUAGACAUACCUACUAUCAAUGGCACCACUUAUCAUUGCAACUGGAACAUAUUCAUCACCCACAUCUAUCUUAGACCAGUGAAAAUGAACUCUUCCACCCCCACCCCCUCCACCACCAAAAAGACCACCAUUGCCUCCAACAGCAGAUAAAGAUGAGUUUUCUGCCAGCACAAGUGUUUGAAGGAAAAGGAGAAUUGUCCCACCAGAACCACCACCAAGUCCACCAAUCAAAGUCCCAUUAAUGUUUCUUGUUGCCCCAACAUAGCUUUGACCAUUGGUUCUCAAAGCUCCAUAAAUAUCAAGCGUUAGAAGAGGCCACUGAAUGGAUCCCAUCACUAGUAAAAAUGAAACAAAGAAUAGGUGAACAUAAUCUAGGUGUAAGAUCAAAUAGCAAACUGGAUUGAGGCAUCUUUGGAAGCUAAAGUGAAUUGAUUGAUAAUUCUUUCUCAGCAUCCAGUACUUAUUCAUAGCAUUGCUAAAUGGGAAAACCAUCAAUAUCUCCAGAUUAUAUAUCAAAUGGUUUGAUUGAGAAACCAACAUUUUCUCACACUUCAUUAAAUAUAUAUAUAUAUAUAUAUAUAUAUAUGUGUGUGUGUGUGUGUGUGUGUGUGUGUGUGUGUGUGUGUGUGAGUGUGUGUUUAUCUCAAAAUUACAAAUUGUCCCCUCAAUAGGACUGUGAUUUGUGGUUAUGUUAAGAUGUGAGUAUAUUCUAAGAAAAUGUGUGCAGAAUACCCAUCCAAUGCAUCCACAUGGUUGGGUCUUUUGAAUUCUUUUCAGCAUUUUCUUUCUCCUCUUGUUUUAGCUUGUUAAUAUAACUCCAAUGAGUUAAACCACCAAUUUGACCCAAAAGCUUAAAUUGUCAUACAAUGGGCCAAUAAUGUAUGUCAAAGUCAACCUGGGUUAAAGCAUUGAAAUUGUUUACUUAUCUGAAAAAUGGAAUAAAAAGGAAUAGUAAUCGGAUGAAAUGCAGGAUACUGAAUGGAAGCCAUAACUUUAGCUGUGUGACAUAAGUUUGUAUCUAGACCGAAUAACCAUAACUGUGUGAAUUAAGCUUACAAUUCAAAACCAAAUUUGGUGCAAGAAGUUAAAAUUAAGAUGGCAAGCUAAUGGGGAAUAUAGAAAUGAAGGAAAAACAGGAAAUGUUAACCUACAAAGAUAGAAAUGAAGGAAAAAAUGGGAAAUGUCAACUAAGCAAUAUUCACGAUAGGAUGGUUAUUUCUUUCAAGUGUUUUGGGAACUCUACUAGAGGCAAGACUCUUUGAAAGAUUGUUUAUCUUACUUUGUUGUGGAUUGUAUGAAAAGAGAGGAAUGCUAGGAUUUUCGAGGAUACUUGGAAGACAUCUGAGAUGAUGUAAGACUUGCUUCAUUUCUAUGUUUCUUUUUGGGCCUACUGUAUUGACAUUUUUAAACCCUUUCCUUUGAGUGUAAUUUAGCUUAGUUGUCUUUCGAUAUGUAUACCCUAGGGUUGGGCCUAUUAGGUGACUUCCUAGAUGAACUUUAAGAGAUGUUAUACUUGUAUAGGCUUUUCGCUCCUUUUGUAUAGUCCUCCUUCUAUAGUGGAGGUUUCUCUAGGUCUUUUUAUCAGGUUUGUAUAUCAUGAGGAGGAUUUCUCAUCCUUCUCAUAUUUUUAUUCACUUUAAUUAAUACAUAUUUUGUUUCUAAUAAAUAAUAAUAAUAACACCUAAAAAUAAUAAUUACAAUAAUAACACCAAAAAAAAUCGCAUACUUACCAAGAGGAACAACUCAAAGAACUAACAUUAUAAUAACUCCAGCACCCAUUAGUUUUUGUUACAUAAAUUAAAAACAUAAAUAUGAUAAACAGAGAAACUUAUUUCUGAAAUUUGUACCAUAUGUUGAAAUUAUUACCUAUCAUUCCCCCUCCAGCCACAUGUCCAUAAGAUUCGUUGGGACCCUCAGUUCCACUUCCCAAUUCACAGGGAAGCUCAGCACUACCAUAUUUGUCACCACCUUCACUCACCCUCCCAUGAAAAAGUCCUGAGCCGCCUCUUCCGCCAUGGCCAGCACCACCACCAGCUCCAUUUGAAUAGUUACCCUUACCGAUGCCUGUUCUGCAACCUAAAAAAGAUUCCUUGCUUACUCAGAAAGUUUUAAACAUACAGCAAUUUGUUUAUUCAGCUUCUUUAAGAUGGGAUCAAUUAGUCAUUGAGGUUAAUUGCAGAAAGAAACAAAAGCAAAAGAAGGAAAGAACAAUAAAAGAAUUACAAUAAAACUAACUCAUGGGAUACUAUUACCUAAUUCUGAUGCAGAAAUCAUGCCAUCAGUAUCAAUGAUGAUAGUUCUUGCCCUGUGGAUGUGAAUGAUGCUUCCCUCGAUGAGGCCAUUAACAAGAAGGUCCUCAACACGACAAAUCUUCCAAAGGUUAAAACAAAAAAUGAAUAAGUUUAAUUGGCCAAUCACAUCAACCUAAUUAGCAAAUUGAGAUAUGUCUGAUUAGCAGUGAGCAUCAUUUGAACCCACCAAUUGAAGCCUAAACAGAGGGGGAUACAAUUUUCUGGUUAUUUGUCUCAUUGAAAAUUAUUUAAAGAUAACAAUGUACUUCUUCUCUUUGUCAAUGUUUUUUUGAUAGGCAAAUAAGCAGAAUACAUUAAAGGCACUUGCAAAAAGGCGCAACAAAGUACACACAGGAUAUACAGAUAUGGCCAAGAGGCAAGCAAGAAAAGAAAAAAGAGCAACUAAAACCCACCUUCCCACCAACACCCAGCUCCCAAGGGGGCUGGAAAGCCCCUAGCAGAAACCUAAAAGGAGAAACAAAAGAACCCCUACCCAUAACAAAAAAACCCCUAGCAGAAUAAAAUAAACACCUACGAUCAGUUGAAACCCCUACCGUCAAGUCCCCACACCCCUCUCCUUUCCUCUUACCAUGGACAGAGCACUAUUGUAAUUGAUUGAGUACUUGAGCCCUUAGAUUUCCUUCUCAAGUUGAGAAGAUGACAUGGAUUUUCUCCUUCCCCCUAAUACCUUAACCCCACAACCUUUCUUUGAUUCCAAUUUUCUAAGAAGAGAACUAAUUUCCUUUUCAAAACCCAAAACUAGCAUCCCCAAACAAUUAGAGAACUCAACAAAACCAUUGGGAAGACACACAAAAUCCUCCCCUUUUGCCACGCUGCCCAAACCCACAUCCCUAGGAGGGUCCACCUCCUCAUUCCUGGCCUCUAAUUCUUUCUUGACUAAAAUAAAUUUCUUCCUUGAUUUCAAUCUAUACAUCUCAUAUAUUUAUACAAAUAGUCUUAGCACAAAAAAUAGAAACGUUCCUAACCUAAUUCUAUCAAAUCCCCUUGAUUAUGGGAUUGUCCUAAUCAUCUCUUUAAUUACAAAAAAAAACAACUAUAACAUUUCCCAAUUACAUUCUUCCACACUCCUCCUCAAGCUAGUGAAUAGAUCUUUUCCAUUCCCAUCUUGGAUACACUUGCUUGAAACAUUGUACUGCUUAAACCUUUGAUAAGUAUAUCUAUAAGUUGGCAGUUGGUAAAUACAUAAGGAAUUCAGAUCAACUCACUAUCUAGUUCCUCCUUAAUAAAAUGUUUGUCUAUCUCUAUGUGCUUCAAUCGAUCAUGUUACACUAGAUUAUGUGUGUUGAAUACAAUGUAUUUAUAGUGUACAAUCUUUUUUUCCUUUCUUAAUAUAGGUCACAUAUAUGGUAGUUAGGUCAACCUAGCCUCGUAUAUAUAUUUCUCUAUUAUAAGAAGUCAAUAAUAUGAAUGAGAAGUAAGGUUUUUUUCUCUCUCUCUUUCAACAUGGUAUCAGAGUCAAGGGAGAAAACUUUAUUCUUUCUGGUUUACGCGUGUAAUUAAUUCUGGGAAUCCGUCCAGUGACCGUGUUUCAUUCCAGUCACCUUUUCCAUCUCCCAAAGCUUUCCGGUCAGCCAUAUCGUGGUCAGAAAACCCUCAUCACCGUCAACAUUUUUCGGGCGAUAUUUUCCGACACCGACCACAUCAUCAGGAGCGUAAAGAGGAGAUAUGCAACUUUUCUCAAAGCACCGGAGCCAAAAAUCCAUCCACGCACCUCCCACAAACGUUUUUCUCCGACGACCUGAAUCCCACGCGCCGGCGCGUGAGGGCGUGUGACCCACUUUCUGGUGCCAAGCUUCUACCAGUAGAAGCUCGUUCGGCGCCGUCUUGCACUUCUAAGCCUCUAUCAGUCCUCUUCGAACCCUGCUUCUCCAUUUUUUUGGCAUUUCAGCCUCCGCGGGUCUUCUUUCAGCCUCCUCUGGCCUCCGACGGCAGCUCCCUUCCUUGGCCGAGACCUGUGUGUGACUUGGGAAGGCCUCUUCUUCAUCUCCAGUCACUUUUCUCCUUUGUUUGGGUCCCGACAUACUAGGUUCUUCUUCCACAGCUGUGAUCCGACCUCCCUUUAGAGCUCUCUUAGAUACAAACGUGAUUCAAUCUCAGGUAAAGUGGGCAUGGCGACUAAAAAUCCUAUUUUUACAACCAUCAUCUCUAGAUCUCCUACUAUCACAUCGGAAAAAUUGAUUGGUAGUGAGAAUUAUCUCUCCUGGUCAGCGUCCGUGGAACUCUGGUUUAUGGGACAAGGUUAUGAGGAUCAUCUUGUCACACCUGAGGAUGCUAUACCUGAUGUUAACAAAGUGCAAUGGAAGAAGAUCAAUGCACAAUUAUGCAGCGUAUUAUGGCAAUCUGUUGAUUCCAAAAUUUUACAUCAUCUUCGUGCCUACAAAACUUGCUUUAAAUUUUGGACUCACACUAAAGGAUUAUACACAAAUGAUAUUCAACAAUUUUAUAAGGUGGUUUCUGAUAUUGUUCAUGUGAGACAGCAGGACAUGGAUCUGUCUACUUAUAUUGGCCGGAUUACGUCUCUUAAGAAGGAGUUCUUAUUGAUGCCCUUCACUAAUGGUGCUGAAGCUCAAAAAAUACAGACUGACAAGUUCUUUAUGGUGUUAACCCUCAUUGGCCUCCGUCCAGAUCUUAAGUCUGUUCGAGAUCAUAUUCUUGCUAGUCCAUCAGUACCAUCAUUGGAUGAUGUGUUUGCUCGUCUCUUACGCCUCUCCUCUACUCAGACCUUGUCGACUGAUGGUCCUUCAGAUUCAUCUGUGUUAGCCUCUCAAACUAACUCUUGAGGAGGACGUAGUGGCAAUCGGGGUCGAGGACAACGUCCUCAGUGCACCUAUUGUAAUAAGUUUGGUCAUACUCAAGAUCGUUGCUAUCAAUUACAUGGACAGCCUCCUCGCACUGCCCACAUUGUUCAGUCAUCUAAACCUCUGCUAUCUCGACCUGACUCCGCUGCAAGCUCCACAUCUCAAAGUAUCACCCUUACUAGUAGUGAUUAUGAUGCCUAUCUCCGAUAUCAGGCAGCCACAUCAGCUUCUGUUACUUCUGUUGCCCAGACCGGUAAUGUCUCUGUCUACUUUACUCAGUUUCCUUCUUUUNNNNNNNNNNNNNNNNNNNNNNNNNNNNNNNNNNNNNNNNNNNNNNNNNNNNNNNNNNNNNNNNNNNNNNNNNNNNNNNNNNNNNNNNNNNNNNNNNNNNAUUUGUUAGCCACCAACCACCCUCUCCUGUGAAGACGAUCUCAAGUCCGGGCCCUACCCCGCGACAAGUCUCAAGCAAAAAAGUUCGCCUUAGGUGGAACCCACAAGUUCCAAACAAUACCUUCUAAGAAAAGGGCUAAACUACCAAACUCUAGGAAAGCAUAAAGGGACUUCACAUAAAAAGAACUGGUCUUUGUCUCCAACUAGAUCACCUUAUCUUCUCCUCCCCCAUGGACCACCUUUUCUUGAAGCUUCGAGAGGAAACACUUCAUAAUCUCAAUCUCCCAAUCUUUUAAAUGCCUAGAGAAGCUAGGAGUCCAACAACCUCUAACAUUAGAUUGAUUCCACAAAACCGUCACAUACGCCUCCUUUGAACUAGCUAAGACAAAUAAAGAAGGAAAGGAACACACGAAGGCUCAUUACCACACCACUUAUCCUUCCAAAACUUUACCCUCUUCUCACUACCCACAAAAAAAGGAGACUCUACUAUUAACAAUCUCCCCACAAUUUCCUUAUGGUUUUCCAUAACCUAACCCCAUACUUGUCAUGCACUACACCACCCCCCUUCAACUUCUCCAUAUUCACCAUUUCUAAUAUGCUUCCAAAAGGCCUCCAUAUGAAUCAAUUGACCCCUUUAUAACUCUGGAAGCAUCUCAAGUGGGGGACACCAUUGAAGGUGUUAGUACCCCUACCCCAACCAUUGCAAGUCAAUGUAAGGUUUUCACACCCCACCAGGACAUAUGAGCAGUGGUGGGNNNNNNNNNNNNNNNNNNNNNNNNNNNNNNNNNNNNNNNNNNNNNNNNNNNNNNNNNNNNNNNNNNNNNNNNNNNNNNNNNNNNNNNNNNNNNNNNNNNNUCACCCUUACUAGUAGUGAGUUAUGAUGCCUAUCUCCGAUAUCAGGCAGCCACAUCAGCUUCUGUUACUUCUGUUGCCCAGACCGGUAAUGUCUCUGUCUACUUUACUCAGUUUCCUUCUUUUGGCCCGUGGAUUCUAGAUUCUGGAGCAUCUGAUCAUAUCUCUGGUAAUAAACACCUUUUCUCCUCUAUUAUUACUACCUCUGCCUUACCUACUGUUACUUUAGCCAAUGGUUCCCAAACUAUGGCUAAAGGUAUUGGUUUGACUCAUCCUCUCCCUUCCCUAUCUCUCCAUUCUGUCCUUUAUGCCCCUGAGUGUCCUUUUAAUCUUAUUUCCAUCAACAAAAUAACUCGCACUCUUAACUGUUCUAUCACUUUUUCUGAUAAAUCUGUGAUCUUGUAGGAUCGGAGUAUGGGGAAGACGAUUGGCAUAAGGUGUGAGUCUCAAGGCCUCUAUCACCUCACAUCACCUUCAUCUCCUGCAGCUUGCAUUUCCACCGAUUCUCCUCUUCUCAUUCACAGUCGUCUGGGUCAUCCUAGUCUCUCCAAGUUCCAGAAGAUGGUCCCUCGUUUUUCCACUUUGUCGUCGCUUGCGUGUGAGUCGUGUCAGCUUGGGAAACAUACUCAUGUCUUGUUCCCAAAGCGUUUGAAUAAUCGGGCAAAGUCUCUUUUUGAACUUGUCCACACUGAUGUUUGGGGUUUGUGUCGAACCGCGUCUAUUUUAGGAUUUCAGUAUUUUGUCACUUUCAUUGAUGACUAUUCAAGAUGUACUUGGUUAUUUUUUAUGAAAAAUCAAGCUGAGUUAUUCUCUAUUUUCCAGAAAUUUUAUACUGAAAUCCAAACACAAUUCAAUGUUUCUAUUCAAGUGUUACGCAAUGACAAUGCUCGGGAAUAUUUUUCUACACCCUUUACUUCUUUUAUGUCCCAACAUGGGAUCCUCCAUUAGUCAUCUUGUGCUCAUACUCCUCAACAAAAUGGGGUUGCUGAACGUAAAAAUCGACAUCUUGUUGAGACAACUCGUACCCUCCUUCUCCAUAGUCAUGUUCCUUUCAUUUUUGGGGGGAUGCUGUUCUUACAGUCUGUUACUUGAUUAAUCGUAUGCCCUGAUCUAUAUUACAUGACCAAAUCCCUCAUUCCCUUCUUUUUCCUACCCAACCUUUUCAUUUCCUUCCUCCUCAUGUCUUUGGUUGUACUUCUUGGGAUACUCUCGACUUCAGAAGGGCUAUUGUUGUUAUUCCCCUGACACUCAUCGUAUUUUCUCUCCGCUACUGUCACCUUCUUUGAGGACUCUCCAUUCUUCUCAUCCUCUAAAUCUCUUCCCAUUUCUGAAGUAUUGUCACUUCCCUAUAUAUCUCCCCCUUCAAAUGCACUCUCUCGUCCUCUUUAGGUUUAUCAUCGUCGACAUCGUGCUGUUGCUCCUCCUCUCUCUUCAGCUGAGGUACCUGAUGACUCACCUCUUAUCCCACCGAUUUCUCCUACCCCGGUCCUAUCAUCUACUGACCAUUUGCCUAUUGCUCUUCGGAAAGGUAAUCGAUCUACUUGUAAUCCUCAUCCUAUUUAUAAUUUUUUGAGCUACCAUCGAUUAUCUUCAUCCUAUUCUGCCUUUGUAAACUUUAUCCUCUGGUUCUCUUCCUAAGAGCACUAGUGAGGCACUUUCUCAUCCUGAGUGGCGAUAGACAAUGGUUGAUGAAAUGGCUGCUCUGCACUCCAAUGGCACAUGGGAUCUUGUUUCUUUACCUCUUGGUAAAUCUACAGUUGGAUGUCAUUGGGUCUACACUGUUAAAGUUGGUCCUGAUGGUCAGGUUAAUCGCCUUAAGGCCCGCUUGGUUGCUAAAGGUUAUACUUAGAUUUGUGGUUGUGACUAUGGUGACACCUUCUCUCCUAUUGCCAAGAUUGCUUUUGUUCGCUUAUUUCUCUCCAUGGCAGCUAUGUGUCAUUGGUCUCUUUAUCAGUUGGAUAUUAAGAAUGCUUUCCUUCAUGGUGAACUUCUCGAGGAAGUGUAUAUGGAGCAACCACCUGGUUUUGUUGCUCAGGGGGAGUCUGGUUUAGUGUGCAAGUUACGCCGCUCUCUAUAUGGCUUGAAACAGUCUCCUCGGGCAUGGUUUGGGCGUUUUAGUUCAGUUGUUCAAGAGUUUGGAAUGCUUCAGAGUGAAGCAGAUCAUUCAGUUUUCUAUCAUCAUAACUCUUCGAGCCAGUGCAUCUAUUUGGUAGUUUAUGUGGAUGACAUUGUCAUUACAAGCAGUGAUCAGGAGGGUAUCCAAAGACUAAAGCAACACCUUUUCAACCACUUUCAAACCAAAGACUUGGGCAAACUCAAGUACUUUCUAGGACUUGAAAUAGCUUAAUCCAGUUCAGGUGUAGUUAUGUCACAAAUGAAGUAUGCAUUAGACAUCUUGGAAGAAACAAAUAUGUUAGAAUGUAAACCUGUUGACACUCCUAUGGAUCCAAAUGUCAAACUUGUACCAGGACAGGGGGAGCCUCUAAGAGAUUCUGGGAGAUAUCGACUACUUGUAGGCAAACUGAAUUACCUCACCAUCACUUGGCCAGACAUCUCUUUUCCUGUGAGUGUGGUUAGUCAAUUUCUACGGUCACCAUGUGACAACCAUUGGGAUGCUGUGAUCCGCAUUCUUCGAUAUAUUAAAGGAACAUCAGGUCAAGGUAUGUUGUAUGAAGACAGGGGUCAUACCCAAAUUGUUGGUUACACAAAUGCAGAUUGGGCUGGUUCACCCUCAGAUAGGCGUUCCACCUCAAGGUAUUGUGUUUUUAUUGGAGGUAACUUAAUAUCCUGGAAGAGUAAGAAACAAGAUGUAGUGGCCAGAUCAAGCACCGAAGCUGAGUAUCGAACUAUGGCUUUGGCAACAUGUGAACUCAUAUGGUUGAGACAACUCCUUCAGGAAUUGAGAUUUGGAAAAAAUGAACAGAUAAAGCUAGUUUGUGACAAUCAGGCCGCAUUACAUAUUGCAUCCAAUCCAGUCUUUCAUGAAAGGACCAAGCAUAUUGAAGUUGACUGUCACUUCAUUAGAGAGAAGAUCGCAUCAGGGUGUGUUGCUACAAGUUUUGUUAAUUCAAAUGAUCAACUAGCAGACAUCUUCACUAAAUCUCUCAGAGGUCCUAGGAUUAAAUACAUUUGUAACAAGCUUGGUGCAUAUGACAUAUAUGCUCCAGCUUGAGGGGGAGUGUUGAAUAUAAUGUAUUUAUAGUGUACAAUCUUUCUUUCCUUUCUUAAUAUAGGUCACAUAUAUGGUAGUUAGUUCAACCUAGCCUUAUAUAUAUAUUUCUCUAUUGUAAGAAGUUAAUCAUAUGAAUGAGAAUUAAGGUUUUUUCUCUCUCUCUUUCAACAAAUAGGAUCAAUGAAAAAGGGCUCGUUGAAAUAGAAGUGUCGAUCCUUGUCUUUCUCAAUGGAAUUCUCCCCCUAAAUAUAAGGAGUGGGAAAAUAAGAAUCAAUUUUGUUGAAAGUAACAGUUGAGACAAAAAAAAAUUUUGGAUGAUGGAUGGUAACACUUAUAUCCCUUUUAAGUUGACAAAUAUACCACAAAAAUACAUUUGACUACUCUUAAGUCCAAUUUUCCAUUGUUUAGACUAUGAACAUGCAUAAAGGACACACAAAUAUUUUAGGAAUGAGAUGGUUUGUGGUUUUUAUAUUAAGAUAAAAUGAUAAGAGUAUUUCCAUAGGACUUUUGAAACCUAAGACUCUGAAGAAUAAUUAGUUUGUGAGAUGUGUGGCAGUUAGGACGACCUCCCCUCAAUAAGAUUUAGGCACAUGUUUUUGGAACAAAAAAAUUCGUGUUCUAUCAAGGAAGUAACCAUUUUUCCUCUCAGCAACUCCAUUUUGUUGUAAGGUGUUCACACACGAUGACUCAUGAAUUAUACCUUCAUGAUGAAAGUAUGAAAUUAGAACUUGAUUGAAAUAAUCUUUGGCGUUGUUAGACCGAAACCUUUUGAUAGUGACACCAAACCAAUUUUUUAUCAUCUUAUGGAAACUUGGGAGAACAAAACUCACAUCAGAUUGGUGUUUAAGUGAAAAGAUCCAAGAGACCCUAGUACAAUCAUCAAUGAAAAACACAAACCAGCAUGCCCCAGAUAUAUUUGGGAUAGGCGAAGGACCCCAAAUAUUAUUUUUUUUAUUGGAAACGACACAUAGAUAUAUUGAUAGAAAAAGAAGUACAAAAGAAGGAUGAGAAAUCCUCCCACCAAAGAAAACUAAACUACAAGAAAGUACACAGUAAAACAAGCGAACUCUCUAGAUUGGACCAUUCCUUAUGGAGUACACACCGCUAACCAGUCAAGUUGUAACACAUUAAGGGAAGUCCCCUUAAAAACCUUGGAACAGAAAGCCCAAAGAGAAGCAAGGAAAACAAUAGAGUCCCAAAGAUACUCUAAAUUUCUUGCUUUAUCCUAAAAAAUCCUCGCAAUUCUUUCCCACCACACAACCCAAAUUAAAGUGAUGCUCGCAGCUUCCACAAUACUAUCCCCCUCUUAAAUGAACCAAAACCAUUAAAUUUGAUGGACAUCAUGUCAAAGAUGCUCCUCGGGGGUACCCAAUCAUCUUGGCUAACUAAAAUAAUUUGUGCCACAACCCAAUAGUCAAGGAGCAACAUAGGAAAAGGUGAUCUGUUGAUUCCCCAUGUUUCAUGCACAGAAUACAAAUAUCAGGACUAAGGGCUUUGUAGGGUCUUUUUAAUUGUAGCAUGUCAUUAGUAUUUACCUUCUUGUGUGCCACUAACCAGACAAAGGACUUCACUUUGAAAGGGACUUGAGAUUUCCAAACGAACUUAGAAGGAAAAACCUGAGGAGAGCCAGAAAAUUGGGAUAAGGUUAGAAAGAAAGAUUUGACUGAAAAAAGCCUUGAAGAAGAUAAAGGCCAAAAUCUAGCAUCUGAAACCGAAGGAGAAAGAUGCAAACCAUCAAGUGACCGCAUGAGGCAUUCUAAGUCCUCUAUCUCAGAGUCUGAAAGGUUACGACAGAAAUUAAAGUUCCAAGAGAAAGGACAAGUAGAACCGAGAACUGAAGAAAUAGGAAUAUUUUUAUCCAAGACUACUCUAAAUAGUCUUGGAUAUUGGGUUCCCAAAGGUUGGUGAAGGACCCUAAAUAUCACUAUGAAUUAAAUAGAAAGGCUUUAAACUUCUUUUAUUACUGUCUGAGAAGGUUGAAUGCUUGUGUUUAGCUAGUUCGUACACUUCACAGUGAAAGCUCUCAACAUCUAAUUUCCUAAAUAGAGAAGGAAACAAGAUUUUAAGAAUUCUAAAUGACGGAUGUCCAAGCUCAUGAUGAUGAAGCUAGAUUUUUUCUUUAUUAAAACAGAGGUGCUAAGAGAGAAGAGAUAUGGAUGAUUCGCUUGGUGUCUCAAGGGAAUAUAGCCCGUUCCAUUCCGUAGCAAGUCUAAUCAUCUUCCCUAAAUUCUGGUCUUGAAAUACACAAUAUGGUAAAAAAUCAAAUUACAACCCAACUCUUUUGUAAGCUUUUGUAUAGAGACAAGAUUAGUAGACAACUUUAGAACAUGAAGCACAUUUCUCAGAGUGAGGGUAGGACUAAUUUAGAUAUCUCCUACACUUGCAAUGGUGGUUAACGAACCAUCAGCUAUGGUUAUUUUCCUAUUGCUUGAACAAGGAUUAUAGUUGUGAAAUUGGUGUGAUGAAUGAGUCAUGUGAUCCGUGGCACUUGAAUCUAUAACUCAUGAAUUGACAAAGGUUUCAUUCGAGGCUUUUAAUCCAAUGGAAAUAGGAGACUUACUUAAAAGUGUCAAUGAGGAAGUACUUGAAAGUUUCUCAAGAGUUCUCAACAAAGUUCUCAAAUUUUCAAUUUCCUUCUAAUUGAAUUCAGCUUGUUUCAAGGAUCUUUCUUCACUAGUUGAAUCGAAGACAAGUGUGUUUGUCCAAUAUCCUUCGGCUACCCUCCAUUGUAACUGGUCGUCAUUUUUCCAAAUUGAGCGGUUUCUUUUUUUCUUUUAGGGAAAAAUUAUAAGACAAAGACUUAAAAAACUCAACUUAAAUAGUCAAGCCUUAAAUACCCACGGGCUAAAAAGUGAAGUCGGGGAGAAACCAAGUCGACAGUCUAAGGUGGCAUCAACCGAUGGUAGCAUCGAGAUCUUAGGGCAACUGCAACGGCAAUAUGAGGCAAAUCCAAGGGGACAACAGUGGCCCAGUGAGAUGAAGACAAUAACUGUGCUGUUGAAGGAGAGAGACGGUUGACUGUGUGUUUACAAUCGACCCACUUCCUGUUGGUGGCAUAGCAGCAGCGCAAAGUGGAGACAACUAUGGCACGAGGAGAAGAUGACAACAAAACGAGGUGAAGACAAAGACAACGACGAGGGGUGACGGCAAGGGCUCGAUCCUUGUUUGCAGCAGUGGUCGACGGUGUGGAGUAGCUUAGGUUUCCAGCUGCUUUCUCGAUAAGUUUCACGAUCAGUUUUUUUUUUUCUGCGUCAGUGAACGGCUCUAAAAAUCGAUAAUGAAAUAAAAACUUUUAAGGUCGACAAUGAAGGUCAACAUUGAACUUGGCAAUGAAGACCGAAGAAAAUUCUUCUGCCAGAUUCACUAGCCUACGGCUUUGAUACCAUGUGAAAGAAGAAGAAUUGGAAGGUAAAUAAAAUAAUUUUUUUCCUUGAUUUCAAUUUGUGCAUCCCAUAUAUUUAUACAAAUAUUCUUAGCACAAAAAAUAGAAACUUUCCUAACAUAAUUCUAUCAAAUCCCCUUGAUUAUGGGGUUUAUUCUAACUCUCUCCUUAAUUACAAAAAUACAGCUAUAACAUUUCCUAAUCAUAUUCUUCCACAUUAUUCAACAACACAUGAAGCAUUGCUGUAUUCUGGCCAUUCUCAAUGGCACAAAAUUAUAGAGCAUAUCUUGCAACAGAAAAGGAUGAAUGGUUUCAAUAAGGUAGAAAUUUUACUCUACUUACUCCCCUCAGCACUGUAGCUCCUCUACUGGCCAAGGAAUUUCAAUUGCUUUAAUUUUUUUUUUGAUAAGUAAACGAUUAUAUUAACGAAGGCAAAAAGCCAAAGAGCAUACAGGAAGUAUACAAUUGCUUUAAUUUUAAAAAUCUAUUAUUUGUUUUAUGUAUUGAAUGUUAUUAUUACAAUGAUUUAUUUUCCAUCUGUAAGUUAGUUGCAUCACUGAAAACAUCCCAGCAUCCCUAUAUGAAGUGUAGAAUAAAUUGCCCAAAUGAAAAGCAGAUAUUUCCCAAAAUAUAUUAGUAUAAUAAGCAAUUCAAAGAUAAAGCUGUCUUACUUGAAGUGAAAAGGAUAGUGUAUUAUUAACAUGGCAAUCAUCUGGUGGGGUAAUCAAAUCCAUUGGGCAUGUCUGACUCUCACAACGGGAUUUUGUUACCCUACAGAUGGAGAGACAAAGGAGAGAGAAUUACAGAAAUGAUUUAAUUGUGGAUGAUUGUGUACUCUUAGCAGUUCCAAGAAAAUGAAGCAGGAUUUCACACUCACAUGCUUGUAUCAUCAUCCAAUGGAGCCUGAAGUAAGGAACCAGGCCCAACCUGACAAGUGCAAGCAGUAGAGGAAAAGAAAUUUACAGAUAGAAAAAUUGAAAGGACAUUACAAAUGAUGUAAGAGACAGUACUGAAACAAGAAACUAAAAUCAUCUGUGAUCAAAACAAACAGAAACAAGUUGAAGAAAGAAGGCAUCGUAACAAGAAAUACAGUUCCACAAAUGCAAAGGUUGUAGUCCUGGCACACAACUCGUUUGUAUGGAACCACAAGAAAUGCAGAUGCAUGCUAAAAAGAUUCAUAUUAUUAAACAAAUACCUUAUCAUAACAUUAAAAUCCAACUGCAAAGUACAAAAGGAAGUGCAGGAGGUGAAGACAAGAGGGUUGCCUUCAUGCAUCAUUAAGAUAGAGAAGAAAAAUAAAAUAAAAUAAAAAGGACCAAAAAGAAAUUAGUGGCAAUGUAAAAUAUCAAAAUACAAGGUGCACAAAGCCAAUACUUCUUAACGAUCCAAACUGAAGGCCCCAAUAAAAGUGAGGCAACUGUCCAAGUAAAAGACAUACUCAUGCAACAUAAUAGAAUAGAACCAGAAAAAACAAACUUGAAACAUAAAGAAUGAUCUGAAGAUGAAGAUGUAACAGAGCAACCAUUUGUAAUGAUCAAAGAAGAAAAAACCAACAAAAAGAUAUACUGUUGUAAUUGUUGAAAUAACACCACAAAAAGGAAAAUAAGAAGAAAAUGUUGAUGAUGUCGAUGACAAGAAUGAUGUCCAUACUUGGAUAAGGCAGUAACCUUGCAAAGUAGAUUAUCAAGACUUUGAAGGAUCAUUUUCCCCUUCUUGUUCCUUAAGGUGAAAGCAGAAGGGAAAGAGUACAAUCUAUUAAAUACUUCAAUUUACUUAUAGCUUUGCAUGUCAUUUUUCACUUACUUCCACAGACAAUUUGCAUUUAUGCACCUUCAUAUUUGCAGAAGGAUUAAAGAAUUUCAGAUUGAAAUUCAGAUUAUUAGCACUUUGGAGGAGUCAAGCAGUUUUUUCCUUCUAGUUCUUUAUAUUGAAAGCAAGGAGAAACACAUUCCAUUAUGAACACCAGUUCAUCCAUAAAUCAAUUAUCCAUACUUCUCAUGGACAAUUGGAAAAAGAAUACUUAUUUCACAUAUCUUUGCAUCAUGCAUCCAUGGUAAUAUUAUGGUAGGCUGCUGUUGAUCCAAGAUUCAAACAAUCUAUUGGCAAUACUGGUCUAUUGAGGAGGAAACUUUCUGAACAUGAGGAAAAAAGCAGCCUCUGGGCAAGCCCAUCAUGUACAGAUAUGAAAGCUGAUUCCAGAGGUGCUUUGGAUUUUCUUUUUUCUGGUUCAUUGGCAAAGGAUUCCUAAUCCUUCCUUGUUAUGCUAACUAUCCCUUUCAUGUUCACAAACAUAUUCCAUCUCCAGUUCUUGAAAGUUAGUAAUAAUAAUAAUUGAUUCCAGAUGUGAAUCCAUUCAUAAAGCUCAUAACUGAUUCUAGAUAUGAAUCUAUUCAUAAAGCUCAUAAUUAAAAUGUACAAAGAAAACAUAAAUCUGUCUUACAGUUAUAUUAUAAAACAGUGACAAGGAAAGUCGCUGAGCUUUGAUUGCAUCACCAUGACCAGUCAACUUCAGAAGUCCCUGACCAUAUACAGCCAAGUUCGUAUUUGAACUAAUUACAGAAUUUUCCUGCCAAAAACAAGGAUUUAUAAUCCCGGUUUCAGAUAUAAAAUUCACCAAGAACAAAGUAUGUCCACAACAGCUAAAUAUGGAUAAGGUCAAAAUAACCAUACCGUUAGAACAAUAAGAUUCCUAACUUCAAGGACAGAAGUGGUAACAACAGUAUUUCCACCACCAUCAAUUUUGAUUUUAGAGUUCCACAUGAGUAACAUCUUCACAGCCACUCUAAAUGCACCAAAAACCUUCACUCAUUUAUAAAAAAAAAAAAAAAAAAAUCACACAAACAAGAAAGACAAUUUAGACCAUGAAUAGAGCAUUGGCAUAUAUUCUACUUUCUGAGGGUGUUACUGCAUAAUUUGCUAGUACUUAUAGAUCUUAAAACAUGAAAUAUAACAUGUACUUCAUGGAGAGAGAACACAAAAUAUUCAGACAAGAUAGGCUGCAAUAGAUUGAAAAUUCUAAGGUGCAUUGUUUAGAGUUCUCAAAAGAUGUAGAAGAAGAAAGAAAGGAAGACAAAAAAAUAUAAUAAUAUUGGAAGCCCUCCUCAACAUGGUCAGUCAACUUGGAGAGAAAAUGUCACUUAUACCCAGCAUGGUCAUGAUACCUGAUCGAUGAAAUGAAGACAACUUUACUGAGGACAUCUGCCAAGAACAGUUUGUUUGUGAUGUAUAGAACAUGAAGCAUUUUUAGAAAAUAUAUGUACCUUAAUGACAGAAUCACUCAUCAAAAGUUCUUCUGCAACAAGCUCAAAUUCUGAGAUUGGAUACUCUGACAGUCCAAAGAUGAUGCUGCCCCCACAGAGUAGUUUAAUUUGACCUCUCACCUUUACAACCAAAAAAUCAAUGGAACAUUAAAAACUAUCCUUAAGAGGGAUUAAAAUCAGAAUAAAUACAAAAAGGUAAAUUGCCUCUAAUAGUUGCUAUUACUUUAUCAUUUUCUACAAAUAAAAAAUGAAUCAAGACGCACAGAUAGCAUCUUGAACAGUUGGAAAACAACUUGAAAGAACAGAGAAAAUAGAAAAUUACAAUCAACUCUAACAUACCAUACUUGGCUAGCUCCUUCCCUUGGCUGAACAACCUACAGCAUGACUUGGCUAAAUGACCUACAAUAUGACCUGCAAAGGGCCCUGCUGCCUAGCUACUUUCUUGGCUAAUGACCUACAGCAUGACUUUGCUAAGCACUAAAUCCAAGAGAAAGAGCCAUCUAAAUGACUAGCAACAUCUACAAUUUGGCAAAGCCACAUGUCAUACUUCCACAGACCACUUUCCUCAGACACCCACAAAAUGAUAAUUGUAGAAUCUCCCUCCACCCAGAGAUUGGAGUCUCAAAGCCGUUGCCCAUACUUUCUGAAAGAGCUAAAAUCUCUACCUUGUAUUUCUUUACCCAAGGAUCAUCCAUCAAAGUUUAACUAUUCAGAACUAUGGGGAACAGGUCCUACUUUAAAUAUAUAUAUCCUCAACAAACCUCCUUCACCUAUUAAAAGGAAGGUUCAAUCUAGCAUAAUAAAAAUCAGAGUGUCCAUAAAAGCUUCAAUGAUGGAACCCCAUAGACAAGAAAAGAAAUCAAACAAGUCCUCAACAGGCACCUUAGACCUAUACACACACACACACACAUAUAAGCCUAGAGCUUUUCUCCUUCAGAUCAUCCAGAUCAAAGUGAAACUUUACAACAGAACCCUACCUCUAGAAACCCCUACGAUGCCUAAAAGAGACUAUCAGCAUGAAUGUCAACUUCUAGGGGAACCCAUCCUAGAAAAUCUGAGCAACCUGGCCAAAGCACUCAGAUAAACAAGCAAUGGAAAAAGAGAUGGUCAGUUGGUUCGCCACUGCCCAUGCAUAAAACACAAUGAUCUGAACUGAAAGCCCUAUAAGGACUUCUCAUCCGUAGCAUAUGAUUGGCAAGAACCUUCACACUGGCUAGUGGCCACUAACAGUAUAUGAUUGCCAUGCAGCUUCAUAUUAGGCACUAAACAGGAAAAAAAGGUCAUUACCUUUAGUGGGUUUUGGGUCUCCAAAUGAAAUGGGCAGCAAAGAAUUGUUUGUUAAAAGCUUUUGCAUAGAGUGUUUUCUCAGCAAGGAUUCAUUAGGUGAAAAUUCUGGCAAAAAAGGAAUUGGCACUGUUCUAUUUUAGCCACAAUCUGAGUGAUUUUGUUAAAAGGAACACAAGUUUCUUGAUGAUAAUCAUGGCAAAACUGUUUGCAAGAUGGGUAGAAUUCAACUUUUUACUUGGUUAAAAGUGUCAUUACCAAGGAGUUUGGUGGAACUCCUUUUAACAUUAUUUCAAUAGAUGUGGUUAUAUGUAGAACAUGGAGUAAAUAGAUUAUCAAAUGCCAAUACAAGUUUAGUUUUGAUGGAUACUAUUUGGGUAAUCUGAUGCAAGCUGGCAUCCAAGGGACUAGCAAAACCUCUAGCCAAGAGAUAAUAAAGAACUUUAAGCUGACUAGUUUUGGUUUACUACCAAGGCUGAAAUUUUGACCUUUCUUGAAGGCUUGAAAGAGGCCCUUUCCUGGGGGAUGAUAUUUUCCCUUUUGAAAGAUAUUCUUCCAUGGUCAUUUCCUGUGCCCAAUACCAAGAGACAUGGCUUCUAGAGCUACAAUCAUUAGAUGAUAGAGACGUUUGAUUUAUCAAAAGACAUGGAAAUUUCUUUCUAUUGGAAGCCUAGAUUAGCUAAUCAAGCAAUUAAUGGAACCUGCACAUGGAAUUGGGCUAAAAAUGAUGAUUCACUAAAAAGUUCUAGCUUGUUACCCUCUGAUUUCUUUUUCUUUUUUUAAUGGGCAAUAAAAGUUCUAUAUAUACAGAAAAGAAAACAGUACACCAUAUACAAUGGGCACCAAAUGGUAAUACCAUAAAAGAGAGAGCACAAAAGAUAGCUCACUCUCUCAACACGACCCCAACCAAUCUACAAAAUCAAUCAAAGACAUUAACCUUUUUUUAUGUGUAACCUAACCCAUGCUAAAAGGUUACUUUUUUUUUUUUAUAGGAAACAACAAUUAUAUAUAUUUAUAGAUAAAGAAGUACAAAAGAAGGAUGAGGAAUCCUCCCUCCAAAGAUAAAACUAAACAACACAAUAAAAGAACAAGAAACUACACUAUGAAAACUACGAACAAGCUCUCUUGGCUAGACCAUCCCGUUGGAACCACAUAUUGCUAGCCAAUCUAGUUGUAACAAGUUAAGGGGAAUGCCCUUAAAAACCACGGAACAAAAAGCCCAAAGAGAAGUAAGGAAGUGAAUGGAAUCCCAUAGAUUCUCUUAAAUCCUAGUUAUGUCCUCAAAUAUCCUAGCAUUUCUUUCCCACCACACAACCCAAAUUAAAGCAAUGCACGCAUUUUGCCACAAAACUAUCCCUCUCUUGAAAGUGCCAAAACCUUUAUAAUUGAUGGACAUCAUGUCUGAAAUGCUUCUCGGAGGAACCCAAUCCAUCUUGGCUAGUUGAAAUAAUCUGUACCACAACCCCAUUGUCAAAUAACAAUGUAGGAAAAGACGAUCUGUUGAUUCUCCUUACUUCAUGCGCAACUUACAAAUGUCAGGACUAAGAACUUUGUAGGGUCUUCUCAAUUGUAGCAAGUCAUUAGUAUUUACCUUCUUGUGUGCCACUAACUAGACAAAGGACUUGACUUUGAAAGGGACUUAAGAAUUCCAUACAAAUUUAGUAGGGAAAGUAUUUGGGACAAGGCUAUAAAGAAAGACUUGACUGUGAACAAUCCUGAAGAAGAUAAAGACCAGGAUCUCGCAUCUGAAGCCGAAGUGGAUAAAUGCAUACAAUCAAGAAAUUGCAUGAGACAUUCUAGAUCUUCUAUCUCUAAAUCAGAAAGAUUACGACAGAAAUUAAAGUUCCAAGAGAAAGGGCCAGCAGAACUGAGAAUUGAAGAAAUAGGGAUAUUUUUAUCCGUGACUACUCUAAAUAGUCUUGGAUAUUGGGAUCUCAAAGGCUGGUCCCCCCACCACAAAUCUUCCCAAAAGCAAAUUUUUUCCCCAUCUCCUACCACAAACCGAGUAUACUUUGAAAAAUCCUGAAAGACUUGUGCAAUAGUCUUCCAAGGACAACAAUGUGACCAUCUGACUAAAAUGUUGGCAUCCCAACCAUUUGAAUGUGUCCCAUAAAUGCUUAGAAUGACCUGAUGCCACUGAGUUGUACUCUCCCUAGGAUACCUCCACAACCACUUCCCUAAAAGAGUGAGAUUCUUUAAAGAAAUCUUCCCAAGCCCCAAUCCCCCUUUUACCUUCGGCUUACACACUACGUCCCAACUAAUAAGAUGAUCUCUUUUACCUUUCCCAACCCCUGACCAAAAGAAAUCCCUUUGCAAUCUCUCAAUUUUUGCAGCCACUGAAACGGGAAUCUUAAACAGGGAUACAUGCUAAAAGGUUACUUAAGAAGAACAUUUCAACUUUUGGAUCCAACUGCUCUUCAUUUUCGAAGGAUCUUCAACUUUUUUCUUUCCAAAUUGUUCAAAAAUGCACAGAGGAGUAAUUCUCUAUAUUUUCUGCUGUUUCUUUCCAAAAAAUGAGUCAUGCUAGCUUAAAAGAGUUUCUCUAACCAUGGAAGGGAGCACUCAAACAAUGCCAAAUAAGGAUAACAACUACCAUAAAACCCUUGUUUUGGCACAGUGAAGAAAAAUGUGAUCAAUUGCUUCUUCAUCAUUUUUACCAAAAAAAUUAAAUAAAUAAUCUAUGUGCCAACAACCACCUUCUUCUAUGAAGCUGAUCUAACAUCAAUAGUUUUCUCCAACUGGAUUCCCAAGAAAAAAAGUUCACGUUAGACAGGACUUGUGAAUUCCAAAUAAUGCACAUUAGAAAGGGCAUUGACCUCCCAACUCCGAAACUGAAUAGAGGGAUUUGAUGGGGAAAAAAAACCCUUUGUUUUUUGAAUCCUUCCAAAUCACCCCAUUGUUUUCUUCCCUCUUCAUCGACUUAUCAUGCAAUCUAACGAAAAAACCUCCCCAACUCUCAAUCGUUUAAGUGUCUAUAGAAGCACGAAUUCCAAUGACCACACCCCUCUCAUCCCAUUAAUCCGCCACCCAAACCUCCUUAGAUACUACUAAAACAUACAAUGAAGGAAAUGACACACACAAGGGUUCCUUCCUACUCCAUUUAGCUUUCCAAAAUUUCACCCUCUUUCUACUACCUACUUCAAAAGAUGCCUCAUUAUUGAAGAGGUCCCAACCCUUCCUAAUAGUUUUCCAUACUCCAACCUUGUACACAUUUCUCAUUUCGCAAGAAUGCCAACCCCUUCUUCCUUCUCAUACUUCCCUAUAUGACCUAUUUCCAAAAAAACUCACCCUUUAGAAGCAAAUCUCCAACUUCACUUUCCUAAAGGAGCAAGAUUAAGAAAUAAAACCCUUCUAAUGCCCAAUCCCGCCUUACUCCUAUCCAUGCAAACAAUCAAUCAUUUCAUUAAAUGUGGCUUUUUCUGCAAAGUCCCAUCUCCCCAUAGAAAAUCUCUUUAAAUCUUCUUUAGUCUCAACUUGAGCUUUCUAGGGAUGGCAAACAAGAACACAUAGUAGAUAGACAAACUAGAUAAUGUGCUUCAAAUCAACGUGAGCACAUUGUCUUUUCCCCAUGGACAAUUUUCUACGAAACCUCUCUUUCACCCCAUCCCAAUACCGAUACUAAUAUGAAAGGAACACCUAAGGGUAGACCUAAGUAAGUAGACGAAAGCUCUCCCACCUCACAACCCAACUCUAUCACCAACUCCUCCACAUUAGAAUCAUUUCAUUUUUUUCUAGGUUUAUUUUCAGCCCACAGAUUGCUUCAAACUACAUGAGAAGCCCACUUAAAUGUACCUUUUGAUUUUUAGUAUCCUCACAAAAGACCAACAUAUCAUCUAUAAACAAUAGAUGAAACACCUACACUCCCUCACCGUUCUUCCCCCUCAAACUAAACCCCGACCAAUAACCACCCUCCCUAGCCCUCUCCAAAAGACAACUCAACACCUCCACUGCCAACACAAAUAGAUAAGGCAAGAAAAGAUCCCCUUAUCUCAAACCCCUAAAGCUCUUAAAAUAAAAACCAAAAAGGGGUACCAUUUACAAAUAUUGAAAUCUUUUUAGUGGAUAUGCAUCAUUUAAUCCAUCCAAUCCAUUUUUAUCCAAAUCUCAUUUUUUCAAGAGUUGCGAGCGAGCAAGGAAGCCCAAUUAACAUGUGUGGAAACCGUUCAAAUUGGUAUAUGCAAAGCACCAUUAAAAUUUACUACCUCCAUUCCUAGAAACCAUUUGAUAAACCAUUUUAUAGGGCCAUUAAGUCAUUUGACCAACCCUUAGGAGUAAAUUCUACCUCUCUCAACAAUCAUCAGUUCAAACUUAAACCGUAUUUGGCGUCACCUUCAACCUUGACUAGGUCAAAGGUUUUCAAAUCAAUCCAACUACCAUUUCAUGCAUAUUUCUUCACCCAGGCAUCCAAUAAACUCCCAUUUCUCCCACCUAUAGUGCAUUCCAAAUGCUUAAAAACAAUAAAAUCCAUCAUCCACUUCUACCACUAAUGUUUUUAUGUAAGAAAGCAAGAAUAAAAAUGUUCAACUAAAAUUAAUCUUACCCUCCAAUUGGUUGGUCCAAGAAAUGAAAAUAAAUUUAGGUUUUGAAUCUCAGAUUAUUCUUUGUUUGAGACCUAAAAAAUAUUUUUUUUGCCUAAUUGUGCCUCAUGAACCAUUUUCCUUGGUUAAUAAGAAAUUUCAUGUUAGAGAAACCAAAGCAACAAAAAAUAAGCAAUUGGGAAUUUUAUUUUGUUUUAUUUCCCUUGGCUUUCUGAUGCAACGAAAUGCAACACUAAUCUAAUUGGAAAUUCUUUUCAACCAACAAAUUGGUUGUCAAAGAAGGACAAGUUGUGAAUUCAUAAAGAAGGAUAAAUCAAAAGUUCAACAUGAUGAUUAAAUACUUGCUAUCAAAAUUAUUUUCUGCCUGGAAAAAGUAAUAUCAUGAUGACAUCCUGGAAUCAAAACCUGAAAUAUACCAAGGAACCUAAGGAGUUAGUUCUUUCUUUUUUUCUCUUUAUAAGAAAAAAAGAUAUAUUAAUUAUGACAAAAGUACAGGAGAAGGAUGAGGGGUCCUCCCCAAAAAAUACAGCAUCUAUCAGGUGGUGUGCCAGCAAUGUAUAUUAAGCCGACUAGGGAUAAAUCCCUAACACCUCACCUCACACGUGACCUCUUCUCGCUUGCACACUCUAUGUCAAGUGUGAGAUUUAAACUCAUGACCUCUUUAAAGCCAAGGCUUUGAUAUCAUGUUAAGCUACCAAUUUGAUUCAAAAGCUCAACUACAUAAUAAGUUAACAAUGUAUAUCAAACAUACUUAGAAUAAAGCUGUAACAGUUCCUAAGGAGAUCUAUAAAAUAAUUUAGUAUGAGAUCUCUCACAAGAGAUUCAAAUGCAAGGACUUUGAACAAGAGAAACAAAUACUCAGUUGACAUGCUUUAGUAAUUUUAAACAAGUGUUUAAGAAGAAGAAACAGAAACAUGCCCUGAAUAUAGGCAACAGCUGCCCACAAAAACAAUUACUAACAAGCUGCAAUUUUUAUUUCCCAUAUUAUACAGAUUGCACAACUCUAGAGCAAACAUUUUCCACAUAGGCAUCAUGAGAAAAACAUAAACAAAUAAACACAUAGAUGAGAUGGAAAUACUUCAGGAAGCAGAUAGGCAAAAAGGAUAUAUCUUUAUACCAACAUUAACAUGUCUCACAAAGAAAUGAAAGUUUCAUCCUUCAGCAAAAAAAUAAAAAUAAAAAUAUUUGAAAAGGACUAAGAUUUGACAACCUGAACUCGGGUCCAUAGUAAAGGAACCAAAACUUUUGCAUUGUUCUCCACAAAAACAUUUGACCAUAGUGGGGUGGUAGGAAAAUCCAGCAAAGGAGUUUCAGUUUCUGUUGUGAUAUUGUCAUUGCCAACUCUUAAACUCAGUAGAGUUGCAUCGAAGUAUGUACCUGCUGCUCCAGCAUUACCAGGACAUCCAAUACUCAAACCACCUGCAACAAUGAAAACGGCUAUUGUAGAUUGACAGUUUAACAUAAAUUUUUCUGAAAGUUCCAUCUUUCCACAGAAUAACCUUUGUAAAACUGUAGGCAUAUAAAAGGAGAUAGUCUUUUGGUAAAGUAUUGACCAGAAUUAAAGACAGGAACAAUAUGAUGUUCACAGGCCCAAAAUAUACUAAAUGCAUAGAAACUGUUUAUAUUCAACAGGAAAAAAAAUUAUGAAUAUUUUAGCCAGAAAGGAUAGAACUUAACACCCUUGGCAUGGUAUCUAUCCAACAAAAUACCAAUUUCAUAAGUAUCUUAUGUUGCAAUAUUGUAAAUAGAUAUAAUAUGAUUUUUUUAAUACAAAACUGAGACAUACUAUUUUUUUUAAAAAAAAAAAAAACCAACAACAACAACAACAAAGAAGGGAUGCAAAGAAGGAUGAGAUAUCCUUUGAGAAGAAGACAAAGUCAUCCUCAAAUUCACCCCAAGUAAAGCCACAUAUAAUCAACUAGGGAAGCCACCACCCUCCUUUCGGGCAAGAAGAUUAUCUUCGUGUCCAAAGAGAUUAGGCUAAAGUAAAUGCCAACAAAUCUCUCAUUCAAAAUUAAAAAAAGAGGCCAUGCCUUGUAACUCAGCUAAAGGGUUCUGGCUAUCCUUGAAGAUCUUAAAAUUCCUCUGUUACCAAAUAAUAAAAAAUGUGGCUAGCAAUGCACAAUGCCAAAGGACUGCUCACCUCACACCUAUCAAAUCCUUGAAAGGGAAUAUUCAACAUGUUAUGGAAUCUCCUUUAAGGAAACCUAUUGGACACCUGCUAAAGAGAAUAAAUUGCCGCAUGUCCUGUGUACAGGACAAUAAUGAAAAAAAUGGUCCAUAAACUUCCCGUUCUCCUUGCAGCAAAUACAUAUGGCAGAGCUAAUAAUUUUAUAAGGUCUUAUAAGGUAAAGAACAUAAUUGGUAUUCACUCCCAUGUGAUUCAGUAGUUAUGCAAAUACUUUGACCUUCAAGAACAUUUUAGAACUCAAAAUUGAUCUGGCUGGAGGAGAAGUGAAAGGAAAGGAGUAAAAAAAGGGACAUAGAAGAAAAGAAGGCUGUCAUGUCCAAAGAAUGUUUCUCAUCCAAAAGAGAUAAAAGAGUAUAUCCAAAGUGAUAGCAAGAGGGAACCAAUAUCAUCAAUUUCAUAAGCAUUAAAGUCUUGGCAGAAAUUGAAAUGCCAGGAAUGUGGACUUAUGGCAGGAGCAGAGCAACUAGAUCUAGUUCCUACAUCAGAAUAGAGAAUAAAGCUGAGGGUAGAAAGUACAAAGAGGAAGAUCUCCCCACUAAUCCUCCCACAAAAAUCUGAUAUUAAGACCAUUAUUGACUCUGAAUAUACUCUUGCCUUUUAAUGCCCUCGUAUGCGAUCCAUGUACUUUGCUGUAUUCUUUUUGAUAGGCACUGUUAAUAUAAUUUUUGCUUGCUUAUCAAAAGAAAAUUACUGACUCCAAUUGUAAACAGAUGAGAAAUAUCCAGUACUCCUAGGAAAUAGCUUUACAAGCACAACAUAUCCAGUAGACUGCAAUCAAUAAUUGCUUUUGAUGACAGAAUGCAGAGCUAAGUUUGUUCCCUAGGGAACAUCUACAACCCAUAGGAUAUGGUGUGUUUUCAGAUGUCAAACAACAUGUAUGGCCUAGAUGGUCACAUUUAGUUGGAUCUUUUUCCCUUUUGUUUUUUGAUAGGCAAAUAAGAAAAUAUAUUAAAGGUGCCUAAGAGGAGGCACACCGAAAUACACAUGAUGUAUACAUUAGUCGCCUAGGCUAAAUAAGGAAAAGGUAAACAAAAAAUAGACUCCCACUCCUUACUCGAGGUUCAGCCAAUCUGCAAUUCCAUCAUAGACAUUGAAUGGUCCUUUUAUAUACACCCUAACCCAAUAAAAAACCUAAACAUAAAAUACGAUUUGAUUGUUUGGUCCGACUACUCGACGUCAUUAAAAACCCUCCUAUUUCUUUCCUUCCAUAGAGUCUAGAACAAACACAAAGGAGCAACCAUCCAAGCUUUUUUCCACUUCUUCCCCACAAAUGAGCCAUGCCAACUUAAUAGUUCCUUCUAACUGAAGAGUGCAUUGCAUCACCUAGACCACUCUGAAAUGAGAGAAGAUCAGCUGCCACAACAUUCUCAUUUUGGAACACUGAACAAACAAAUGAUCCAUUGAUUAUUCCUCACUUUUGCACAAGAAACAUCUAUUCAACAAAACCAAGUUCCAUUCCAAGUCUCCCCACCUGAAAAUUAAAAAAUGCCUAUGGAUGUAACCACUACCAACCCUUUUAAGAAAACUAAAAUCUCGGCUUCAAUCGCCAACCCAACCCUGCUAGCUUGGAGAACAUUCUGACCACACAGCCUAUAUGAGUCUAAAGACACCUCUAAUUCCUAACUAUCCUUGGUUUUGCAACAAAAACAAACACUAAAGGUUUUUUUUUUUUCUUUUUAAUGUUUAAAGGCACAUAGAGAUUUUACAACAAAAUUUUACGAACCUAAAAUUUGCAACUUGACACCUAAAGAUAAUUUGACUGUUUCAAGGUUAACAAGAAGUAAAUAUGUAGUUGAAAUUGCAAAGAUCUCACACACACAAAAAGCCUCUAUGCUCCCUACCUAUUAUUCCCUAUCACUCAAAUGAGGUAGCCUAAUUAUUAAUUGUCUAUGGAUUGUUUAAUUAGAAGCAAAAGGGUGCUCUUGUUACUAAUGGAAUUAAAUUAAUAGGAUUAAGUCUCUUAAGACUGAGAUAGUUGAAAAUAAAAAUAGGACCAAAUAUCCAUUUGGCCCUAUACCUACACAAGAUAAAUAGCAUCCCAUAAAAGAGGAUCUCUUUUUGUUCAUGAUUCAUAAGCCCAUAUGAUUCAGCAUCCCACACAUACACGCACCUGUAUAUAUAUUAAUAUAUACAGGAUCAAUGCAAAUACUAAUUAAGAUUAUAGAAUUUUGUCUACAGUUAAUUACUCAACUAAACAAAAUGGCAAUUUUUUAAAUAUUUGUUAAUUAACCCUAAUUUCAAUGUCCAAUACAAAGAAACAAGUGUUAAGACGCAUAAUUUGCAACAUCAUUAGUCAAGCCUCUAGAAAUAAAUACACAAAUGUAUACAGCAUCUGAUAACUAUGGCUGCAUCAAGUUAAAGAACUUAGCCAUGGAGAAGUUGCUUCAGGAAUAAGCACAUGAAGGAAUUAUCCCUGUUAACAAUUUCUAGAAGGCAGCCAUUUAGAUCUGUAAAGCAAGUUGAGACUCUUACAAAAGAAUGAAAUAUUUAUUAGCACUUGAAUAAGGAACCAAAGCUUCUACUAGAAAGUAGAAACUACCAGAUACAAACAUGUGAUCAGUACAAACCAUGCACAGUGAUUUUGACAUCUUCUUGUAUGCUAUAACAAUCCAGUGAUAUUCUUCCACCUCCACCUCCACCCCAUCCACUACCACCUGCUGCACUUAUAGUGCCAUAUCCCUUCCUAUCCAAAUAAAUGAUUAAGUAAAUAGUUAGGGAGAAAAAUCCACAGAAAGUCCACUAGAUUACAAUUACAUAAUUAAUUUGUCAUGGACGCAACAUCUGCAACAAAAAAUAAAUGUAGUACAAAGAAUGCUUGCAAUGAGAGUUACUUGAUCAGUAAUCUUCAACAACAUUGUCAAGGAUUUUUUUUUUAAAGAUAAAACCCUAAAACAAGUUGAAAAAUGUAUAAGAACACACCAAAGAAACCACAUUAUUUUCUCUUUUGCACCAAGAAACAACACAUAAAGAAGGUCCAAGAGGUACACAUUUUAUGAAACUUACUAACUUAAAUACGAAAGCCUUUUUUAUAUAAAGCAGCCAAACCAUGCAAGAAAUUGGAGUUCCUCGAUGUGUACAAAUAAGAGAAACUUAUCAAUUCUGAAAAUGGUAUACACUAAAGUGGCAAUAGAAGAUUUUAAGUACACACUUUAUAGGAGCUAUGCAGAGGACAACAUUAUUAUGACAUGCCAAAGGCACUGAUCAAUGAUGACAAGAUAGCAUAUCCGAGAAAUCACCAAAAGUACAUAUGAUAUCCAAAAGUUAAAAACUGAGAUGAGAUUCCUCUUAUCAUUUGUUGGCAGAUAACACCUUACCAUUAUGUAGGGCUAGUGCAGAACACAUGAGAUAAUGGAAAUGGGUGUUGACCUGUUUUGAGUUUGGGUAAGCCUUGAAAUUAAUUUGUAGAAGAGUGAGAUGAUUCACAUUGGUGAGGUGGAGGGAUGGGGCCUCCUUGUUCAGUUGUAGGGUUGGGUAUCUCCCUGCCACAUACUAUAGAUCACCUUUAGAAGUGACUCAUGGGUCUUGUACAAUGUGGGACUCAAUAGAGAAGAGGUAAAGUGGAUUGGCCUCUUGGAAGAAGAGGCACUUGUCUAAAAGGGAAAGAUUGACCAUCAUUAAGAACACCCUCCUUUCCAUCCUUCGAAUGUAUUUCAUGUCCUUAUCUAUAAUUCCCAAGAAAGUGAGAAUCAGAUUGGAGAAGACACAAAGAGAAUUCUUAUGGGGGAAGAGGAGAGAAAGGUACAUCUAGUGAAUUGAACUAUGAUAUGCAAGGAUAAAAAGUUUGGAGAAAUGAAAAUUAGAAAGUGGGAUACUCUAAAUAGUUCUCUAUUAGGCAAAUGGUUCUGGUGAUAUGUUUAUGAGAAUGAUAGUCUAUGAAGGAAGGUCACCCAGGAGCAGAUCUCAUUUCAUAAUUGGAAAUGGAAAAAAAGGGGUCAAAUUUUGGAAAGAUAGGUGGUGUGAAAAUUUAGCUUUGGAAGAAGACUUUCCAUCAUUAUUUUCUAUAGUCCCCGCCAAAGAUUCAUGGGUAGUUGAGGAGUGGAAGCAAGUUAUGGAACGAGAUUGGUGGAGCCCUCACUUUUCAAAACAGUUUCACAAUUGGGAGCUUAAAGGAGUAACAGUCUUUUUUCAGAAACUGCAUACAAGUUCAGUUAGGAGAGAUGAGGAUGAUAGAAUAGGGUGGAAGGAGCCCAAGUGUAGCAAGCUCUUCGUCAAAUCCUUCUACGACUCCCUAGUCCAGGGUAGAAGAAAGCCUUUUCCCACAAGAGCUUAGUGCAGAAUUCCUAGGUUUGUAUGAAGGUGGGAUAUUUUACAUGGGAAGUAACAUAGAGAAAGAUUUUAAUGAUCAAUCAGCUUAAAAGAAAGGGAAGGAUAAUGUCAAAUAGAUGCUACAUGCCCAAAAUAGAGGAAGAAUCAAUUGAUCAUUUGCUCCUACAUUGCCUUAAAGCAGGUAUCCUGUGGUAGUUGGUGUUCUUUCUAUUUGGUGUAGAGUAUAGGUGAUGUACUCUAUGAUAAACGGAACUUUAUUGAGUUGGCAUGAAUCUUUCAUGGGAAACAAAUAGAAAAAACCUUAGAGGACAACUCCUUUGUGUUUGUUUUAGACGUUGUGAAAGGAAAGAACAAAAGGGCAAUUGAAGACUUGGAACAAUCAGAACGAAUAAACAAAUAAGCUCUCUUUUAUGAAUACUUCUUUGGAAUGGGUCAAACUAUAUAUGGAUGUUAUUCUUUGUAGUCCAGAUAUUUGUAAGUUGUGCAUGAGGCAUGGAAAAUCAGCAAAUCAUCUUUUCCUACAUUGUUCUUUGACAUUGGGGUUAUGGCACAGAUUAUUUCAGUUAGCCAAGAUGGAUUGGGUUCCCCCGAGGAGCAUUUCCGACAUGCUAUCCAUCACUUACAAUGGCUUUGGUUUAUCGAGGAGAGGGAUAGUUUUAUGGCAAGCUGCAUGUAUAGCUUUAAUUUGGGUUGUGUGGCAGGAGAGAGAUGCGAGGAUUUUUUAGGAUAAAGCAAGGAAUCCAGAAAGUCUUUGGGAUUCUAUUUUUUUCCUUGCUUCCCUUUGGCCUUUUUGUUCCAAGGUUUUUAAGGGAACCCCCCUCAUUGAGUUACAACUUGAUUGGUUAUCGGCGUGUAGCUUCGAUGGGUUGGUUUAGCCUAGAGUAGUUGUUCGUUAUUACAGUGUAAUUUCUUAUUUUUGGUUUCUUGUAGACUAGUUUUCUUUGGUGGGAGGAUUCCUUAUCCUUCUCUUGUACUUUUUUUCUAUUAAUAUAUUCCUUUGUCGUUUCCUAUCAAAAAAAAAAAUGUUAUUCUUUGACCAUGAUAAGCUUUGUAGAUUGGCUUAGCUCAAAGUAAGUAGAAAGGGUUUUAUUUUUUUGUUCUUCUCUCUUUCUCUUGCUUGCCUAUUUUAACAACAAAUAUAUAAGUCAUGUACACUUUACUGCACCAUUUGCUUAGGCACUUUUAAUAUAUAUUUUUUCCUUUUGCCAAUCAAAAGAAAGUGAUACACCUACAAUCCUUAAGUGUCUACGGAAUGAUGGAAGAGCAAAAAAUAGAAGAAGUAAACGAAGAAGAAGAAAGGUGUUAAAAUAAUUGAGAUGGUUAAUUAUAUGAGAAUAGCUAGGAACAGAUCCAUGAAAAAGUCAAACAGCAUGUUUGUUUGUUUGGUACAAGAAUAGAUUCCCAUUCAAUGUAUGUUUCAUUCUAGAGAUGACUAGUUAGUCAUUUGAAUACUAUCCCUACCAAUAGGGAUCAUCUCUCUGUAACUCAACAAGGUAUAUUCUCUAUCCCAACCCCGUUGCAACUUGGACACAAAGAUUUAAGUUAGCAAAUAAGGACAUGGAUUUCAGCUCCACUACAACUUUAGACAACUGGUUGAUGUUGGGAUGUGGGAUUUACUGCAAUAUGAAGAUGAUUAUGGUUGAGUCAAGAAUUUUGGAAUUUGGGUUAGGAAUAGGAUUCGCAUUUGUUUUCAUUUCUAAUAAUAAUAAUCAUGGUAAUAGUAAUAAUAUAAUAAUAAAAAAUAAUUAAAGAAAAUUUACAUUUAGGAUUUUGGAUUUAAGGUUAAUCAUGAUUGAUGGAGAUUGAAUUUAAAAAUUAAAAAUAAUAUAUCAAAGAAAAGUUGCAUUUGGAAUUUUGAAUUUGGGUUGAUUAUGAUUGAUGAAUAUUUUUGAAAUCUAGGAUUGGGAUCUGGCCUUUGGACUUUGGGGGGUUAUGUAGGAAAACACCAAGUUAAAACCUACAAUCACAUAACAGUGGGCCAAGCUUUCACCUUUUUACUAUUUAAAACAAGGAAAGGAAUAAAGCGCCAAGAAAGUAAAGCCUUCUAGAGUCCCACAUAAAAAUAAAAAAUAAAGCCAAUGGGUCUCACCAAUAAAAAUAAGUGAAGAUGAGCAAACAUCAUGGAGUCCUGCCAUUAAAGGAUGCAAAUAAUGAAAAAAUUCUAGUUGUUCAUUUGCAUUUUCAUUUUACAACAAUUAACCUUAUUUAUGAUGCUUUAGAGCAACUAAAUAAUUAGAUUUGGGUCUGGAGAGUCGCCUCAUUGUGUAUUUUUUGGACAACUUGGAAGGAAAGGAACCAAAGAUCAUUCGAGAAAACUGUUUCAAUCAUUGAAGGGCCCCUUCUUGAUAAACUUGUCUGUCAUGGGUUAGGAUGAACAUGGCAGAAUAUCAGUGCCUUUAAUCGAUUUUGUAAAUUGGGUAAGAUCUACAUGAGGAAAGGAGUAAUUUUUUUUUGUUGUCCCUCCUUCAAGCUACACCUUUUCAUAUCCUUUGUAUACGACAUAUAUACUUGGAUGUAUAGUGUUUAAUUAUAAAUACAUAUUCUUUGUUUACUUAUCCAAAAAAAUAUUAGUGUUUUCAAUUUUAUGGUAGUAAUUUGGAUACCAAUACUGCCUUGAGUUUGAUUCCCACAGAUAGCGCCAUUAUCAAAAGCCAUUUAAAAAAAAUAAUAGAUUGAAGUAACUCCUUUGAAUGGUAAAAGGAGCAAAGGGCAACAACUAGAACUCUUACAAAGGAUGCAAUCAAAAACAUCAAUAGACAAAACUCAUUCAGUAGGCAAUCAUCAUAAUAGAGGUAACUAAGAGGUUGCCUAAAACAACAAGGGAAGAAUUCUAAAAGUCGAUCAACACUCUAAUAUUAAAUAUUAAGAAAACUGCAAUCAAAUGAAGUCACGAUUCCUAGAAGAAGAGAAGCUUGGUGUUGAAAGUGGUUCAUAAACUUCUUUCCAAGGAUCCCCCUUCCCUUAUGCACUUAUGUUGUUGCAAGGUGUUCUUUAUGUCUAAUUGAAAUCAAGUUCGAAACAUCAAGUUUGAAGCCUUUGCUCCUAGUUGCAAAUCUCAUUUCAUCUGGACGUGAAGAAUGCAUUUCAACAACAAAAAGGGAUUCACAAAAAUAAAUUUCUAUUCAGCCUCCUCCAACACUACACCUCUCAUGUCCUAGAAAUCCUAACUUAAUAUGACAGAAGUUUUCUUAAUACUAGAAUACUAAUUGACUUAUAGAAUUAUUUCCUGUUUUGUUUUAGAGAACUACUUUAUUGCCACUAUAAUGGUAACUGUGAGCUCUAUUGGUGUUUUUACUUGCAACCUUUGUGUGACUAUUAAUUGUAGUCCAUUGCUCAUAUUGCUAUCCAAGUGAGUUACUUCAAUCUAUCACCUUUUUUUUGUCAAAUGGCUUCUAAUUGUGGUGUUGUUUAUGGGAAUCAAAACCAAUUGACUCAAAACAAUAUUGGUAUCCAAAUUACUACCAUAAAAUUCAAUGAAUCUAAUUGUCUACUUUAGUCUAAAUCUCUAAUACUAUGUUAAGCUACCAACUUUCCUAAAAGCUUAAAUUGUUAUAAUAUGGACCCAAAAUAUAUAUUAAGCUUACACCCUACUUCACAUGCAGCCCUAUACCCCUACAUGAUGGAAUAAAUCAACCGUAGCAGUAGAUGAAUAGUUGAAAAUAGUAGCAAUAGGAAAGACUAACUCAAGACCUCUAGUCCCAAUAUCAUGUUAGAGAACAAAUAAUAUGAAAAGAAAAUGUAUUUCUCUUCUCUUUUUAUUAAUUAGAAAAUAACAAACCAUAGUAGCAAAUUUAUAUACUGCAACCCUAUAAUAACUCUAUUGCUCAAAUUACCAUAAUAACCUCAAAAAUAAUCUUUAACAAAAAAAAAAUUCAAAAAAAGAAGAAACUUUUAGAAAAUAGAAAUUUCUUAAAAAAUAAAAAAUAAAUAAGCUUGUAGAAAAUAGAAGCUUUUAGAGAAUAAAACCUUUUAGAAAAUAGAAACUCCAAAAGUAUGGCAACUAGGCCUCAUUGGUUUAGUGGAGGUAUACCUAGUUCUUUCGAUCAGGCAGCCUUUUCUACCUCUUGUAUAGCCUUCCUUGGUUAGUGGAGGUUUUCUUAGUUCUAUUGAUCAAGCUUGUACUUCAUGGGGAGGAUUUCUCAUCCUUUUCAUGUUUCUUUUCUCAAUUAAUACAUAUAUUUUGUUUCUGAUCAGAAAAAAAAAAAAAAGUAUGGCAACUUCUUAUAACAAGAAAUAUCUAGCAAAAAAAAAGUUUCCAAAGUCUAAAUAAGACUCAUUAAAACUAAAUACUAGUAACUUUGACUUCAAAUAACUCAAAGCAUGGAAAGUUACCUAAAUACUCUCUCUUUUCCUGAAUAGACCUAAAGAAGUUCACCAAAAUUAGGGCUAAUCAUGGUUUAUAAGGCUUUUGAUAUAUUGUAAUUGGGGUGGCUGGGAUUUGGGUUUGAAGACUUUAGAUUUGGGGUUGAGUGAGGUUGAUACUAUAAUCAGGAUUGAUAAAUCAUGAACUUUUAAAGACCAUUGGACUAAAAUUUAGUUAGCAUACUCAAUUUUCAAUUUUUAACAGUUUUUGUGAGUUGAUCUUAAUAAACAUUAUAAAUAUAUGAAAUUUUCAAACAUUUUUUAACAGACAUUAAUCGGUCUCUCUCUCUUCUUUUUUUUUUUUUUUUUUUGUGCGCAAAAAUGAGAAAAAAUCAUUUAAGAUGGUUCAAUCAAGUGAAUGAUAAAACUCAGGCAGAAGUCAUGUAAAAGGAUAAGAGGAAGGACAUAAAAAAACGUAUUUCAACACAACCUGAAGACAUGAUACGCCUAUGAUUUAACUAAAGGCCAAAGAUGGAGUUGAACAACCAUGCAGCAUUCACCAGCAAACUCAUUGAGUUCACUCAGGGUGCAAGACUUGCUUACAUGCAUUGUCAUCUUAUUAAGUAUCAGUAAGGAUACAAGGCUUUGUUCUUGUCGUCAUUGUUACAGAAAACUGUGAAAAAUGUAGUUAAAACAGCUUCUUGCAAGUAUGCUGGGAAAAGUUAACAUGAACUCUUCAAGAUCAGUUUAAACUUUUGAUACCUACUUUGCCUAUGUACAAUGUUUUAGUGAAUGAGUGAUAUGUGUGUGUGUGUGUGUGUGUGUGUGUGUGUCGGAGAAGGUCAAGUCAAGAAUGAAAUUGAAAUUAUCAAGUGCACAUGUUCCUAUUUUCAGUUGCUGGGCAGGGAUCUCCACAUUAAACACACUAUGCGCAUGCCAAAAGAAAGUAGAAGUAUGAGAUUAGUCUAAGUAGGCAGCAUGUACUCACAGCUUUAGAGCAUGUACCAUGAUACUUCCACCAGAUCCUCCUCCCCUUCCGGGUCCUCCAUUCCCUCCUUCUGCAGUUACAGAUCCAUUUAGAUAUAGUAUGUCCCUCACCUUAAGCAUGACACGCCCUCCACCAUCCCCCCCAAACCGAUUCUCAGCAGAGUUGCCACCACCCUUACUCCCAUAACUCCAUGGCUCAGACAAAGUAGACCAGGCAUAAACAUCACCACCCCAGAAUUUUGUCCGAUUACUUUUCAAGCAGGAAGCACCUCGGCCACCAUGCCCUCCACCAGCUCCAUCAUAGCCAACUGGAGUACCACUAGUCUGAGGAGGCGGUGGUCCACCCAAAGAUGAUGUAUUUACAGAAGAAUAUUGUUCCAUAGUCAGAUUAGCUGCAGAAAAAACUACUGACCCAGCAAUAAUGGCAGCAUAUUUGCCGAUUUUUAUAUUGCCAGAUACAUUGAAACUUAUUGAACAGCCCUCAGCAGGACAUGUAAUGGAAACAUGAGGGAGUAUCUCUAGGUUUCCCGUACCAUAUAUAUAAAGAUCAGAAUUCAAAUACAAAUUUGAAUUCAGAAAACAGGUCGUGUUGAAUGAUCCAACACCUUCCAGGUCCUCACAAGAUAAUGAAUCAUUUGAUGUGGAUAAAUCAGUUGAUCUUUUAAUAUAAAUAGAGUUAUGGAUUUCGGAACCAGAUCCCAAGUAACCAUGUAACCAGUUUCCGGACACAGAGCUUCUACCUCUAGACUGCACUGAAGUGAGAGCAAGCACAGACACAAAAAGAGAUCCCAACAGAAUGGACUGGCAAAGGCACCCAUAAAUUAACAUGGGAUGCAUCACUUGUCACAGUAACAGAAUUUAAAAGUAUCUGACGAAUGCAUCUAGAACAGCAUAUAACUUUUAGGUUGCUGCUCAAACUCAAUAUGUUUAGUGUAGAAGCAUACUUAAUAGUAGAACAUAGAGUUGCUUCAAACCGUCUUCAACUGUAGUCCCUCCUUUAGUGUUCUAAAAUAGCAAGUUUCUGAAAAUGUAUCAAUAUUACAGCCCAGAUGUGUUGAACUUUUAAUCUGCCAUUAAGACCAUCAAUUUAGAUAAAAGCUAAAAUAUGAGGAAAUAAAAAACCAAGCAAAUAAUAAUCCAACAAGAACCACUAUAAUGAAUUAGAUCUUCUGUCAUUGUUAAUUGUGGCAAUAGUAAUGUUAUAUGGUGUAAAAACUGAGAGCAACUUCAAAAAAGAUCCUUGGUUCCACUCAACAAUAUAAACACUGAAAACACAAACUCCACCUAGAAAACGGGGGUUGUUAGUAGUUUCAUGUGUGCAUAUAACUUUGCUCAAGCAUAAGCAAAUAUCUCAGAAAAAAAUAAAAAUAAAAAAUCAGCAAAAGCAGUAAAUAGAGGCAGGUCUUCCAGGGACACAUUUCUACCCAAUUCCAAGAUCUUAGAUCAAACUGAUAUAUAGAUUAUCAGAAAUUUGUAGCUCAUGUGAUAAAUACUAAAUCAAUAAUCUUUGAAUUAUUUCUAUUCCUACAACUUUUUCUCAUUUGAACCAAUCAUUUUGUUAAGAUAACUGGAUUUCAGCCAGUCUAUUUAUGCAAGUUGGAAACCUACAUCUUCUAGAUGUUUCCCAACAACCAAUCUCAACUUCUAGAAAUCAAGGAUUUAAAGGGGCAUAUAGGGAAGACAUAUUAAACACAUCAAUCUAAAUGUUAACAUUUUUGGGCAUUCUUUAGACCCUAUGGCAUUCUCUGCAGAUAUUACUCUCCCACUUUAUUUUUAUUUUUUAUUUUUUAUCAGAAAUGAAGAAAUAUGAAUUAAUAAUGGUAAAAAUACAGAAGAAGCCUCUAUAGUAGUAAGAGAAUCCCACUUUAUUUUUUUGAUGGGUAAAAUACGAAAAUAUAUUAAAAGCCUUGGGAAAGAGUGCAACAAUGUGCACACGUAGUAUACAAAAAGCACCCAAAGGCAGAAUGACAGAAAAGAGAACAACAUGGGAAAACCAACCAGGCACACGACCUAACACCCAAGAAAAACAAGUUUUACCUAGCUAACUCUCAAACCCCCCACAACUCAACUUGAAAUCCUCAUUGAACAAGAGUUUGAUCCCCAUUGCUUCGCCCCUUGCCCCUAACUAUCAUAAAAACAAGUUUUACCUAGCUAACUCUCAAGCCCCCCACAACUCAACUUGAAAUCCUCACUGAACAAGAGUUUGAUCCCCAUUGCUCCGCCCCUUGCCCCUAACUAUCAUAGGAGACCUAUUAUAGUUAGUUGAGCACUCCAACUUCCGAAUCUCCCUCUCAAAAUAGGAAGACGCGAUUAGCUUCCUCUUCCGCCCCGAAGUCUUGACACCAUGCCCUCUCCUUGCAUCCAUCAUCCUCAAAAGGGAGAUAAUCUCCUUUUCAGAAACCAUCACUAGCAUCCCCACAUAGCUAUUGAAAUUAAUCAGCUUAUUACAUACCAUCCAAAGGAUGCACCUCCCCCGUCGAACGGCAACCUAACUUCAACUUGGAAGACCAUGACUCCUCAAAUCUAACAAUGACAUCCUCACAAAAAAGGCCUUCCACAAUGUUCUGUGGAAACUCUAGUAGAGAACCAUCCUUGAAAAACAACUUAAGUGGUUGAUUUCCUUCUCCCAAAGCCUCACCAAGAAGCCCCUCUUUCAAAUGAGACUUCUUCUUCAAGUCACGACCGUCUACCACAAGUUGAUUCAAAGUCCAACCACCAUCAACUAUUGACCUAACCAUUGAAACCUCAGAUGAAGAAAAAGGGAACAGCCCUACCUAAAGAAAAGGGACUCCUACCUUCAAACCCUAUUGCCUUAGCCAAUAAAGCCUCAUCAACUCCCAAAACCCUUUCCUUAGAACCCUAAACCCACUCUUGUAAAAGGGAUCAACGAAAACCUCGUCAUUGCUGCCUUUCUCUCUAUUGGACGGAGAGUGUUGGAAGCUCUUCUUGACUUUCUUAAGCAUUUUUUUUUUAUAGGUAAACCAAUUGUAUUAAAAGUGCCUAAAGCAUACAUGAUAUAUACAAGGCCAAAAAAAAAAUGAGGGAUACACAAAAAAAAACACUCUUCCAUCACUUAUAGCCCAACCAAUCUAUAAAAUCAAAUAAAGACAAUGAGCUAGACCCUAAAUGUACCUUAAUCCACUCCAAAAACAUGUAUAUAAAGGAGCAUAAAAUAGCUUGAUUUGUCAAUUCAGAAUCUUAAAAGGCUCUUUGAUUUUUCUCCCUCCAUAAGGUUUAAAAUAAGCACAAAGGAGUUGCUUUCUAGACCUCUUUUCUUCCCAACAAAGACACCCCACCAGCUAAGGAGAGCAUCCUUAAUUAAGGAAAGCAUUACUCAUUGUAUAUUAAAAAAGCAAAAAUAAGAUGUCACAGCAUGAUUGCCUUAGGAUAGUAAAGGAAGAUACGGUUUGUUAACUCCUCAUCACCCUUGCACAAAUAAUAUCUGCUUGAAAGACACCAAUCCCUCCUUUUUUAGCUAACCUAGAGUUAGAAUUUUUUCACAAACUGUUUUCUAAGCAAAAAAAGCUAACUCUCAUAGGGACCAAGGGAUUCCACACUAUGCUUGUGGGGAACCCUUUUGAAAAGCGACUUGCUAAGGAGGAGAAAAAGGAUUUAACUAUAAAGGUGCCUCACUUUGACAACCACCAAACCAUAACAUCCUUAGCAUCUCCUUUAAUCACUUGCCCUUGCAACCUUCUAAGCAACUCUUCCACCUCUACCAAUUCUCAAUCAUUUAUCUAUCUUGUGAACCCUGGAUUCUAGAAACCAACUUCCCCAACCUAUUCCCAUCAAUGGCUAUUGAAAAAAACUCUAGGAAAACCACAACCAAGGGCUCCUCCCCACACCCUCCUGCCAUUUCCCACCCUAAAACCAACCCUGUUGUUGAAUCCCUUCCACCAACUUUGGAUAGCCUUCCAAAGGCCCACCACAUAGCCUUCCCUUGAAGCUCUGGAACACCAUCCCCCUUCUUUCUUUUCAUACUUCCCUAUAAUCACCUAUUUCCAAAGGGGUCCGUUCUUAGAAGCAAAUCUCCAACACCAUUUCCUAAGAAAGGCCUUAUUCAAAGAAGACAACUUUCUAACACCCAGACACACAUCCUUCUUAUCCAAACAAACUAUUGACCAGUUCACAAGGUGAGGCCUUCUUUGGAGCUCUCCUCCCCCCCAAAGGAAGUCCCUUUGGAGCUUCUCUAAUCUAAGAAUCACAUUAGAAGAGAUUACAAAUAAAGACAUGUAAUAGAUUGGCAGGCUAGAUAAAGUGUUCUUUAAUAAAGUUAAUCUUUCUCUUUAUGAUAAGUACUGCCUCUUCCACAAAGCAAGUCUUUUCUGAAAUCUUUCCUUCAUUGCAUCCCACGCUUGUACAAACUUGAAGGAAGCUCCCAAAGGGAGGCCCAAAUAAAUAGAGGAAAGAGUCCACUUUGCACCUCACCACCCUAGCCAAAUCCUCUGUAUUAGAAACCUCCCCCAUUAGGAUUAACUCACCUUUAUCCAAAUUAAUUUUUAAACCAAAAAUCGCCUCAAAGUUUGCCAAAAGUAAUAGCCCUUAAUCCAUCCUUUGUCAGCUUGCCAAAGCUCUUUUCUAACCUAGACUUCAACUUAACUGUUCUAGGUUGGCCUAAUAAAAAGCCUUUGGCAAAACUUGAAGAACUGAGUUGGCUUGUGACACACAAGCUUGCUUUGACUAGGAGAGCUAGAUCUGUAGAUGGGUAGGGCUUUUGAAAACAUGAGCCACACGCCUCCUUGUCUUUAGGAACCAAGGUGCCUAACAACCCAACAAGAACCUCAUCAAGGUGCACUGAGGGCAUAGAAUCUACACAACAUGGUUGACGACCAACAAAUCGUUGUUGUCAUCAUGCCGAAAAACUAGUACUCAUCGUUGUUGCGUAUGCAGGGAGACUUGACUCCUCUAGUGACACCAUUAAGACCUCUCCUACUUGUUUCUCUUCCUCCUUUCCCACUCUCCCACCCACAUGUGAAUUACACUCACCAGCAUUCCUAACCUUUGGAUCUUUGCACCUUUCCUUAGAGACCAUCAUCAUCAACCAUAGUGGAAUCUACCACCAUAGCUAGGCUUCAAAAACAUGUACUCCAUCCACAACAUGCAACUUACUCAAAACCUUCCUCCUAUUGGAUUCUACAAGAUUCCUAGUCCACUGUAGAUGAUGCCUCUCCCUCAUCUCCUCAUCUACUACCACGAAACCUUCACAAGCAUCAUUGAACCUCUUAAAGAGCUCUUUCUCCCCACAAAUGCAACAAUAACCCUAACACUCUCACCCAAACCUCUUUGGCACAAAACCCAUCCCUAAAAUAGACUACAUCUAGCCUCCACCAAUCCAAUUGCAAAAUUUUCCCCUCAAAUCAAUGAUUUCCCAAAAGCCAAAUCCUUUCUACUUCGAAGGCAUUAUCAAACUCGAAAAAAAUAAGAAAGCCCCCCAGCAAAGACAAGUGAAAAUUAAUUUUCAAUCUCCAAGAAUGCCUAGCUCAUGCUUUCAAAGAGCCUAAAUCCAACACCUGGUUAGAAAAAUCACCCUAUCUCCCUACCAAGCACUUCUUAAGAAGUUUUGAAUAUUUCAACACCUCCUCAAUUACACUCUAAAACUAAACACCUCACCUAACUCCCUUUGUCCUCUGUUCACCAACUUCUGCCCUUUGGGGAUGCUCCUCCCCCUCCACUUUUCACCAAUUGUCUGACAACCACUUUGGUGACUCCAUAGGUCUGUGCACCGAAACAACACCAAUGCUCCUCAUCUUUUAGGCAAGGGUCUUCCAUCCCCCUGACCAUCCCUUCCUUCAAGAAAAACUAAGGAGAACCUUUUCUCCUCCAAAGACAACACAGAGCAAAGCAACAAAUCUACCUGCCUUAUCACUAUGAAAGUCUAACUUAUAACCCCUUCCGCCUUCCCAUAUUGAAGAACUUUCCAAACUUCCCUUCAGAGUAAGCUUCUACCCCCUCCAGCAACCAAGCUAGGACCCCUCUCACCAAAUCUAAUUCAAGUGGAAAACUACCCCUCUCCACUAUCUCCCACUUAUAUGGUCAACUAUUUAAAAUUUAUCUGAAAAAAUGUUUCAAACAUUAUAUAUAUAUAUAUAGUUCACAAACUCAAAAAGACCAAUCUAAAAACCUGCAAUGAUUUCUAUGCAAUUUUCUUAUAUAAUUCAUAUCAUUCACUUACUCCAUUACAGGUGUCUUUGAGACAUUGAAGUGUGUUACUUGAUAGAGACAACUUCAAACAUGCAUUUCUUUGACACAAAUUGAGGAACAACACAUAGAUACUCAUCCUUGUCUUCAAUUUUAUAACACACUAUCUUUCAUCAUAUAGAUUCCCAGUACCAUAUAGGAGUCAACAAGAAGUUAUGCUUCAGCUACCAAAAGACUAUAUUAUUUUCCAGGGUUUAUGACAAAUUUUCAGCAUGCAUAUAAGGCAAAACACAACUUAAAGUGUACAUAGAUCAUCAAUUAAAUAUUCUGAUUUAUGCCUUUUUUGGACUCUAUGGAAAGAAAGAAAUAGAAGGUCAUUUCAAGAUGUUGAGCAAUCAAAUCAAGCAAUUAAAUAUUCUUUAUGACUCCUUUUUUGGAAUGGGUUAAAGUGUACAUAGAUCAUCAAUCAAUGUCCAUAAUAGGCUUUGUUGACUGGUUGGGCUUCAAGCAAACUACCGUAAAUAAAGGAGGCAUGUGUGGAGUGGGAGGUUGUUUUUUGUUUCUCAUUCCUUGGUUAGCCUUUUGGCUCAUAUUAUACACAUCGUGUGAAACUCGGUAUGCCAUAUCUAAGGCGCCACUAAUAUACUCUUUUAUUGGCUAUCAAAAAGACUAAACUUUAGCCACUUCCAUACUGAGAUUGUAGAAGUGAAAAGAAGCUCAAUUGCAUUACAACACUGAAUUGCUGAGGUGCCCAAUUUUGAUGGUACGUCCUAACUUUUUUCUCAUGAUAAUAACAACGCCUACAACAAGCCUUGCAAAAUUAAGCUUCAUAAUGAACGAUUUUUAUUCAUCCUCUCCAUACAGUAAGACAACUGGACACAAAGCCUGGAGCAGAUGCAGUAAUAUUUGUAGUAGAUUUAGGGUACUUCAAACAAACAAAUGUACUCAGAAAAGCAAGACAGUAAAGAAUCGAUUAUUUUGUAACUUAUAUUUAUAGAAAACCUUCAAAGAACAGCCCUAACUGAUAUGAAUAUUCAACAUUAUUUUAUGAUCUCAUUUACGAGUUCACAACAUCGAAUAAACUUAUGCACAAAGCCCAUCCACGUACAUUUAGAGACAAUAAUUGAGCGCGCAAUGCAGAUCACUUACAAGAAUCAUCAUCAAACCUAAACUUGAAUUCUUAAACAGAGGAAGCAAGCAAACACUUAACAAAACUCUCGUGAGAUCUGUCAUCUCAUUCACCGAUUUCCAUUUCACUACGAAAAUCGCACAUCACGGAACUCAUCCAAACAACAGACACCAAAACCUCAUACAAUUAUCACAAAAUAGACAUUCACAUAAAAACAACAGAGAAAUGAAAAAGAGAAAGAAAGCGUACCGUUUUCAGAUAGAAAGUGAGAGACAAUUUUGGAAAAAUCGCAUGGAAUGUAAGAGAAUUUAGGUUUUUCCACUUCACUCAAGUCAGUUGGGUAGUGAAAUCGUUAGUUCCAUUUUCUUUCAUUUUCUCUCCCUUUCUUGGCUUUUCCUUUUCUUGCUGUCUUUCUUCUGCUGAGAGUCUGUACGAGUCUAAGCCACGUUUGCAUAGCUGGACUCCCAUAAAGAUAUCAGCAUCACCAGUGCCCUUGUGUGAUCUGGACUCUUUCAUUCCAAUCCACCCUUCAUUUUUAAUGUUAUUUUCGAAACUACCACUCCAUCUGUUUUCCUCCGUACGCUACGUAAUCUCUGGGUUGAAAAUUAAAUUAAAUUCAUAGAUUUUGUUUUCCACAUAAAAAUGUCAAAAAUACUAAAAUAGUAAGUCUAUUUAACUGUACAACAUUGCUUUUAUUAUUAAAAAAAAAACAUAAACAUAAUUUAAAUUAUUAUUAUAAUAAUAUUAUAUUAAUCAUAGAUUUAUUGUUUAUAUCAAAAUAGUAUAAGCUUAUUCCAAAUAUUUCAUUAGACAUAUUAACAUAAAUGUGAUUAUUUAUAUUUUAGAGAAAUUAAAGAACAAAAAGAAAAAAAUCAUGUUUUUUUAAAAAAUUUAUUGAUUGAAGCUAUAUUCUACCCUUCAUCAUAAAUGUUGUUACCUUCUUGUUACUUCUUCCUAUUGAAAGUAAAGGGUUAUGUAAAAAUGACAAAUUUUCUCAAAAUUCGGGGUAAUUUGUCUCCUACUUCUUGUCAAAUUUUGUGUAAAUUUAAAUGAUAUAGACAAUAAUAUAAUAUUUAGAGCAAAAUAAUAAAUUUAUUAUUAAAUUGGUCCUCGUAUGAACUCAACAAUUCCUUGAGGUAAAGUUAAUAAAAGCACUAAUCAUAAAAAUUAUUGGAUUUGAUGAAUCUAAUAACAGAGAAAAAGAAAUUCAUAAAAACAAUUUUCAUUUUAUUAUAUGACAUAUUCUGUCAUUAAUCAUAAAUAUCACUAUCUUUUUUAUACUUCUUAUGAGAGGUCAAAGGUAAGAUAAGAAUCACAAUAUUUUAUUAACCCACUACUUCUAACACAUCAAGUUUGGGGUAAAUUUAAACGGUAUAAACAAGUUUUUUAUUGAUUAAAAAACUCCAUAUGAUAAUGUAUUUUAUAGAUAUAAACUCUAUCGGGCAAUUUUAGCGGAGUCAAUAAUAUAAUAUUUAGAGGAAAAUAAUAAAUUUAUUAUUAAACCGGUCCUUGUAUGAACUUGACGACUCUUUGAGGCAAAAUUUUAUAAAAUAAAAGCAUUAAAGAUAAAGUUUAUUGACUUUAAUGAAUCUAAUAAUAAAAAACAAAAAUCUUAAAAGCAAUAUUUAUUUUAUUGCAUGAUAUAUUCUUUCGUUAUUCAUAAAUGUCGUUCCCUUCUCGAUGCUUCUUCCCACGAGAAGUCAAGGGUUAGGUAAGAAUGAUAAUUUUUUUUUUCUAAAAUUCAGAUAUUUAUCACCUCCUACUCCUAAUACGUCAAAUUUAUGACAAAUAUAAAUAGUUUAUACCAAUUGCGAGAUGACUGAAAAACCCAAAUCGGGUUCAUAGGAUAUUGCUCAACCUAUCCCAUCCUACCCCAAUUAUUAUUUCAUUACUUGUUUUAUGCAUAAUUACCAAGUUAUUGUUAAAUAAAUCAUAUUCCAAUGCUCACUACACAACUUCUAUAACACUAAUAAAUUUUACUAUUGUAACAAAAAUGACACAUUUACUAUGGAAUAUGGCACUCAUAUGUUUUACUAUUGUAACAACAAUGAUACAUCUACUAUGGAAUCUAUCUUACGUACUUCUUCAUUUUCUUUUAUAUUUUUUUGGAAGUCAAACAUCAUUUUGGAUUUUUUAUAUAUUUUUUUCUAUUCUAUUAACAAUCGAAUAAUUUAAAUUAUACUUGUAAUUUUACAUCUAAUCUAUCAUUUUUAAUAUAUUUAUUGGAAACCAAGCAUUGCCUUUGGGGGUUUUAUUUAAGAUUUUUUGUGGCAACCAAACAUUAUUAUAAAUAAUUUUUUUCUUCAUUUUGUUUAUAUUUUUAACCAUUGAAUAUUUUGAAUAUUGUUUUCUAUUGGUAAUAUGUAUUUAUUUUGGCAGAAAUUCUUAAAUUUUCCUUCACUAUCCCAAAUUUCAUUUUAUUUGGUGCAUUUUAAAAUGCUUUAAUCCCAAAUCUUUUUUUUUUCUUUUGCGGUUGAAAGGUUAGAUAUAUAUGUGCACACACACACGGUGAGACCAAUGUCUCAUUAUUAUUAUUAUUAUUUUGGUAAAACUUUAAAAUAAUAAAAAUAGAUUAUUAAGUAUAAUUUUUAAAAUUACUUUCAUAUGUUUAAUUUAACAAUAAAUUAACAAAAAUAUCAAUAUUAUUUCUCACACAUAUUUGUUGAAAUGCAUAAUAUAUUAGUAGGUCGAAAAAUUAUAUUAUUACUUUCUUUAUAAAUUUAUUUUAAGAUCUGUUUUGAUAGUGAUUUUAAUAAACGCUUAUAAUAUUUUUAACACUUGAAAAUUUUCAUCAUUUAAGUAUUAAAAAAACUAAAGACGUUUUUUAAAAUUAUUGUCAAACACAUUUUUAAGUCAUUUUUCAAUUACUUCUAUUUGGUUUUGUUUGAAUAUUGUUAUUUAUAGAAAUCGAUGAAUGUAUUUUAAGUCAUUUAUAAAAUAUUCUAUUUUGAGGAAGAAACUACAUAUUUUUUGUUAAAAUGAAAAUUUUAUUUUAUUUCCCAAAAAAAAAAUUAAAGAAAGAAAAAAAUAUUAAGAAAAAUUAUUUUUUCAUAUAUGAUUGUAUUACAAAAUAAAAAAUAGAAAAGAAAAAAGAAAAUCACGCUUAAAAUUAAUUAGAAACUUAUGAAUUUUCAAAUCAUUUAAUUUUUAUAUGGAAAAGUUAAAAUAAGUUAAAUGAGUUUAAAAUAAAAUAUUAAUUUUAAAUUAAAAUUUUAUUUUUCUUCUAAUUUUUCUCACUAUUUAGAUUUUAUAUUAUUUAUGUAGAUAAAUAUGUAUCUAAUUUUAUAAAAUAAUAUAUAUUUUUUUAGAAAAUGCAAGGAAAACACGAUACAAAAAGAAAGUCUACAGGAAAAAAAAUUUAAAAAAAGAAAAAAAUAAAUCUAAUUAGUUUUGAAAAUCAAACAUAAUGGAAAAGUUUUUAGGAAAUAAAAUUUUUCAUAUUUGAUUUAUCAUAAUACAUGUAUUAAAAUUAUUGAUUCUUUACAUGAAAAUAAAUAAAUAUUUUUAAAAUAUAUCUAAAUUUAUUUUUAAUUUUUCUAAUUUUUUAUUUACUUCUAUUUUUUCUCGCAAUAUUUUCUUUCAAAGCUUUCAAUAAGCAUGUCUAUGUUCAAGGAUCUAAGAUUCUAAGCGUCUCCUGCCUUAACAAAUAACAAUUCGUGUCAGACGAGGGUAAAACCGAUAUUUGGGCUAAUAACGUGGGCUUCUAUUUUGAGGACCCUCUCAACAAACGUAACCGUUUGAUAAUUUAUUCCCCAAAUAUUUUAUUCCUUUGGAAGGUGGGUCCCAGAUUCCCGCUCUCCGUGCUCAAGAAGAUCGAGGACGCAGUAGUCACGUCCCAUUUGACCACAAAAUCAUAGCCCAUCAUCAUGCACUAUUAUGAUACCACACGGCAUCUCUUCAUUUCUCUUGUCUUCUCAUUCAUUAAUCUAAUAAACUAUGGUCACAUAAGAAAUCAUAGCAUAAAAAUUAUUCAAAAAAAUUAAUCUUCGUUCACAGCCACAUCAACGCUAUAUGAAUAGGCAAGACACGUGGACCUGAGGGCCCACGUGGCAUUAUAAAUCAGUUAUUAAAAUGGAGAAUUAUGCUAUUGUGUUGAAUAUUGCAUAUAAAGUUUCUUAAAUUAAUAUAAAAAUCUUCAUUGUUGUAGGCAGAAAGUUUUUGAAAGUCUCUCUCUCAUCCGUUGCUAGCACACUAUCAUGAUUUGCAAAAUAUUGUUAAAAUAUUUUCAAAAUGUCAGAUAUGAUUUUAAACAAGACUGAAAGAUAAGUCCUCUUUAUUUCAAUGUUCAUAUCCGAUAAUCACUACCACUUUAGCGGUUUAACUUACAAUUCCUCAUUUGGUAUUUAAUUAUCUUACUUUAUGCACAAUGCGAUGCGAGGCUAGGUAUACGAAGGGGUGGCACGAUUUUUUAGGCCAUGACAAAUCCGAGAAAGUCACCAAAGGCACAGGCACAACUGAGGAAGGUUCGUUUCCGCAAGCGUCCGAGAGGUCAGGAGCUGCCAGCUCGCUCAUGAUGUCUCCUAGUACAGGAAAUAACACCAUCCCUCGCACUUUCCUACUUGCCCAUUCGCCACCCAUCCCUUUCUCCCUUUAUGUAAAUUCUAUUUUUUAUGGCCAGCUAAAAAGAGUUUUUAUGGCGGUAGUAAUUUGGGUACGUUGGUGCGACGUAACCGACAUUUGAACGAAUUUCUACUAGGGAUGCAAUGAGCCUGGUUUCGUAUCAUUUAUUUAAAAUAAUUAUCAUUUCUCCCUUAUUAAAAAAAACAUUUAAUAUGGACAUACAGUCUAUCUAUCAUAUUUAACUUUGAAAAAAAUAAAAAAUAAAAUUAUUUAAUUGUUUUAAUUAUAUUAAAAUAAAUAUAUUUUAUAAUAAUUAAAAUAUUAUAAUUUUUUAUAACUCAUUUUAUUAAUAAAUAUUAUUAUUAGUAUUAUUAAAAAUAAAUAAAUAAAAAUUAAAUUAAAUUAAUUUUAUGUAGGACGAGAUAAUCUAAUAUCCGAAUUUAUCCUAGAUUUUUUUAAAAAAAAUUUAAACCUUAUUUCAUUUAUUAUCAUUCCUUAGGAUAAUCAUUUUUAAUAAUUGAAUUAAUGGAUAAUUAUUUUUAAUAUUUGAUUUGACAUGUAAUAAAUAUCUCAUAUAUAUAUAUAUAUAUAUAAAUUUAAUUUAAAAUAAAUUCUGAUAAUUAACUCUAUAUAAAAAAUAAAAAUCAACAUGCAUUAAAAAAAUUAAAAUGAUAGUAUCUCACCCAAAAUGAAUCAGAAUUCAAUUUUUUAAUUAUCAUAAAGUUUUUACUUUAAUUUAAAUGCCGUCAUUUUAAAUAUUACCAUAAAUCAUAUUUAAUAUCUCCUUUUCUUAUUUUUUUAACUUUGCGGCAUGGGAUUCGGUGAAAUCUCAUCCUGUUGGUCCACGCCUGUCACUCUCAAGGAGCGAUAUCCCUACACGACCUUGUCAGUAACAUCUUUUCAAUCACACCAUUCACCGUCAAAUCUCUGCCUCUGGAACAUGAACACACUAGCUACCGACGUAUUGGGCCGAGUAUUUGUUGUGGAUCCACGUCCGAUCCAACUAAACAAACCCAAUCCGGCCCAUUCAUUUACAAUACAAUUGGGCUUUUGCUGAAGAAACUUCGAAUCGUGUGGCCCAGACAUGGAUGAACGGGCUGGGAAUUUUGGAUUAUCAAAUUAGAUUUGUAGAAGGUAAAACGAAAAAGGAAAAUACAAAUAAAAUUCAAAUUUAUUAUUUUUUUAACUAUAGUUUUAAUUUUAUUCCUUACAUACAUAAUUAAUAAAAUUAAUCUAAUUAUCCCUAUUAUUCUUCUUAUUUUUCACGAUAAAUAUUCCUUUCCACUCAAGUGCCCAUGAUGGCAUUCAUGGAGUGGAUCCGUGAGGUGUCAAAGCUCUUCAUAUCAUUUUUUUUUUAAGUCACUCCUUGCUACAAGAGAAGGAUUGUUUGUCAAGGUGAAAAGGGGAUUUUUGACAUAGUUUUAAAAAAUAUUUUCUAAACUAAUUCUAAAAAUACUCUUUGUCAAGUGGGAAAGAGAAAAAUAAAAAUCAUUAUUUUAUUUUAAAAUUGUCUCUUCAAAAGACAAUUUAUUUCCUUUUAAAAAAAAUAUAACAAAAUUAUUUCCUUUGAAAUACAAUUUUUAAAAUUUCUUUUAAAAAAAUUUAUAGGUAAAAAUUGUCUCUGAAUAGAUGAUUUUUGAAAAAAAUAAAAAACAAAAAAUAAAAAAUAAAAUUUAAUUAAUUAGGGAGAAAUCGUCUCUUGGUGAAAAAAAAAUUAUGGCGAAAUAGUCUCUCUUCAAGAAGGCUUCUUAAUUUUUUUUUUUUAAAAAGGAAAAAAAAAUCAUUUCUUUAAGUGACUAUUUUAGAAAAUUCAUUUUUUCAUUUUUUUUCAAUAAUAUUUUAACUAAUAAUAUAUAUAUAUAUAUAUAAUUGAUUUUAUUUACUAAAUUUAAUAUCUAAAAAUAAUUGUAAUUAUUGAGAUAUUUAUCAACAAUAAUAUUUAUAAAAUAUAAAUUAUGUUAACAUCCUAUAUUUAAAAAUAUUAUUUUAAAUUAAAUUAGAUAUUGAUUUAAAAAAUAUUUUGUUCUUUAUCUUUAAUUUUAUCUUUAAAUUAAUUCAAUUGAUUAUAACUAAUAAAAUUAAUUUAGUUUUAUAUUUUUGUAUUUAUAAUGUAAAUAAUAUUUAUAUGUUACUUUUUGUUUCUUUUACUUCCAGAUUUAAAUAUAUUAUGUAAAAAUUGAGUUUAUAAAAAACAAAGUUAUUAUUUAUUUAUUUUUUAAUUUUAUUAAAUAAUUAUUUACAAAAUAAAUAAUUUUGUUUUGUUUUAACUUUUAAAUUAAUUUUAUUAGAUAAGAUUUGAAAUAAAAAGUAUUAUUCUUUAAUUUAAAAUUUAACUAUAAAAGGAAUAAAAUAUAGAAAAAUAAUUCAUUUAUUAUUCAACAAAUUAAUUUUAAAUAAAAAUUUCAACAUCAAGAGAUAUAAAUUUUUUUUGAGUAUUAAUCAGUUUUCAAAGGAAUACUAAUCAUUUGUAUAUUUUCCUUCUCUUAUAAAUUUUGUUGUAGGAAUUUGGUUUGAAGAAGAAGAUGUCAUAAUCAUAUAUAUAUAUAUAUAUAUAUAUAUAUAUAAUAAAAGUUAAUUUUGUUUUUUUUUUUUUUUUCAUUUUUCUCCUCUUUGAUACAUAAAAAAUUUACUUUCUAAAAAGAUAAAUUAUAAUAUUUAUUUAUUUAUAAUUAUAUAUUUUUUAAUAUAAUUAAAAAUAAAAAUAUUAUAGGGGACUGCAUGGGCCAGAUUGGGGAAAUUGACGUAUGCGUUGCCCCAUUUGUUUAUUUGUUUGAGAUGAAGAUAAGGAUAUGUUUAAAUAACAAUAACUUCACGUAGGAUGAUUCGUCUCGUUCUUAUCCCGGAUAGCUUAGGCUGGAAUUUCAAAACGGGCACCGGCCCAGACCCACACAUUUAUAAUAUUCCAAAAUCAGCCUGAAAUUUCUUUAGGAAUUUUAAGAGGCCAAAACAAAAGCAAUCAAGGUUUCAUCUUUUAUACAAAAGAAAAGUUGGAAAUAUAAAAUAUAAUACUGAUUAAAUAAGAGAAUUUCAAUUUUUUUUCCUUUUUCUUAGCCUUUUUACGAGUUUUUAUCAUGUUCUAAAAUCCUGUUUCUUUGAAAAGAAAUAUUGUGUUCUAUAUUUGGAUGGUUAUGAUAAUUCUGUUUUUUUUUUUUUUUUGAAACUUUUUUAUUUAAGCUAGUUUUGGUUUUCUGGAGGUAAAAAAACUAAUUUUUUUUUUAAUGUUUAGUUUUAUUAAAAAUAAUUAAAAGCUUAUACAUUUUUAAUAUUUAAAAAAAGUGAAAUGAGUUUAAGAUAACAAAUAAAAAUAAUUUAUUAUAUUACAACUAAUUUUUAUUUUUUGAUUUCACUUUUUUCAUCCAUUUUCUUUCUUUAGUAAUUUCUCACAAUUUGUUCAAGAACCAAAGAUAGGCUUAAUAAUUAAUACCAAGUUAAAAUUUUCUUAUUAUUUUUGGUUUUCAAAGUUCUCAUUUGAAUAUUUGCUAUUACCAUCAAGAUCCGAUAAUCGCUUGUCCAGGCUUGCGCCCCAAGUUUUGCAGCGAUUGCCAUCCCUCUUAGUCAAAAUGCCCGCCUAGAUAUAAGUAAUGUGAUUCAACGCCAUUCAUUUCUAAGACUAGUUAAUUUGGUAGGUGGGUUGUUACACACUUUUUGGCAGACUUCGACUUUUAUGACCACUGUCUUGCUGUCUUAAUCGACCAACACUCUUUACGAGUCUAGAUUAGCACACAAUUGGGCACCGUUACCUAGUUUUCGAUUUACCCCGCAUUGGUAGUUUCACUUACUAAAAAUAGCUUUCUUGAAACUCUCGAUUCAAUAAAAUGACUUAAUGGAGCAAUAAUGUCAUCCUACCUAUUUAAAGUUUGAGAAUAGGUGAACGUUACGCCACUGAUGCCUCUAAUUACUGGCUCUACUUGAUAAAACUCGUUCGUGGAUUCUACCUUCUUGAGGAAAACUUUGAAGAAACCAUCUACUAAAUGAUUUGAUUAGUCUUUAUCUUUAUAUCCAAGUCAAAGAAUGGUUUGCACAUCAUGAUCGGUAUGAGCCUCCACCAGAGCUUCCUUCACCUCGCUCAAGCAAUGUUGAGAGAUACAAAAAUUAUAAUAAAUCAUUUUCAAAUUUUAUUAAUAUUUAUGGGAUUGUGAGAGAUACAUAAAUUAGAAUAUAUGGGUACAAGAUCUCUCAAUUCAAUGUCACAACUAAGGAGUGAAAUUUUGAACCCUAGCUAUGGAGAUUCCGAAUUGCUCAACCAACUCAUUACAAAAAUUAUUUAUUUUUCCAUAGAAAUUAAAAUAUAAAAUAAAAUCAUAUCUAUAAAGUAUUACACAUCUUAUAAGGAUAUAUUCCAUAACUUUUUAGGUCUGAAUUAUGAAUUAAAUAUUAUUCUUUAAUGUUAAAGCGGAGGCAUAUUCUCCAAUUAUAAUCGAGUGGAUGGGUGGAGGCCUUUUAAAUCAAGCAUCUUCACAUUACUAGAAUGUGUUACAUAAGCCUUGCCUAUAUUAAAUAAUAAAUAUCAACCAAGUUGCCUCUUUUCUUUACACUUUUCCGAAAUAGAUCACACUUUCAACGGAAAAAAAGAAGAAAAGAAAGAAAGCUAUUUCCACUCUUGUUUUGCCAGGAGAAAGGAGAUUGUACAGAGCAAAAAACAAUGGCUAUAAGCAUUAAGCGCAAACCUUCUGUGAACUGUGAGAGUCAACACAAUAUAUGGGCAUAAGAGAAAUAUCAAUCUCAGGUCACAAGCUCACCAUCCACGAACUCGAAGACGUGUGCGACUCAGCCACCGGCCGAGUCCUCACCGGGUCAUGGCUGUGGGACUCCUCCCUGCUGCUUUCCCAGUGGAUGGCCACUCGCGCUGAAGAUAUCAGAGGCAAGUCCGUCAUUGAGCUAGGUGCCGGAACUGGCCUCCCGGGGCUGACGGCGGCGAUGCUGGGGGCGGGGCGGGUGGUGCUGACGGACGUGGAGGCGCUGCUGCGGGGGCUGGAGAGGAACGUGGAGGUGAACGGAUUAGGGGAGAGAGUGGAGGUGAGGGAACUAGUGUGGGGGUCGGAGGAGGAGGAGGAGUGGGUGAGUAGUGGAGCAAGGAAGGGGGAGGGGGAGUUUGAUAUCGUAUUGAUGUCGGACGUGUUUUUGGAGGUGGAGGCGAUGGGGGAUUUGGCGAAGACGUUGAAGAGGGUGUGUGGGAGUGGGAGUCAGGUGUGGUGCGGGAGCGAGGUGAGACAGUGGACAUAUGAGUGCUUGGGGCAGUUGGUGAGUGAAGGGUUUGGAGUGGUUGAGUUGCCGAGUCCAGUGGGUGUGUCGGAUGGCAGUUGGGACCUAUUUUCCAUUUUCCAUCUCAUUCCACCGAUUGAGGGUUGCCACGUGGGCGAGUAUCUUGUGCUUGAAGGUCUGGGUGAUGCGUAGGUGGCCCACCUUUUUCUUUUU
rnacentral:lncRNA from 1 species